GGUGAGGACUUGAAGCCUUUUCCCGUUGCUAUCUCACUUCAAUGCAUAUACUGAUUAUCCCACAUGACCCGUUUUUGUACUGUGCUUGAUUGCUGAUUCUGACCUUUUCUGAUGCUGGAGUUUUCUUAGAGCAAGUUCAUUUAUGAUUAAUUGAUUAUAAGUGAAGGUUGCUACCUUUUCAUGGUAAUAGCCAUGAAUAAAACAUGUUCUUGUUUAAACAAAAAAACCUUCGGUGACCUUUUCUUAGUGAUUGUUCAAAUUCUUUUGACAAAUUUAUUAAGUCAGAUUGAAAUAACAUUGUUUUCGAUCUAGAUGAACUGAAAUUUAAUUGGCUAAACAAAGUUAUAGAUCCUGGACUUUGUUUUGGGUUGUGAGAACUGAAUCUAAUCUGAAAUCGGUUGACCCUAGUUGCCUAUAGUUUGAAAUCUGAAUGAGACCCUGAUUUACUGGAUGAUCUUGUAUGAAGUUACGGUAUGAAUUCUGCAUUCUCUAUUCAUAACCUAAAAUGGAAUGGUUUAGUUUCUUAAGUGUAAUUGUAGUAUUCAUUUUUUUUAUUCAUAUUAUAAAUUGGUAUGGUAUGUUUGUGGCCAUGAUUUCCCUAAAUACAAUUGUUGUAUGGCAUGUUGGAAAAGCAUAGGAUAUGGAUUAUGCCUUGAUGACCCGAAAUGCAAAUUGCAGUAUGAAUUGUUUAUUCAUUAUAUGAAUCAUAGAUGGUAGAUUUGAGUUUCUAAAUGCAAUUGUAACAAGAGACGUGUAUUGAUAAUGUAAAAUAGGAUGUAUGCUUCAGCUAUAUGACCAUAAAUGGGAAGUGGAUGCCAUAUGCCAUGCUUCAUGAGCAUAAUUGCCUUGAUAAAUGCAAAUGCCCUUAUUCAUAAUUUUACGUCUUAAGCUUGCCUAUAUAAUGACCACUGUGUUGUUUUCUGUAAACGAAAUAUAUGAGCAACAACAAUAGUAACCUGAUGGGAAUUUCAACAAUGAAGAAACUUGCAAGAAACAAUGGGAAGAGCCAAAAAUUUCAACAGUUGAUGUCAAGACAGAAGAAUCUGACACAAGCCUUGUAAGAAGACUCUUCACUUUUAUUUACCAUUCAGUCAUCUUGGUUAUAACAAUAUAUAUAAUAUUAUGUUUAUAAUCUUUAUAAUUACCACUAUGAUGUUUUCUGUAAACCAAAUAUUACAAUGAUUCUGUUGAAGCCCUAAUGGGUUAGUGAGAAAGAUAUGUAGAGGGACAGAAUUUGAUUUCACUGUGUCUUCUCCGACCUUUUAUCAUUGGCACAUUUCUCAACUUUAUUUCUCUAUAAAGAUAUAGAAGAUCAAUGUUUUUUUCAUUUGCCAUAGUUGUGGUAUGCAUGUUGCCUAGAUGUCCCUAAAUGCUUCUUUAUUCAUUUAUAAUAUUAUAUGGUAUAAUUAAGACUGUGUGAUUACUAAGUGCAAUUAUUAUAAUAUGAAAAUGGAUGGUAUUACUAUGGUGUUGCUUAAGCUCAAAAAGGACGAUUCAGGAAUAAGAAUCGCCUUUCUGGAUACAAUUUGAAUAAUAUCUGAAAGUCCAGCCACAUAACCUGCUAAACAUGCUAAGAGGGAUAACUAGAUGUCUAACUUUGGGACUCUUCACAGCAAACAGCUUAGGGCUUGAGAAAUUGAACAUCAUAAUCUGUUAUUUUUGCAAUGACUAUCAUGCCUGAGUAGCUAAUUUAUCAGAAAAUAAUUGCAAAAUAAUAAGCAUAUGAGAUAUGAACAUUGUAUCUGUUUCACCGAAAUAUAAAAAGAACUAGGAUAAGAUAGAAGAAAUACAUACGUGUAUUUUCUACACCCCUUGUAGAACUUGAAACUCCUCUCUCUCAAUGAUUCAACACCUUCCUCCAUGCAUUGUAUCUGCUUCAAAGAAUUCAAUGAGCCACAAUUUUAGCAUAUAUUAAGUAGAUUGACAAAUAACCUAUCUAUAAGAUAAUUAAGACUGUGUGGUAUAAUUAAGACUGUGGUAUAAUUAAGACUGUGUGAUUGCUAAGUGCAAUUAUUAUAAUAUGAAAAUGGAUGGUAUUACUAUGGUAUGUAGUUUCGUAAGUGAAAUUGUAGUAUUAAUUUUUUUAUUCAUAUUAUAAACAGUUAUGGUAUGUUUGUAGCCAUGAUUUCCCUAAAUACAAUUGUUGUAUGGCAUGCUGGAAAAGCAUAGGAUAUGGCUUAUGCCUUGAAUCUUGAUGACCCGAAAUGCAAAUUGCAGUAUGAAAUUUUUAUUCAUUAUAUGAAUUAUAGAUGGAAUAUUUGAGUUUCUAAAUGCAAUUGUAAUAAGAGAUGUGUAUUGAUAAUGUCAAGUAGUAUGGUAUGAGCAUAAUUGCCUUGAUUAAUGCUAAUGUAAUAUAUUUGUUGGAAUUAAGGAAGAGGAUUUGGUUAUCGUUGUUGUUUAUUAUUCUUUUCAUAUAUGCAGAUUAUGCUGACAAUAAUAACAAUAAAGGUGCAGGUCAGUGCACGAGGCUCCCAUCACCAUUGAGGUUUGUGGAGGGUAGAUAUGUUGCCUUACCCUAAUAAUAAUAACUAUUAUUACUUAAAUGUUACAUAAAUGUUAUUGGAAAUUCAGGCAUAUGUUCUCAUUCUUCUUGGUAAAUAUUAGGAUUAAUUUUGUAUUUGACUUUGAGGAUGCUAUUUGUAAUAAAUAUAUGUAUGAUACAUUAAGUUCAUUUCAAAAUGGGGCUGUUUACUUGGAUGAAUAACUUCCAUGACAUUCCUCUUUUUAAGUCUUGUGGCUUAUAUUCUCUUCAAUUCUACCGAGGAAAUGGGAACUUGUUUAUGCUUGUAUUAUUUAUAAUUUUCGUCAGGAUAUAUAUUUCUUCUCAUUUACUCAGUGGUAGUCUCUAUUGUUUUUCUCCUACUUGUGUUUGAGCCAUAUCAACUGUUUACUUGUUAAUAUGUUAUUAAAAAAAAUUCUGAUCCUUAAGAAAACAAUAUUUUGUAUAAGGCUAGUUCAUUUAUUGUUGAACAUGUUUGAUUCAAUUAUUUGUGAACAUAAGAGUGAGUGUGAUUGUUAUAUUCGGCUAGUUCAUAUAUUUUUAAACAUGUUUGAUUCAAUUAUUUGUGGACAUAAGAGUGAGUGUGAUUGUUAUAUUCAGAAGCAACUCUUUUUGCCAGUUAAAGAAACUACAGAAUGAUUUCUUCCUAUACUUCUCGCAUAUAUUGUAAGUAGAUCGAGGAGUUGUCCGUACUCUAUUUAUCCACUUACUAUUUGCUUAAGGAUGCUUUCAAAUUUCAAAUGCAGAUUGACGAAGAUGAGAUUUACUGGAGACAUCGAAAGGAAGAUGGAGUUGGAAUGCUCCCGUAAUUCCACUCGCUUAAUAUCUCACUUAGCUCAAUGUUUUAGUGAGUACAUUUUUCUCUUCAAGGUUCUUUGCAUUCUUGUAAGUUUCAUCUUUUUUUCAAACCUAGAAUCACUUACAAACCUCUCAACCACAAAAUAUAUUCUUUUUUUGUUAGAUAAAUGUAUUGUCUGACUCCAAUAUGGCUUGAACUUCCUCAGAUCUUGAGAUUCUAUGUUGUUAGUUAUUUGUCCGUUGUCACCUUUGACCUUCCUCUAUUCUAUGGAUUGAACUAAUUAAUUGGUUCUUCGAUGAUAACCCUCUUUGCCACUGGCAUUCUUCUCCGAAAUUCUCCUGGUUUGGUUUUUAUAAUUUCAUACCAUAAUCAGAGUUACUUUUUAUUCUUUGUCCUACCUAUACAACCUGCAUCUAAUUUUUGUUACUUAAUAGGAUAAAAUAUUAGAGCAUUUACCUCAAGAUCAAGAAAAUGUUACUACUUCAAGUGUUUCAUCGAAUGUAUUUUCUCAUCCUAAUGAUGUAAUUGGAAAAGCAUAUGGAGCUAAACAUUCAAGUCGAGUGCAUGGUUUGGACAUUGGUAUUUGUUCCUCAAGUAUUUUUGGAACGUCUAGACAUUCUAUUGGUUUUGUGAAUUCUAGUCGCUCUAGUCAACAUGUUGAAAACUUAAAGAAGUAUGUUCAAAGUUUGGAGAUAAAACUAUCAGGCUAUAAAGAGACCAAGGAGCAACUUGCACAUACUCGGAAUCGAUUAGCUACUCUUGAGAAGUUUAUAGUCGAAAAAUUUGAUAGUGAAUUAACCACUUUCGCUCAUGAUGUUCCACCAUCUUAGUUAUGAUUUAUUAGAUACUCAUGAAAUUAUUAGUUAUGAUCUUCAUAGUUUGCAUUUUGUUUUGUAAGGAUUGUUGAAUGUUAAACAUUUGGUAAUUAUAUCAGAUUCACUUUUCUAAUGGUAUAACACUUUUAUUUUUGUUAUUAGCUAGCAAAUAUUUAAUUUUAUUAAAAAUUUACUAUUAUAUUAUUGAAAAUAAAGAUUGCUAGAUUGUGAAAAAAUAAACAACUUAGCCACGGUUGUAGUGUGGCAAAGUAGCAACUUUGCCACGGUUGUUACUGUAGCUGAAUUAUACAGACUGUGGCUAACUAAAUGUUACCACAUUUUAUACAAGCGUGGCAAAAUGACAUAACGACCGUGGCUAAUUUUUAGCAACGCCAUUCCUUGCCACGACAGCAGUAAGUGUGGCCACUCGAUCUAGCUACGGUUNNNNNNNNNNNNNNNNNNNNNNNNNNNNNNNNNNNNNNNNNNNNNNNNNNNNNNNNNNNNNNNNNNNNNNNNNNNNNNNNNNNNNNNNNNNNNNNNNNNNGUAUUGAUAAUGUAAAAUAGGAUGGUAUGCUUCAGCAAUAUGACCAUAAAUGUGAAGUGGAUGCCAUAUGCCAUGCUUUAUGAGCAUAAUUGCCUUGAUAAAUGGCAACAGUAGUUCUUUAUUCAUACUGUAAAUUCAGAAUGGCUGUGGCCUAUCACACAGACUUCUUUCUAACUUAUUGUAUAUCGUAGUAUACAUUAUUAUUUCUCUGGUAUUGUAGUUUGAUUAUGGAGAGUGAAAUGUAAUAUAUUUGUUGGAAUUAAGGAAGAGGAUUUGGUUAGCGUUGUUGUUUAUAAUUCUUUUCAUAUAUGCAGAUUAUGCUAACAAUAAUAACAAUAAAGGUGCAGGCUAGUGCACGAGGCUCCCACCACCAUUGAGGUUUGUGGAGGGUAGAUAUGCUGCCUUACCCUAAUAAUAAUAACUAUUAUUACUUAAAUGUUACAUAAAUGUUAUUGGAAAUUCAGGCAUAUGUUCUCAUUCUUCUUGGUAAAUAUUAGGAUUAAUUUUGUAUUUGACUUUGAGGAUGCUAUUUGUAAUAAAUAUAUGUAUGAUACAUUAAGUUCAUUUCAAAAUGGGGCUGUUUACUUGGAUGAAUAACUUCCAUGACAUUCCUCUUUUUAAGUCUUGUGGCUUAUAUUCUCUUCAAUUCUACCGAGGAAAUGGGAACUUGUUUAUGCUUGUAUUAUUUAUAAUUUUCGUCAGGAUAUAUAUUUCUUCUCAUUUACUCAGUGGUAGUCUCUAUUGUUUUUCUCCUACUUGUGUUUGAGCCAUAUCAACUGUUUACUUGUUAAUAUGUUAUUAAAAAAAAUUCUGAUCCUUAAGAAAACAAUAUUUUGUAUAAGGCUAGUUCCUUUAUUGUUGAACAUGUUUGAUUCAAUUAUUUGUGAACAUAAGAGUGAGUGUGAUUGUUAUAUUCAGAAGCAUCUCUUUUUGCUAGUUAAAGAAACUACAGAAUGAUUUCUUCGUGUACUUCUCGAAUAUAUUGUAGGUAGAUUGAGGAGUUGUUCAUACUCUAUUUUAUCCACUUACUAUUUGCUUAAGGAUGCUUUCCAAUGCAGGUUGAUGAAGAUGAUAUUUUCUGGAGACAGAAAAGAAGAUGGAGUUGGAAUGCUCCCGUAAUCCCACUCACUUAAUAUCUCACUUAACUCAAUGUUUUAGUGUGAGGAGAAAGGGACUAAAGAGAAUUUAUGCUACUGUAAACCUACUCACUAUGGUGGAGAUCUGUGUUGCUUGUGCCAUAAACACACUAGGUCAGGGCAUGACCAUAGAGAAUAAUUGAUGUACAUAUUUUUCAAUCUUACAUGUGGGCCCUGAACUCAUUGCCGCAGCGUGUUGACAAUUUCUGUUUAAAUGAUUGCACAUUAUAUGAAAACACUUAUUCAUAUGUCUAUAUUCCUAAAAGGAGUUGCAUUAUGAUUACCCUUCAAAACAUACAAAUUUUAUAUUCAAAGGUAUUAUGGCAGAUAACUUGCUUUCCUUAGGGGAUGUGGCUUCAUUUCCCUUGAAAAUCUGCUGUUUUUCGUAAGGACAUAUCCGGUAUGUGUUUAUCUUUUAUUUUCCACACCUGAAAGGAUUUGGUCCACCUUUUUAUGUCUUCAUUUUAGUUUCUUGAUAUUUAGACCUCUUGGGAAAAAAGAUCAGUUAUUACUAAUUGUAUGGAAAUUCAAAUGAAGUCAUCUUUUCACAGGCUGAUGUUGAAGAAAGAUGGGAACCAAGCAACAUAUGGAUACUCUUUUACUGUUGCUGGCAUUAAUAUAUCAUUUAUGUUGAUACAAAUGUUGGAUUUAUGCUCAGGUUAGUGAACAACUUCACAGGUCAUUAGUUUCAUUGUUUCUGCUUGUAAGAGCAAAGAGAGGCCUAGUGCAUGUGCCUGGAAUUGUGGGUUUUGGGAAUGUACACAACUUUUACCCCAUAAGGAAAGAGGCAACUUAUAAAACUAAGAAUCCUUCACCACCAGAUUACAAAGAAGCAACCUCACGACAUAACAAUGUAAUAUAACACAUUUGCUUAUAUGACAUUGAUAACAAUAUAGUUUUAGAGCAGCUCCUUUCAAAAUUCUUACCGCAAUGGAUUUGGCCAACAUUAUUUUCACUUCAUAUAUUAAUAUUGAAAGGACAUUUUAAGAUGCAUUUUGAAGUUUCAGUUGGAGUUUUUCUAAAACCAGAGAAUUGAGAAGCCAUCUUCAAGUUCAAAAGGAAAUUGGGGAUAAAAAGUUCAUUACAUUAGAAUCUUGGAAUUGUGAUAAUGAUAAGGUUGGAAGGAACAUUUUUCAUAAAACAUAGGUACAUUUAUACUCACCUCUUUUGUUCUCCCUAGUGGUAACACUAACUCUAACUUUUCAUAAUGUACCCUCUGCAUUUUCUGUUAACCUUUAGUGAAGUCACUGAUUAUGAUAAUAAGAAGUAUUUAACAACACAAGUAUUUUCCCAUUAGUUGGGGUGUUACAUGAUCAAACAAAGUUGUUGUGCUGUAUCAAAUUGAAAUCUUCAAAUAUGUUGUUUUAAAUUGAAAUCUUAAAAUAUGUUGUUUUAAAUUGAAAUCUUAAAAUAUGUUGUUUUAAAUUCUUUUAAUGGUUUGUCCAGUUUUACAUUCAUCUUAUCAUCUUGUUAAGGGUACUUCUAUUUAUUUUGUUUUUGAUGUUGCCAGGAAGUUAAAGAGUGAUGAGAACCAAUGAAGUGAAGUUCCUAUAAGCUCAAUGGGAGUUUUAUAAUUAAUUAGUUAAGAUAAAAAUCCUCAUUUGGUAGAGUAGCACUGGAACUCUAAGAAGAAAGAAGUAAAGAUUUAUUUGAUUGUUAGGUAACAAUUUAUACACAAUAUAUUAUAAUACGUAUAGGUUGGUUCCAUAUGAGGUUGAGAGAUGAACAAACCAGAAAUGAGAUUCAUAUCAAAAGGCUAGGUGCAUUCAUCAUAGCCAGUAUCAUCUUCUUCUCUGGUUCCGCAGGGAGGCGCAACACUUAUAUUCUUUCCCAUAGGCUGUGUGUAGGACUCAUCGGUAUCGAUCAAAAUGGCGAUGUCAUCUUCAGAGAAACUGUAUCUAUUGAUAAGGCAAGUAUAUGCGUCUUCCACACAUUGUUUAUGCAUCCUAUCAAAACUGAUUUUCUUGCCAUUGCAGCACCACACUAAUUUUUGUGUUUUGUUUUUUUCCAGUGUUUUUUCUUUCUAAGGUUCAACUGUCUAAAUAGUUGACCAAGGAAAAUGCGCAUCUGGUUAGUUUUUUGUUGUAUCUUUUCAUUCUUUUAUUACUAUUUAUUCUUUCAAAAGUAAUUUAAAUUACUUUAUCAUUUUCAUUAUUUUUUUUGAAAAAUCAAUAAUGAUCAAAUAUAAAUAGGGAUGAUGCAUUAACAAUAUUAUAAAAUUUAUAUACUAUCGUUUCAUACAUUUUUUUUGGUAUUAUUUAUAUAUAAAAUUUAAACCUAACUGAAUAUGAAUAAUAGAUAAAACUAUCACAAUAUGCAUUUUCUUUUUCUUUUUCUUUUUCUAUUUCUCUUACAUGUUAUUGUUUGUUUCAGAUUUAUGAUUUACAUAUUGUAUGAUAUUUCAUAUGUAUGCACCAUUAUGUUAAAUAAUAAUAUUAUUGGCUAAUAAAAUUAAUUGUAUAAAUGAUCUAUUAGGAUUUAAUGCAUAUGUAUUUUGAUAGUGUAAGUGUUUUUAUGUUAAUAGUACAUCACUUACCAUUUGUGAAUUAAUUAUUAUUGAUUCUUGAACAAAAUUAAUACAUGAGUAAAGAAUAAUAUACUAACUAUAUAAAAAAAGUUUUACACUCCGUGUAAAUAUUAAAGUCAUAUUUUUAUCUAAUGAUUCACUAAAAUGUCACCUAUCCAAGAGAGUUUUUUUUGUCAUAACUAAUGGUAUAUCUUCACAUUAUAGAUGAUAAGCUAAUUUUUUGUGUGGUGUGUGACAGUUACUCCUAACAAGUAUUACUUCUAGAAAUUGAACUUUUAUUAUUCUGGAUUUUGGUGAGGAUCCAGUUGAGCCUUACACUACUACACCGGUACCUUAUUAGUAGGUUACAGAGGUUGAUAUAACAUGUAAUUCUAGAACUCAACUGAAUAAUAUAAUUACAAAUAUAGAAGGUAAAAUAAAAUAUCCUUACAAUUUAUAUUUUAAAAUAAAUAAUAUAAUCAUAAAUAUAUAAUGAUACCAAAUAUUUUUCUGAUAUGAUAUAAUUAUAAUAAUAUUUAUACAUUAAAAGAAUAUAAAAUAUCAAAGUAAAAUAGAUUGAGAGGAUGCAACUCAUAAUUUAAGCUUGAUUUGAAAUAGACAUACAUGGCAUGAAGAUAAAUUUUUAUUUCAUUAAUAUGUAAUAUUUUUUUGGGUAUAUAUAUAAAAUAUUAGAUUAUUUUAAUUGUUUGAUGGGAUGUAAUAUUAGAUUAAUAACCAUUAAUAAUUAAUAAUAUGGAUAACAAUUAAUAAUUAAUAAUGUGGAUAAUGUAAAUGGGUCAAAUUUUACAUCUGAAUAUUGCUUAUAAACGAAACAGACCAACCUUUAACUAUAGUUUGCAAUGGUCUUCUUAAAAUGCUAAUGGAACUCGAAGAGAAAGAUAUACAGAGAGAAAUAUUUUCUCUUCUCUCUUUCUCUUUAAAUAUAAAGAAGGUCGAUGUGUUUUUUAUUCAUACUGUAAAGUGGGAUGGUAUGCUUCGGCGAUGAUGUCCCUAAAUAGGGCAUUAUAAUAUUCACGGUGUGAAAGAAGAUGAUAUGGAUGUUGCCUAGAUGUCCCUAAAUGCUUCUUUAAUCAUUUAUAAUAUUAUAUGGUAUAGUUAGGACUGUUUGAUGGCUGAGUGCAAUUAUUAUAAUAUGAAAAUGGAUGGUAUUCCUCACCUGUUGCCUAUAAAUUAAAAUGUGGAUGUGACACUACUUUGCUUGGCUAGCCCAUAUACUUGCAAUUGCAGAAUGAAUUAUGAAUUCUCUAUGUAAAGUCAGGAUGAUAUGCUUGAAGUUGUAUAAGCAUAAAUGUAGAGUGGAUUAGUAUGUAUAUGUUUCCCUUAAUCCACUAACUGAAAUGGCAUAUUUGAGACUAAAUAAGCCUAAUUGCAAUGAAAAAUUGACUUCUAUAUUCAUAUUUCAUAAUCUUUAUAUUGGAUGAUGUCUUUGUGCUUGAUAAACCUAUAAUUGCAACCUAGGUAGUCAAUCUCGGCCGACCCCAAAACACUAUAGCAGGUAGUGGGACAACCGCUACAAGGAAGGAAAAGAUAUCUAAGUAGUUUAUAGCCUACAUAUAUAAAUACUAAAAUAGAUUAUAUUAAAGACACAUUCCUUAUUAAUAAUUAAGAUAAGAGUAUUAAAGGUUCUAGAGCUGAUCAAAGUUGGAUGCCAUAACAGAAUUGUAUCUCACGAAAUUGAACCACACGAAGAUGAUGUCAAUUGGGUUCAAUCAGUUUGAUAAGAGAAUCAAUAAAGAGAUAAUGGGGCAAAGAAUCAGGGACCAAUAAUUUUUUUUAAAGAAAAGAUGGAGAAUAUGUGAAUUAGGAAGCCUUGCAAUUUUGUUCCAUGCUGAUGAAGAACAUGUAAGCAAUUGAAGGUAUAACCCAUUAAAAAUCACAUGGCCUAGUAAAAUUAAUGUGUUAAGUAGAAGGGAAAGAAUGGGAGGUCAAAUUACCUAAAACCCUAGUGAAAAACCAGCCACCUAUUAAAAAGAAGAGCAAAAAAUACUUUUCUUCUGUAAAAUUAGGGUUCCACUCGCAAUAAAACAUGUAGCGGGUCAUGAUCCGAUAUUUGCCCUGCGAUGUUGCCGCUAUUUGACCUGCUACAGGCGCUACGGCCAUCUGCACCGCUAUCCACUAUGGCGUCGCGGGUAAUGGUUGAAACACUGCUACAGUCCGCUAUUGCAGUGCUAUAGCGCACUAUUGACUACCUAGACUGCAACGACAAUAAGAAUUCUAGUUGCCUAUAAUUUGUAAAUUAGGAUGAGGCCCCAAUUAUUUUAUCAUGGUAUGUUUGUUUUUCCUUGUGCCAGACAAUAGUUGAAAAGACUUAGCAUUUGUUUUAAUCAGUGCAUAUAUUCAAUUCUAGUAAUUAAUAGGAAACCAUAAUCUGCAAUUAUGCAUCCUAGUAUGUGUCUCAUUGUUAUCAGACUCAUUGAACACGUUUCAUGUUUGUGUCUUGAAGAGAAACUUCAAAGGCUUAAGGAAUAGCUGCAAGUACCUUAUGAUGAGACUUGCUCUGAUCAUCAAGUACUUAUUUUUUGAUGCAGCUAUCUUGAUUUCUUCUUUAUUUAAUUUCUUCGAAUUCUUUCUCAGUACAUGUUUUGAAAAUACAAGCUUCAUUUCUGGUUCAUUUUUGGGUUUCAUUGAAACCACAUUUUGCGAACAAUGUAAUUAAAUUCCAACAGGAACCACUGAGAACUUUGUGGCACUGUUUCUUUCCUAAUGUUUCUCUGAGUGGCUUGAUAUCUGAUUAUUGGAAAGAUAUUUGGUGGCAAUGUCCUAAUCCAUCAACCCACUUUAGGUAUACCGCUGUGACCACAUGAGAGUUCACAUGACAUUUUGGUCAUUCAUUGUUUUCCACUGGAAAGAAUAUGCUGAGUAGAAAUGACAAAAUCAGUACCACUGCACUGCUGCUAAGGUUUACUAUAGCAUAAAAUUUCAUUACUCUCUUUUUUCCUCAGGCUUAAUGAUUUCCCAAUUCAUGGAGCCAGAAUUAGACUAAAACCACUUCUGUCUCAGAAAUUUCAUUGUCCAUUAUAUCAACUUUAUUACAUAACUACUUGUAAUAAAGUAGCGUUUUUUGGUGGAGAUCUAUGUGUUGCUUGUGCCAUAAACACAUUUGGCCAGGGCAUGAUUCAUAGACUUAUAGAGAACAUCGAUGUACAGAUUCUUCAAUCGUACAUGUGGGCCCCAACUCAUUACUGCAGCGUGUUGACAAUUUCUGUUUAGUGAUUGCACAUUAUAUGAAAACACUUAUUCAUAUGUCUAUAUUCUUAAAAGGAGUUGCAUUAUGAUUAACCUUCAAAUACAUACAAGUUUUAUAUUUAAAGGUAUUAUGGCUGAUAACCUGCUUUCCUUAGGGGGUGUGGCUUCAUUUCCCUUGAAAGUCUUCUGUUUUUUGCAUGGACAUAUCGGGUACGCAAUUGUCUUUUAUUUUCCAUACCUGAAAGGAUUUGAUCCAUAACUUCUUGAUAUUUAGACCUGUUGGGAGAAAAGAUGAGUACUAAUUGUACGGAAAUUCAAAUGAAGGCAUCUUUUCACAGGCUGAUGUUGAAGAAAGAUGGAAACCGAGCAACAUAUGAAUAUCUAUUUGCUGUUGCUGGCAUUAAUAUAUCAGUUAUAUUAAUACAAAUGUUGGGUUUAUGCUCAGGUUAGUGAACAACUUCACAGCUCAUUAGUUCCAUUUUUUAUGCUUGUAAGAGCAAAGGGAAGCCUAGUGCAUGAGUUUCCUGGAUUGUGGGUUUUGGGAAGGGUCAUAUGCACACAACUUUACCCCUUAAAGAAAGUGGCAAUUUCUAAAACUAGAACCCUUCGCCACCAGACUAAGAAGAAGCAACCUCACUACAUGAUAAUGAUAAUAUGAUUUGUAAUUAUCAAUACAUUAGAUGUCUUUAUUUCCAUGCUUUACACCUGUUUUUAAUCAUUCUUUGUUUGGACAGAUGGAUAUCAUGUUUUUCUUGUAUGUAAAAUUGAAAUGACAAUGUUAUAGGCAAAGCAGGGACACCCACCCCACUUGUUACAUCAACUUUGAUUACUCUGCCAUGUUAAGCAAAUAAUAAAAAAGAGGUCCCUUUGAUUACUCUGCCAUGAUAUAUUUUACAUCUUCAGGUCUGGUCUUCAAUUUAUAUUGGAAUUUUGGUUUGUCUAUGUAGUAACUGCUACAGGAAAAUUCAGCCUAACAAACAAAAUAGGAAUGAUAGGAAGGUUGAAUGAUAAGAGGAGAUGACUUGAGUGAAAUCAUAGGUCACCCCUUUUCUUUCAAAUAUGUAUUUCUCUUUUUUGUUGCUUUUGGAGUUUUGGUUUAAGAAAGAGCUAAUGGAAAACGCUUUUGCCUGAUUGCACUCAUGAGAUUGAGAAAGCGUAAACGAUGUUUUCCUUCAUGCUUCUCUCUUCACAAAGUAAACUCAAUAUUGUUUUCUCAUUUAUUCCUAAUAAAGAUGCUAAUAAUGUAGUUGUCUCAAAGGAAUUUAUAGAUUAUGACAAUAGCUUCCUCCUUUUAUCAACAUGUAAUGCAUUGAAUAUAUUAUCAUGUGAGUUGACUUGCAUUUCAUUACAAUAAGUUAUUGACUUUGGUAGUAAUGUAUGCAAUGUAGUCUUAAGUAUAUUCUAAGCUUGAUAUCUGAUCAAUGGAAAGAUCUGGGGUAGCAAGGUCCUAAUCCAUCAACCGACUUCAGGUAUACCGCUGUGACCACAUGAGAGUUCACACGACAUUUUGGUUAUUCAUUGUUUUCCACUUGAAAGAAUUGCUUGGUAGAAAUGGCAAAAUCAGUACCAUUACACUGCUGCUAAGGUUUACUGUAGCAUAAAAUUUCAUGACUCCCUUUUUUCCUUUGGCUUAAUGAUUUCCCAAUUCAUGGAGCUAGAAUUAGACUCAACCACUUUUGUCUCAGAAAUUUCAUAGGUUAUUAUAUAUCAACUUUAUUACAUAACUACUUGAGAAUAAAGAUUGGUAAUAGAGUUUUCUGGUGGAGAUCAAUGUGUUGUUGGUGCCAUAAAAUUUAUUAUCCGUAUAUACUGAUUUAUACAUUGUUUUCGAUCUAGAUGAACUGAAGUUUAAUUGGCUAUACAAAGUUAUAGAUCCUGAACUUUGUUUUGGGUUGUGAGAACUGAAUCUAAUCUGAAAUUGCAUGAGACCCUAGUUGCAUAUAGUUUGAAAUCUGAAUGAGACCCUGAUUUACUGGAUCAUCUUAUAUGAAGUUACAGUAUGAAUUCUGCAUUCUCUGUUCAUAAUCUGAAAUGGUUUGGUUUCUUAAGUGUAAUUGUAGUAUUAAUUUUUUUAUUCAUAUCAUAAAUUGAUAUGGGAUGUUUGUGGCCAUGAUUUCCCUAAAUAAAAUUGUUAUAUGGUAUGCUGGAAAAGCAUAGGAUAUGGAUUAUGCCUUGAUGACCCAAAAUGCAAAUUGCAGUAUGAAUUGUUCGUUCAUAAUAUGAAUUAUAGAUGGAGUAUUUGAGUUUCUAAAUGCAAUUGUAAUAAGAGAAUUGUUCAUUCAUAAUAUGCCUUGCUUUUUCAGAUGUAGAUCUACAAAAAAGGGUUGCAUGCAUGAAGAUGAAGCAGGUGGGAGAGAUAGUGUAAAAUUAUAGAAAACACUAAAAAUGGCCGAGAUGAGAAAGUAGGCAAUGGAGACAGGCUUAGGUUGUGUAGUUUCAGGUUAAUAUGAGCUGGUGUGGUGGUGGAGAAAGAGGAGUGUGCUGGAUUGGUAGUUGUGGUAAGAGACAAGGUAACUCAUUUACUUGUUUAUUUUUGUUUUAUAAAAUAUAUCAUAUAUGAUUUAAGGAUUGAUAUGUUAUUUUAAUGCUAUGUUGUUUUAUGUAAACGAAAUAGAUCUGCUUAAUUUCAUUGUGUCCAUUCCAUCGAUUUAAGUUGGUAAUCAAAAUUGCUUCCAAAACCCUAGAUUUUUCUUGAGACAUUUUUUCCGUUUAUGGCGAUAAUGAUAUUUUCCUUCAACUAUGAUGUUGUUGGAAAGUUCUUUCGUUAUGGCAACAACUUAUGUUUUUGGUAUAGUUAACGAUGUUGCUUCAUUUGGAGGGUGCUAUUUUAUGAAGUUAAAAGAGGAAUCAAUUAUUGGAGGCACAAGCAUAAGAGUAAACAAUAUUAGGCCAUAAGGUAUAUAUCUACUUAUUUUCUUUUAUUUCUCACCAUCCAUGUUUUUUUACAUGUAUGAGUCCCACAGGAAUAUUCAAAGUAUAUUUUUCCAAAGGGUUAAACUAAUUCAUGUGCUAUAUGCUUUUGCUGUAUCUGUCAGAAACUCAGAAUGGGUCCACACCGAAGUAUACUAGAUAUAUACUAUGCAUGGCAAGUAACCCCAAUUCAUUAAUUUAUAUGAAGACAUUACCCCUGAGAUUGCAUUAUUAAGUUUUUAAUCACAUGAGUGCAUAACAACAAAACACUGAUAGUGGAUGUCAAUAGUGCUCAGGCAUGCUUAUCUAUUUCCAAAAGCAACAAUAAGAGUGGAUGCCCCUAGUACUUAAGGCAUUGCUUAUCCAUUUCCAAAAGCAACAACCAGUACUUACAGAAAAUUUUACAUCUCUCAUCCCACCCAUUAACCAUCUUGGCCGAUAAGAGUGGUGAUAUAGUAAUUCAAAAUCAAAGUUUUAUUUGGUUUCACACCUCAGUCUCUCUGACAUCCUCAUUUACCUUUCUCUAUAUACCAAUAGGUCAAUUUUCACCACUUAUCCUUUUUUGGAAUCUCAUAAGGGCUGCUCCUAACAGAAAAAUGAUUAUGUUACUUUUUUAACUAUCAAAUUUAUACAUGAUUAUUUUAUGACCAUUGAUAAUGAUACACUAUUUUUUCAAAGAAAAAGUAGUUUUAUAAUAAAAUAUGCGUUAAUUUGACGUGAAAAAGUUAUGCAAAAAUAAAAUUAUUGAUCUUAACACACGCCUAGAGGACAAAUCUUUUAGGUUUUCAUUUUUAUAUGUGGCAAAAUUAUUUAAAAUCCAUUCAAAUUCAUGUUAGAACUAAUAGAUUUAAAAGAUUUAUCCAUUAUAUCCAAUGGAUAUCCAAUCCAUCCAAAAAUAUAAUAAAAAUAUUCUUUUCCCAUAAAGUAAUGUGCAUACUCAACUUUGCAAUGCAAACUCAAAGUGUAAAAUAUAAACAAAUAUUAUUAAUAUUGUACCACUCAGAGUAUUGAUGAAGUAGUAUGAUAGUUCAACUAGUGGUUCACUAUUAAACUGUAUAUCAGUGAAUUUAGAUAUUCAUAUAUUUUAUAUUAAUAUUAAUGUUAAUUAAUUAAUAAAGAAGACAAUAAUUAUUUUUACUUAUAUUACUUGUUAAAAUAUAUAUUGUAUAUCAUGUUUUAGAUGUAUAAAAAUAUAGUAGUUGUAUGUUUGAUCAUGUGUACAAAUAUUUUGGUAAUAACAAUAAAUAAUUGAUGAUAUGGACAAAAGUUAAUAAUUAAUAAGGUGGAUUUAAAAAGGGUGUGAAAUGUAAGUGGGCCAUUCAUCUGAGGCCCAUUUAAGAGGCACCAAUAGUAUUGUGUCAAUUUUACGUCCUAACUUGCCUUUAAAAAGACAGCUAUGUUGUUUUAUGUAAACGAAAUAGAUCUGCUUAAUUUCAUUGUGUCCAUCCCAUCGAUUUAAGUUGGUAAUCAAAAUUGCUUCCAAAACCCUAGAUUUUCUUGAGACAUUUUUUUCGUUUAUGGCGAUAAUGAUAUUUUCCUUCAACUAUGAUGUUGUUGGAAAGUUCUUUCGUUAUGGCAACAACUUAUGUUUUUGGUAUAGUUAAUGAUGUUGCUUCAUUUGCUUCAUGUGAACUUGUUUGAUUCAAUGAUUCGAGGCACAAGCAUAGUUCAUAUAUUGUUGAACAUAUGAGUGUCUUCUAGUAUCUAUUCUGAUCGAGGUUAGCUUCAUUGGGCACAUAUUUAGGGGAUGAAAAUUCAGCUGUCGUUUCUGUAUGUGUAUUCUAUUUUAAAAGUGAGUUUUGUAAUUUGAGCUUGUAGUUUGAUUAAACAGUUUGUAAAAGGACAAGUGUUAUGAAGCACAGUUUUGAUAGGAAAUAUUUGUGAACCAAUAGUAGAAGUCUUUACUGCAUAUGCCAAUGCAGGUUUCUGGUUGGCUUAUCACACUGACUUCUUGAUAACUCAAUAUUUGGCCACUAAUUUUGUAGAAUACAUAAUGAUUUUCUAUGUAUUAAAGCUUGAUUAUGGAGGGUGCUAUUUUAUGAAGUUAAAAGAGGAAUCAAUUAUUGGAGGGACAAGCAUAAGAGUAAACAAUAUUAGGCCAUAAGGUAUAUAUCUACUUAAUUUCUUUUAUUUCUUACCAUCCAUGUUUUUUUACAUGUAUUAGUCUCACAGGAAUAUUCAAAGUAUACAAACUUGUUGGAUACAGUCUAACUCGUUAGGUUUAUGAACUAGCUUAAUAUAUAUAUAAAAACUAAGUUUUAUGUUUAUUAUGAUUCAUGCAUUAUUUUUUAUAUUUAUUUUUAUUAUAUAUAUAAACAUGGUUAUAUUUAUAUGCAUAAAACUUUUUGUAGUAUUUUUAAAAAAAUUAGUUAACUAUUUAAGUUGUCCAAAUUAAUCAAUCGAGCUGAGUCGAAUAGUUCGCGAACUUUAGCUGAACUGGACUCAAGCUAAUAAAAUAACUCGUAUCGAACUCGAGUCGAGUUUUGAGCCGAACCAAUUUUUAUCGAGCUGAACUCUGGUUCGACUCAGUUCAGCUCGUUACUAGCCCUAGUUGAUUCUAAGGAAAUAUUCUUUUUUUAUUUAUUUUAAUGUGAGUAAAAUGGUCAAUCUAGUCACUAAUGUUUAAAGUGAUAAAAAAGCAGAUCGACUAAUUAAGUGGCUUUUUGACCUGUUGAAGUUGUUUUCUUCCUUUUCUAUAAUUGGAUGGUUCGGGCUCACUCUAAUUCAAAUAACAAUGAAAUUGUUUUGAUAUAAAACAUAUACUAAUUUUUAUUUUGCACUUAACUUAUUCUAUGUACUUCAAAAUUUGACAUAAAAACUUGGCAUAGAAAAAUUGUAAAUUAGGGGCGGCUUACCUGAAUCAAAAGUAUGAAUAAACACAUGUGAAAAUCAGUAGUCUCACGCAAAGAUUAUAUUGAUGUAGUUUUAUGAAACUUUGAAAUGUAUGGGGAAUUUAAACAAAUGUAAUAUGGAAAAUGAAAUAUUAAGAGUUUUAUACACUAUCACUUAAUCAUUCAUAAUUAAUUAUUGUUGAUUCUUAAAAAAAUAAUUCAAAUCAAUAAUAAAUAAUAUUAUUAUUGUGUAUAAAUUAUUGUAUUUAGGAUGUGAAAUGUAAAUGGACCGUUCAUCUUAGCCCCAUUUAAGAGACACAAGUAGUAUUGCAUCAAUUUUAUAUCUUAACUUGCCUUUAUAAAGACAGCUAUGUUGUUUUUACGUAAACGAAACAAAUAUGCUUAACUAUAUUUUGCAAUGGUUCCUUAACACAGUAAUGUGAUAGUGAGAGAGAAAUAUAGAGAAAAAGAAUUUGAUUUCUCUAUGCCUUUUCGUCGUUUUAUAAUUGCCUCGUCUUUCUCCUUUUUCUCUAUAUGAUGUUGCUUCAUUUCAUAUUUACAAUUCACGAGUAGAGUUGAAAUACAUAUAAUUUAAUUUCUCUGUGUCCAUCCCAUCGAUUUAAGUUGGUAAUCAAAAUCGCUUCCAAAAUCCUAGAUUUUUCUUGAGCCAUUAUCUCGUUUAUGGUGAUAAUGAUAUUUUCCUUCAACUAUGAUGUUGUUAGAAAGUUCUUUCGUUAUGGCAACAACUUAUGCUUUUAGUAUAGUUAACAAUGUUGCUUCAUUUGUUUCAUGUGAUGUUUUUUGUAUAGAAAGUGAAAGAAAGCAUAUGAUGACUUCUUUAACCAUUUCUGGCCCUUUGUUAGUGAAAUAUCUCUCUUCUAUCUAGUUCUUUAUAAUUUUUUCAUCGUAAACUAACAAAUUAUCUCAAAACUCUAAAAAUCAAUUUUAUAAGCAUAUGUUGUUUCACUGUGUUUUUGCAAGGGUAGAAAUUGUAGAAUCGGGAAAAAAAUGAUUUCUUUAUGUCUUUUCCCGAUUCUUUACUGACGCAUCUCUUGAUUUUUAAUCUAUGUAUUUCUUUACGAUUGACAUAAGGAAAUGGUCUAUUUUUUAGCUUGCAAGACUGUCUCAAAAUCCCAAAAGUAUGUUGUGACAACAAUUUAUUUAAUGUGUCGGUAAUGUGAUUUUGCGAAUCCCGAUCUUGAUUAUUCAAGAAUGUUUGAUCGUGGUGAACUGAGAUUUUUAAUUGACUUUAUUACAAACCCAAGAGUUUGAUUUGGGCUGCGAAAACUACAAAGUGCAUGCAAUGUGAAUUCUAGUUACCUAUAAUUUAUAAAUUUGGAUGAGACCACAAUUUGUUGGCUCUGUACGAAAUUGCAAUAUGAAUUAUGAAUUCUCUAUUCACAAUGUAACAUCAAGAUGCUGUAAAAGUAAAAUUAAGCCUCUUUAAUUCAAUUGCGUUAUGAAUUUUUAAUUCAUAUUGUAAAGUGGGAUGGUAGACUUUAGCCAUAAUGUCCCUAAAUAGGGCACCAUGAUAUUCACGGUGUGAAAGAAUAUGGUAUAGAUGUUGCCUAGAUAUCCCUAAAUGCUUCUUUAUUCAUGUAUAAUACUCUAUGAAUAGUUAAGACUAUGUGAAUAUUAAGUGCAAUUAUUAUAAUAUGAAAAUGGAUGGUAUGUCUGACUCUAGUUUCCUAUAAAUUCGAAUGAGAACAUUACCCUAGUUUGCUUGGCUAGCCCAUAUACUUGCAAUUGCAAUAUGAAUUAUGAAUUUUCUAUGUAAAAUCAGGAUGAUGUGCUUGAAGUUAUAUAAGCAUAAAUGCAAAGUGGAUGGUAUGUAUGUAUUGUCCCUUAAUCCCCUAACUGAAAACUGAAAUGGCAUGUUUCAAACUCAAUAAGUCUAUUUACAAUGACAAUACGACCUAUUUAUUCAUAUUUCAUAAUCUUUAUAUUGGAUGAUGUGUUUGUGUUUAAUAAACCUAAUUGCAAUGGUGGUAUGAAGUUUUUAUUCAUAAACUGAAUUUUGUAUGGUAUGUUUGACCCUUAAUGCCUUUAUCACGUCAUACUAUUUGGAUAUUUCUCUUCACAUCUCUUAAAUUCAGUUGAAUGGCUUUAUCAUGCCUUGUCGUGAGGGAUAGUGCGCCACUUGUUCUUACCAUGUUAUAUCAGUAAAAGAAGUGAGAAUUACAACGACAUUCUUGUAGAGGAUAUGUUGUAUCCUGACACUCGCUGCCCUUUUUGGGUUUCAUUUAGAAAUGCAAAAUCUUGUAAAUUGAGCUCAUAGUUUUAUUCAAUUAUUUAUGAAUAUAAGCUUCAUGAACAUGGUUUUGAGGACUACAUAUAUUUUUAGAUUAGUUUAACCUACGAUGAUACAUCUGAUGGAUUAGCAAGAAUCAUUAUUGUACACAGCCUGCACAUAUUUCUGAGUGGCUUAUCUCACCGACUUCUAUUUAUAUGGAGAGUGAGAUGAAAUAUCCUUUAUGAAGUUAUGGAAGAAAAGUUAGUUGUUAUUGUUGAUGAUAUUUUUCUUCAUCUCCGUAGACUAUGCUAAUAAUAAUAUGUAUGGUUGGGAUUUCAGGCAUAUAAUCUCAUUGUUCUUUAUAAUAUUAGAGAUGAACUGUUUUUUUGGCUCUCAUAGUGCACAUCUUAAUAACUUCAUGCAGGAUUGUUGAAAUUUGUCAAUUAUUGAGUUGAGGACAUUUGCAUGGAAAGUUGGAAAAAUAUCUUCCCCAGCAUUUAUUGUUUCAAUUCUUGCAACUUAUUUUAUAUAUGUUACUGGCUAGGAAUCCCACCAGGGUGCUAUUUUACCUUUCCCUUCCCUCUCUGCGUAUCCUGAUUUAUACAUGUAUCAUUUGUGUAUCCUGAUUUAUACAUUGUUUUCAAUCUUGAUAAAUUGAAAUUUAAUUGAUUAUACAAAGUUACAGACCCUGAACUUUGUUUUAGAUUGUGAAAUCUGAAAUAAGAUUGGCCCUAAUUGCCUGUGGUUUGAAAUCUGAACGAAACCCUGAUUUACAGGAUGAUCUUAUAUGGCGUUACAGUAUGAAUUCUACAUUCUCUAUUCAAAAUCUAAAAUGGAUUUGUUUGUUUUUCUCUAUAGUUGGUAUGGCAUGUUUGUGGCCAUGAUGUCUCUAAAUACAAUUGUUGUAUGGCAAGCUGAAAAAGAAUAUGAUAUGGAUUAUGCCUUGAUGACCAUAAAUUCAAAUUGUAGUAUGAAUUGCUUAUUCAUUAUAUGAAUUAUAGAUGGUACAAUGGAAUUCAGCCGUCGUUUUUGUGUGUAUUCUAUUUUAGAAGUGAGUUUUUUAAUUUGAGCUUGUAGUUUGAUUAAAUUGUUUGUAAAAGGACAAGUGUCAUGAAGCACAGUUUUGAUAGUAGAUAUAUGUGAACCAAUAGUAAAAGUCUUUACUGCAUAUACCAAUGCAGGUUUCUCGAUGGCUUAUCACACAGACUUUUUGAUAACUCAAUGUUUGGCCACUAAUUUUGUAGAACACAUUAUGAUUUCUUAAGUAUUAAAGCUUGAUUAUGGAGAGUGAGGUGAAAUACCUUUUAUGAAGUUAAAAGAGGAAUCAAUUAUUGGAGGCACAAGCAUAAGAGUAAACAAUAUAAGGCCAUAAGGUAUAUAUCUGCUUAAUUUCUUGUAUUUCUUACCAUCCAUGUUUUUUUACAUGUAUGAGUCCCACAGGAAGAUUCAAAGUAUAUUUUUCCAAAGGGUUAAACUAAUUCAUGUGCUAUAUGCUUUUGCUGUAUCUGUCAAAAUGGGUCCACACCUAAGUAUACUAGAUAUAUACUAUGCAUGGAAAGUAGCCCCAAUUCAUUAAUUUAUAUGAAGACAUUACCCCAUCUUGUACGUGGCCAAACCAAAUGGUGGCAGUGAAAUGCCUUCACCUUCCUUUCUCUUCACGUGGCCUCCCUCACACGUAUACAUGUACAUCUAUUUUUUUUAUGUUCCAUUUGCAGCUAAUUGCUACAUUAAUAUUGGUACAUUUUCUUUGUGAAAGUGUAUUCACUCCUUGGAAAAGAGAAGACAAUAAGAAGAAGAAGCUAACUUGGAUAAAGAAGCAGAGAUGUUAGGAACUUUCAAGAAUAACUUCCUUGAUCCACCAAAGGACACUAGAGGUAUCCUUGUUACUUCUGACUUAACCACAACUAAAGUUGGUAUCUACUUGACUAGACACGAUAUUAUUAGAUAAAAACAGUAUAUGACAAAUAUUAUACCUGAAGAGUGAAAUUAGUAUGCAAGUUCUUACACUUUUUAGAGCUUUAAAUAUGUCCCUGUAGUUUCGGAAAACAAUCAACUCGAUCAUCGAAGUUAUUUUUUUAAAACUAUAGAAAGUCAUUCACAAUUUAGACUAUGAAGACUAUUCAAAAUUUACUAAAAACUAUGUGAACCUGUAGACUAGUUUGACCUCUCAAGUAACAUAUAUGAUCAGUGUGCACUGACCCUGACUUGUUAAGGGAGUUGCAGAACUUAACCACAUUGUGGUUGUUGCUUCUAGUGCCUGAAUUCACAGUAUGAGUUGCCAAUGUGUGGCAGAAACUUGCAUAACGCCGCAAACAUGCAAUAAAAUGUGAAGUCAAAUCAAGAAUUGAAUCACAUAAGCUUGAAUAAUUUGGAACACAAUUAAAUUGCAUUUUUUUUACUAAACAAAAUAAGGAAUGAUGGAAUGACACUGGUCAAAAUGUAAAAAAAAGAGACCUGAGUAGUAAGGACAAGUGUCGUUCAUAGCCAUUGAUUCAAAGUCAAUGUUGUUUAAUGUUUCAGCGGUUGCUUGCAAGGUCUCACGCACUGAAGCAGAAGAAUUUAUCAAAAUAGACUCAACUCCAUUCAAAAUCCAAAACCAUCGCUCAAACCUCUUGGAUUUUAACUCUGCAAUCAUACAAAAACCAGUACAUUUAGGCUAAAAAGCAGUACUGCAGAGAGACACUUGCCUGUCCAUGAAUAAUAAUAAACAUAUUCACAGUAAUAGUAGUUUGCAUAAGUGGUUGUCUACCCAUACUAGAAGUACGGUUCCCAAAUACAGGAUGGAGAACAUCCUGCUGUAAAGAUGAUUCCCAGUGUUGCAUUCUCCACCCUUAAAUUGAUUUGGCCUCAUCUGGAUCAUACAAGGACAUGUACUGUCCUACACAAUAAAACCUUAAUUUUUUGCCCAAGAAACAUUUCGCAUAAAUUUUUGAAAUGCAUGUAUUGGCCUAUCACUAUCUAAAAUAUGCAUAAACGAUCAAUCAUCUAGCAAACACAGGUGCAAAAUGCUAAAUCAGAUUAACUUCGUUGAAGAGCUAAGCUACAAUUCAUAGCUAAGUCUACCUUCUAUAAUGUGGUUAGAAGUUCCACCUCAUUCAUACAUGAGGCUAUGAAGCCUUAGCAAGGUUUAGCAAGACAUGUUAGGCAAAUGCCUUACUUGAAAAUUACAUUUACUAUUACUGGAAAACCAACGAUUAAGUACUUACAAUUAAACAUUUAUACUAAAAGGGCAUCCCAAUGUACUAGACUCCCAAAACAAUCAAUUCCUUAUAUCACAACUCUCAGUUUAAUCCAUAAGCAAAAUAGUAAACAAAUGCCAACUUCCUGGGUAUUCAAAAAUAUGCUUGGUAAAAAGCAACAAUAAUUUCUUCUUUUCACCACCAUUUCUGAUACUGUCAUAUCAGCAGGCUCAAUCCUUUAUGCUUCACAAGCCAAACAUGUUCAUCUCCCAGAAGCACAUUCUUUCUCUUUUGUUUCAGUCCAACCCUCAACAUCUUCUUCCUACAUAGUUCAUAUUACCUACACUAGUGGCAUCUCUGUCACUUGGACAACUGUCAAUAGCUAUGAAGCAGUGAUACUUAAACGAAUUAAAAUCAUUGAGUCACAACACUUCCUCAAUAAAGGCUUACUCACUCGGGAAUUCUAACACUUAUGCCAUACUCAGUCAGUAUUGCAGACAUGCAUAAAGAUAAAAGAACUUGGUAGAAUGGGAGCAAACUUCGCCAACAUAGUUAUUCAAACCGAAUUACCUAUAAGUAACUCUUAGGCACACUCAUUGAGUCUAAAGAUAUGUUCUGACUCUAGCUAGGAUAGACAAAGAGACCCUAACAUUUAGCAAGCUCAAACAUCCCAUCAAGGAUUUACAUUUAAGUUUUAUGUAAUAUAAUGAAAAAAGAAUGCAUACUGCAAUUUGCAUUUAGGUUCAUUGAGGGACAAUCAAUAUUGUUAUGAAUACAUAAUUCAUAUAGUAAGAAGAUUCUUGAUGCACAAAAGAAUCAAGUUUAUUAUUGAGCCUAAUUCAUAUUUAAAGGCUCUUGGUAGAGAAAGGGAUCCAAGUUGGUCUCUAUUUCGUAAAGAUAAAUUUUACACCCCUUAGGGAUGAUAAAUCCUAAUAAAUGAUAGAGAUAGUCAUUGCUAACUGAAAAUUUGAAUAAAUAAGAAAUCUAAGGUCUGUAACCUUGAUUGAAAUUUUAAGAUAUAUACUAUUCAAAUCUAGAUCACUAGUGGUCCUCCUCGUUAACCCAUUAACAACAUUAGUCACCCACUGGGUUUAAAAAAUAACCUACACACAACAUAAACAAUUGAAAAACCAAUACUGUUAUGAAUGCACAAUCCAUAUAGCUACUGUAUUUAGGCCCCAAAGCAAUGAUAACAUCUGAAUUUCAUACCACAAUUGUAUUGAAGGCGACCAAAAGCUCGAGUAUACCAUCCCAGUUUUACAUAAUUCAUAUUGAAGUUGUAUUUAUAAUCAGCCAACUGCCAGCUAAUAAGGGUCUCAAAUGAGUUUAAAUUUAGUCACUAAUUUUUCUAAUUUAAUUAGCCAACUGUCAAAUAUAAUCAGCCAACUGUCAAAUAUACCAUGUGAACAGAUACUAAUUUUUCUAUAGGUCGUAUACAUACCUAUAAUUGCUUGUAGAGAAGAUUGUCUUUGAGCCGAUUCUUGUUUUGCUUCUACUUUUUGUCAAACAGGACAUACGAUGUUACAAAAAGGAAUCUUCUUUUUGUUAGUCACUACGUCGGUCCAGCACUAACCAGGACUUCAUUCAUCGAGGUAUAUGGGCCAUUAUUAUUUCCAAACCCCCGCUGUCAAAUUCAUAUCAUGAACCAAGAAUUCAUACUGCAAUUACAUUGAAGACCACCAAUGACUCAAGUAUACCCAAUCUUGCACUAUAAAUUGAGAAUGUUACCUGUAAUUGCAUUUUGGAUCAUUUUGCAAAUUAGGGUCGGAUCUGAAUUAGAAAUCAUAGCCAACUAGGGUCAAAAAAUAUCAUUCAACAUCAUAUUAUGAAUUAAGCAUUCAUCUUGCAAGCAAUGUUCAUUCUCACAAUCCAAAACAACCACCAAUGUUUCUGUAGCCACUUAAAUUUAGAUUCAUCAAGAUUAAAUGUCCUUGAAUGAGAUCAUAAAAGGAUAUCACAAUAAAGAAUUCAUACUACAAGUAUAUAAUCUCAAUCUAACCAUCCAUCCAUAUUCCAGAUUGUAGGCAACAAGAGUCAAACAUACUAGCCUCUUCUCAUAGUGUGUACCAAUAUAAUAAAGGGUCGGAAAGGGCACUCAAAAAAGAAAUCAAAUUAUUUAUCAAUCUUUUUUUAUUAUACUAUUUGUGUGUUUCUUCAUUUGUUCCAAAAAUCAACAGCAACAACAAAACAAAAGAACUCAAAUAUUAAAAAUUAGAGAAAAGAGAGAAAAGAGAGAAAAGUGUGGCACUGAUGAAUGGUUUUGGCCAUGAAUAAAUCUAAUUCAUCUUUCUUGCGUUUCAUUAUGAGCUCAAGUUCAAGAAAAUCCCAUAAUUAUCAGAUACUAAGAAAUUGCCUCAAGAAUUUAGGAAUUCGUGCAGAAGAUUGAAAAUUGAGAGAAUGAGAGAUAGACGUGGCAUCGAUAAUAGAAUCGGAAAUGCCACUAAUAAAUCAAACUCCCUCUCUCUGUAUCAUAUUUUAUUAAUAGCUUAAGCAACAUCAAAUAAUCGCAAGAAAUUGUGAGAAUGUAAAUUUUAGGGUUUCUUGAAGAAGAUUGAAAACAGUGAGAGAAAAGAGAGAUGGGUCUCUUGCAGAAGAUUAAAAUUGAGAGAAAGGAGAAAUGGGUUUCUUUCUUGCAGAAGAUUAAAAUUGAGAGAAAUGAUAAAUGGGUUUCUUUCUUGUAGAAAAUUGAAACUUGACAGAGAAAAGAGACAUGGCUCUCUUGUUCCCUUGAGAGAAGAGAAACAAACCAAUUCUCUCUCUCUCUCUCUCACUGGCUCUCUCACUGGCUCUCUUUCACUCUCUGCUCUCAUGUUUCAUUAAUAACUUAAGAAACAACAUUAACUAAAUCUUAUUAUAUAGCAAUUUAGGAACCACUCACACACUUACCGACAAUGUAUAUUUUUGGACAUUAACCAACAAUGUAAAUUCUUAAUGGGCCUUAAUGAUAAAAUAAAUAAAAGUUCUAAUAGCCCUAAUUUAGAUUUUCCUUUUUUUUAUUCCUCUUGUUAAUACAUAUUUUAUGGUGCUUUUAUUUUUUGUAUUUUUUAUGCCACUUUUAGUCAAAUUUAUUCUUAUGCCAUUUUUAGUCAAAUUCAUUUCUUCUUCUUUCGAUAUUUCAAAAUUUGCCCAUACUUUUAAUUAUCAACUCAAUAAUUUUAUAUAUUCAUAAACAAAUGUUUGAAUAAAAUUAAAACAAUUAUGCAUAAUGCAUAAUAUCAAGUAUUAAUUAAGAAAUUGAGUCUAUAAUCAUUUUAACUAUUUGAAAAAACUCUCAAAAUUUAUUUUACCUUAAACCUUCAUUUAGUUGAGUAGAGAAAUAGAAGAAAAACGUUGAGGGUAGAGAAGUGUUGAGAAGAAGUAGAGUGAGAAGAGUUAAACAAUUUGAAAUGACAAAUAUAACAUCAAAGCCAUGUUAUUAUUAUUUUUAUAUUCUUUUUGUUUUAAGAGUAUUUUCAUAUUUUUAAACAUAUCAGUUUUCUAUAUUCUCACUUUAUAUUCAACCAAGUGAGAGAGAUGGGGAAGAAAAUAUGUCUUUCUCAUUUCUUUCUUUUUCAUUUCAUUCAUACUAAACAAUAUAAAAAUAUACUCUCUUUCUCACAUUUUCUUUUUCUCUUUAUCCUCUCUCACCUCUUUCUCUCAUCACUUUAUUCUCUCAACCAAAAAACAUAAAUAUUAGUCAAACCUAAUUUUAAUUAACUUAAUAUGGUGCAUUUUAUUGCUUUUAAAAUCGACUUAAUAUUAAAUAUUUUUAUAUUUACUUAAAUGGUAUAUAUGUAAAUAUUGUGUGUAACAUUUAAAUAGAUAUAUAUACAUGGUGAAAAAAUUGAAAAAUUAAUGACAUACCAAAUAAUGUAGGUUAAUAUCUUAAAAUGAUAGCUAGAACAAUUAAAAGCAUUAUUAAAAACAACAUUAUAUUAAUAGAUAAAUUGUUAAAAUCAUGUACUAAUUUAAUGAUUUAAUGAAAUUUCAUUAUUUUGUACGACAUAGAACAAACAUGUCUAACUAGUGUGCAAAAGUCUAUUAAAGUUGAUAUGAUUAAAUAAUAAUAAUUAUUCUCUUGCAGAUAAUUAUGGAGAACUAUUUUUUAAACUUUAAUACAAUUCACAAUUAUAAUAAAAGAUUUAUUCCUUUCUAGUUUCUACAUUGGAAACUUGAAGUUGAAAACAUUUGCCACCUAGUUGGGUUUUAAUUUGUGAAAUUGAAAACUCUAACACUCUUUCUUUCAUAUAAAAAGAUUGGCAAUAUGUAAAUGUGAUAACGUCAAUAGAUUAGAAAAUUAAUUAGAUACACUAGUGUUUUUUUUAGUGUCCUUGUUAUGCAUGAACACCUCAAAAAAAAAAAAAAAGCAGUAGGGUUGUGAUUACUUUUAUUCAUUAACUAAGCUAACCAAAUAUACAUAUCAUAUGGUGUAAUUAUCAUAAAUGUUGUCAAACAAAUAUAUUUAAAAUGGAUAAAUGGUUUUCAGCUCAUGUAAAAAAUUAUUGAGUUUUAUCAUAUUCAAAUAAUAUAUGAAUCUAGAGGAGAAAACAUAUUUACUUUCUUUUUGUACUAUUGGAAAAGUUACAUUUAAGCAACAUUCAAGUCAAUAGGAUUUUAGGUACAUGUUGUGUUACAUAUGUGGGCUUCAUCAAAAUAGUAUUUAUAAAAAAAUUAAUAAAAUUUGACACCUCGUGCAUAUGGAUCAAAAAAGUAUAAACUUUCAUUGGGAAAAAAUAAAUUUAAAAAAUUAUGCAUUUAAAUUUUAAAUGUAGCCACUUGUUUUUUUGUUUUAAAAAUUACAAUACCAUCUAAUAAUAUUAUUUGAUAUAUCCUCUUAUAACAUAUGAAACAUGACAUAUAUCUAAAAGUAUUACUUUCUUUGCUCAAUAAUAAUUGAUUUAUAGAUUAAUUGUUUUGAAACAUAUUUCAUUCUUCUUUUGGUUUGUAAGGGUUAAGAUUAGAAAACUCAAAAUUAACAUUAUAUAUUAUUUGCUAACGAAUCUAUAAUAAAAAAUAAAUGUUAAUUGUGGUUGUUUUCAAAUAUUCUUAUAAAUGUUAUAUGAAUAUUUGAAAUUAUUUAAAUGUUAUAAUUAAUUAAUUAUAUCAAAAUAUUAAUAAUCUAUUUCAUACUGAUUAAAAAUUUUAAUUUAAAGCUAUAAAUUCAAAGAUCAAAAAGUUUGUGUGAUGAGAAUAUACUUAAAAAAUUAGUUAGAGGGAUACUUAAAAAAGCAACAUAAAACAUGUACCAGGAAUAACUUUAAAGAAGAUUAUAAAUUAGUACCGUUAGAAUUUUAAUAUUUUUUAAUUAACAAGGCCCAUUAAGGAGAUUUGAUUUAUAAGCAGAAGAUUUGAUUUAUUAGAAGAUUUGAUUUAUAUAAGCAGAAGAUUUGAUUUAUAUAAGCAGAAGAUUUGAUUUAUAAGGUAGGUGCUUAAUUUACUAUAUAAUGAGUUCAUGACAUCUUCGUUCAAUGUUGCUAUAUCCAGACCCAGCGAGCGAGAGCGAGAGAGACAUAUGCGAGCGAGAGAGGUAAUGGUAUGUUUUCAGUCUCCUGCAAGAAACUUGUUUCUCUUUUCUCUCACUUCUCUAUCUACUGCAUGAAAUCCUAAAACCUUGAUGUAAUUUCCUAAUCGGUGGUGAUGGUAAUGGUAUGUUUCUUGAAAUUAUUCCACGUUUCUCUUCAUCAUCACGUUCAUCUUAUUUCUAUUUAAUACUCCAUUUUGAACAGAUGUUUACAUCGAAGAAAGAAGAUGCUGAAAUCGAAAAAGUAAUUCGACUUCCUGCAAAUCGAAGAUGCAUCAACUGCAAUGUCUUGGUAACAUUUUCUGUGUUCAUCAACCUCAACUUACCCUAGAAUUUGUGAAAUAUACAUAAUUUUGUUUAAAUUGAAUCAGGGACCAUAAUAUGUGUGUACAACUUUCAACACCUUUGUCUGCAUAAAUUGCAGUGGAAUACAGUAUGCAUUACAAAUCUCAACUUCUUCUAUAUAUGUUUUAUAUGCAUUACAAAGUGACAUUGUUUUACUACAAGGUUUUAGCAAUAGACUCCUCUUUUCUUUUGUUUUUGUCAAUUUCUGUCACUAAUCGUAAUUGAUGAUAGUUACAUCGUCACGUUUUUUCCUUCUAAUUUCUCUCAGUUUUCGAUCUCAUCCAAGAAAACCUGUCUCUCUUUUCUCUCAGUUCUCUAUCUAGUGCAUGAAAUCCUAAAAUCUUGAUGUAAUUUCUUACUAUGUGAUCGCAAUGGUAUGUUUCUUGAAAUUAUCUAUGAAAGAGAGAGGUUUUUGUAGUGUUUCCAAUCCUUUUCUCUCUCAAUUUUCAUUAUUCUACAUGAAUUCCUAAUUCUUGAGGCAAUUUCUUUGUAUCUGAUAAUGACGUGAUUUUCUUGAUUGUCAGCUGAUAACGAAAUGCGAGAAAGAGAUAGAUUUUAAAUUAUUCAUGCCUUCCAGACUCUUUAUUAUUGCCACACCUUUCUUUUCUCUUAAUUGAUAUUUUUGCAACGAAUCAAGAAACACACAAAUGUUAUAAUCAAGAAACACACGAAUAUUAUAAUCAAGAAACACAUGAAUAGUAUAAUCACGAAACACACAAAUAGUAUAAUCAAGAAACACACGAAUAGUAUAAUCAAGAAACACACGGAUAGUAUAAUCAAGAAAGAUUGAUUUAUUUUUUGAGUGCUCUUUCCCACUCUUUAUAAUUGGUACACAUAAUGAAAAGAGAUUAGUAUGAUUGACCGUUGUUGCCUAAAAUCUGGAAUAUGGAUGAGUUACACCCUAUAAGAUGAUCUUAUUGUGUGGAAAUAUUGUCUUCUAUUGAAAUUUCGGUGCUUAGUCUAUUUAUCUGGUUCAGCUUAAUAGAAUUUUAAUAUUCCUACCCAGAAAUUAUCCCAAGUUAUAAAAAUCUAUGCAAGUUGAACAAAGGCUUGAAAUUUUCAGCUGAACUUAUUACUAUUAUUUUUUGCUUGUGUUCACAUGGCUGUGCAAGGCUAUUUCUCUUGGUGUUUGCAAUAUGGUAUGUAAUGCAGACUGUAGAGCAUAAAAAUUGCUUUCCAGAACUACUAUGAGUUGUGGCUGCUUUGAAGCCUCAACUUUGAAGAAGAAAAGGAGUAAUUCUCUUACUCCUAAUGAAAUAGAUGGUGAGAGCCUGGUGAUUACUUAUUUUCAUAUUUAAUAGCCUUCAUUAUCGCUAGAAGUUUAAACAUACAAACAUGUGAAAUUUUUCAAAAGUUGUAUUCUUUAGUAGAUUUGGGGUAUUAAAUUAUUGUUUUGCUAGGUGUCAUCUGCUAGUGUUAUUGUGUCAUAGGAUAGUUUUCAUGUGCAGUAGUGUUGCAUCUCUUGAGACAUUAUAUAAUUUUGCCUUCUUUCAAUGUGUUCUUAUUAUAUCAAUCUGCUGCUUUUAAGUGUAAGCAAUUAAUAUGGAAAUUCACCUUGCUUUAAUACGAAGAGGAAGACAGUCCCCGUACAGUUGUAACUCUCAAACUAUAAUUAUGUUCAUUUAGUUUAUACAUGAGGGAAAACUGAAAACACAAUCUCAGUGCAAGAGACACCCUUUAGGAUUUUGUUAGUUUCUUUGUUCUUUGAUAAGCAAUGCUGCUGAGAUAUGUUCAUAAGAGUUAUGAUGUAUAAAUUUUAAUUAGCAAUACUUUUUAACUACAAUUUUCUUCAUAUUUAUCAUGAUACUUAAUGUCGUGUACUCUUUUUUAACACAUCUAUUCUUUGUUGUUCAAGAUACCCAUUUGAUAAUGUUAGGCAUUUCUCGAUAAAGAAUUGAGAUUGGCCACUGACAAUUACAAUAUGAGCAAUAAGAUUGGGCGAGGAGGUUUUGGAACUGUUUUCCGGGUACACCUCACAGUUCUUGUAUAAGUUGUAAACUUUUGGGAUUAAUAUGUAUGUUAGCCAGUUGAACUUGCCAAAAUGAUUCGUUAGAGGAGUUUAUGAUAGUAGACCGACUAAUAUUUGUAUUUUUAUUUUUGUUCCUAUCUUUCUCUGAUUCUGAGUUAAGAUUGUAUUCAGGGUUUUGGGAGAUGUUUUUCUGAUUUAGGUGCAGGGAAUGCUUCAAUUUUAUAAAACUUUAGCACUAACAACAUAAAUCCUUCCAUCCUUUUGUAUGAGAUAAAUUCUAAAACGAAAAUUUGUUCGCCUCCACUUUAUACCCCCUCCCCACACCGAGUCAUAUUCCUUUCGGACAACAUAAAAGUUGGUGGGCUAUAAAAGUUGAAAUGACAAUGGUAGGCAAAGCAGGGACACCCACCCCACUUGUUACACCAACUUUUCUAUUCUUCUUUUGCAUAUCAGUAACUUCUUUACCAUAAAGUUGAGCAAAAAAUAAAAAAAGUGAUCCCUUUGAUUUCUCUGCCAUGUUAAUAUCUUUUACAUCUUCAGGUUUGGUCUUCAAUUUAUAUUGGAAUUUUGGUUUCUCUCUCUAGUAUUUUCUAUAGGAAAAUUCAGCGUAACAAACAAAAUAGGAAUGAUAGGUAGGUUGAACUAUAAGAGGAGAUCAUGACUUGAGUGAGAUUUACUGGAGACAUAGAAAGGAAGAUGAAGAGUUGGAAUGGUCCCAUAAUUCCACUCGCUUAAUAUCUCAGUUAGCUCAAUGUUUUAGUGAGUACAUUUUUCUCUUGAAGCUUCUUUGCAUUCUUGUAAGUUUUGUCUCUUUCUUAAAUGAAUAUCAUAAUUGAUUUGUGUUUUGCAUGAAUGAGAAAAUGCAACUGUCCCAGUUGAAUACUUAAAUUGGCAGAUCAUGUUGUUAGGAUCUAUCAAACAGAGAAAAACAUGCUUUUUUGUUUGCUUAGUCCUAUCCAGGAUUCACUUCUUGCUUUUCUACGACAGUCUUAAAGGAAUGCUCCUUCUGCUUCAAGUAUUAGAAAACACAACACAAAUAAUAGUUUGCAGAAUGUAUUGGAGGAACUUCCAUUUAUAAUUCAAGUUUUAUUUACUUGCUGAUCCAUAAUUUGUUUCAUGUAGCUAAUGCGAUGGUUGGAUCACGAUCAUGGAUUGGAGGACUCUUUAACUGUACAAACACUAGAUGAUAAUCAUCUGAAAAGUUUGUGGACUAUCCUUUGAGCCCUGUUGAGGUAAAGGAAAAAUGGAAGUUGCUGAUUUUUAUAGAAUAUUAUAAACUCUUACCUUCUUAUUGAACCCUGAUUAUAUGAUCUUCUAUAUCCUAUCAAUGUAAAUAAAAACAGGUAUUAUGUCAUGAUAUGUUUGUUUUUCCUUGUGUCGGACAAUAGUUGAAAAGACUUAGCAUUUGUUUUAAUCAAUGGAGCUAUUUAAUUAUAGUAAUUAAUAGGAAACCAUAAUCUGCAAUUAUGCAUCCUAGUACGUGUCUGACUGUUAUCACAGACUCAUUGAACAUGUUUUAGGUUUAUGUCAGGAAGAGAAACUUCAAAGGCUUCAAGAAUAGCUGCAAGUACCUUAUGAUGAGACUCGCUCUGAUCAUCAAAUACUUAUUUUUUCAUGCAGCUAUCUUGCUUUCUUCUUUAUUUAAUUUCUCCGAAUUCUUUCUCAGUACGCGUUUGGAAAAUACAAGCUUCAUCUCUGGUUCAUUUUUGGGUUUUAUUGAAACCACAUUUUGCUAACAACGUAGUUAAAUUCCAACAGGAAGCACUGAGAACUUUGUGGCACUGUUCCUUUCCUAAUUUUUAUUUUUCUACAAUACUAUUUGACAUAUUGACGAUGCAAACUAUUUCAUGGCUCCAGGAGGUUCUACAAGCAACGCGAAUGCAACUGGAUAGAGAGCUAUCCUUAGAAGACAUCAACGCAAUACCAGACCUCCCUGCUUAUAAUCUACUGUACAAAUAGUUUUACUCUUCCUCUGCUGUUUAUAACCAACAAAUUUCAAGUAAGACAAUUUUUAACUUUGUAAGCUUUGUAGACAAUUCCAUUACAAUGUUUAUUCUCAUUGAACUGUGUUCUGCCUCUUCUGAAUGAGUUUGUAUUAUAUGUCACACCUUCAAAGUUUUUAUAGCUUACAUGUGGUAAAUGAGCCAAUGGUAUUGAAAGGACAUUUUAAGAUGCAUUUUGAAAUUUCACUUGGAGUUUUUCUAAAACCAGAGAAUUGAGAAACCAUCUUCAAGUUCAAAAGGAAAUUAGAAAUAAAAAAUUAAUUACAUUAGAGUCUGUGAUAAUGAUAAGGUUGGAAGGAGCAUUUUCUAUAAAAUAAAAAAUAGGUACAUUUACACUCACCUCUUUUGUUCUCCCUAGUGGUUUUUGAGUCUUUGGGUAACACAAACUCUAAACUUUCAUGAUGUACCUUCUUCAUUUUCUGUUAACUUUAGUGAAGAUACUGAUUAUGAUUAUAAGAAGUAUUUAACAACACAAGUAUUUCCCAUUAGUUGGGGUGUUACAUGAUCAAACAAAGUUGUUGUGCUGUAUCAAAUUGAAAUCUUAAAAUAUGUUGCUUUAAAUUCUUUUAAUGGUUUGUGCAGUUUUACAUUAUCAACUCUUGUUAAGGAUACUUCUAUUUAUCUUGUUUUUUAUGUUGCCAGGAAGUUAAAGAGUGAUGAGAACCAAUGAAGUGAAGUUCCUAUAAGCUCAAUGAGAGUUUUAUAAGUAAUUAGUUAAAAUAAAAAUGCUAAUUACUUAGAGUAGCACUGGAACUCUAAGAAGAAAGAAGUAAAGAUUUCUUUUUAUUGUUAGGUAAAAAUUUAUACACAAUAUUUAAUGCAUAUGGGUUGGUUCCAUAUGAGGUUGAGAGAUGAACAAACAAGUAAUGAGAUUCAUAUCAAAAGGCACACUGCAUUCGUCAUAGCCAGCAUCAUCUUCUUCUCCGGUCUCCGUAGUGAGGCGCGUGCAUACUGUAAUGAACAAAAAGUCCAUCCCCUUCCUCUGUAGAAUGAGCCAGUCUUUGCAGUGCAACACUUAUGUUCUUUCCCGUAGGCUGUGUAAGACUCAUCGAUAUCGAUCAAAACGGCGAUGUCGUCUUCAGAGAAAUUGUAUCUAUCGAUAAGGCAAAUACAUGCAUCUUUCACACACUGUUUAUGCAUCCUAUCAAAACUGAUUUUCUCGCCAUUGCAGCACUACACUAAUUUCUUUGUUUUGUUUUUUUCCGUGUUUUUUCUUUCUAAGGUUAAACUCUCUAAAUAGUUGACCAAGCAAAAUGUGCAUCAGGUUAGUUUUUUUGUUGGUAUCCUUUCAUUCUUUUAUUACUAUUUAUUCUUUCUAAAGUAAUUUAAAUUACUUUAUCAUUUUUAUUAUUUCUUUUGAAAAGUCAAUAAUGAUCAAAUAUAAAUUGGGACGAUACAUUAACAAUAUAUAAAAUUCAUAUACUAUAAAUUAAUAUGUUUUUCUCUUUAUAUUAUUUAUAUUUAAAAGUUAAACCUAACUGAAUAUGAAUCAUAAUAUUAUGACAAUAUAUAUAUAAUUUUUAUUCUAUCCAUACAUUUUAUGUUUUCUUUUUCUGUUACAUGUUGUUGUUUGUUUCAGACUUAUGAUUUAUUAAAAUCUAAUAUGUAUGCACCAUUAUGUUAAAUAAUAUAAAUAAUAAUAUUAUUGACUAAUAAAAUUAAUUGUAAGAAUGAUCUAUUAGGAUUUAAUACAUAUUUAUCGAUAGUGUAAGUAUCUUAUGAUCUAUUAGGAGAUUCCAUCUUUGGUGGCAGUUCUCGUGAUAAAGCAACAAGAAUAGGAAUAGGAAUAUGAAGUUGUUGGUUUUCACAUAAAUUGUCGUGAUUGUUACUCACAUAUGUUUUUGUUGUAUGUUUGAGAGUAUAGUGUCUCUUGCUCAAAGGUAUCUUCCCUUUACUCUCAGGAAACCUACCAAAGAUUUCUUAAAGGCAGUGGAUGGAAUAACUUUGAAGGAUAUUAUUCACUUUAUCAAAAGCUCAUUUCCUCCCCUCUUACAAUGGGAUCAUAUAGAGAUGGUAUUUUUUCAAAAGAAUUUUCCUUAACUAUUUUUGUAUCUUCUCUAAUAUUAAUUUUUUCAAUUCAUUUUCAGCAGUCAUAUAUGUCCCAAGCUAUGACUCAGUGAGCUGCAAGUUCAGUUCAAAAUGAGGUUGUUUUUAAUGUGUGGAUGAAAGGUGUAAAAUCAAGUUAAAAUGAGGUUGUUUUCAAUAAAUUGGUGAUUAUGCGCAAGCAGCAUAUGCAUAGUUCAUUAUUUUUGGGUACAUAAUCGUUGAAUUGAGUGAGUUUUCACAGGUAUGUAUGUAUUGAUGUUGGGCUAAGCUCUAACUUCUGGAUUAAUUUUGGAUCACUUGAUGUCCUUGUAGGCUGGACUAGUACACAGGAAUAGUACCCCAGAAAAGCUAAGCUCUAACUUCUGGAUUAGUGGAAUGCUCUUUGGAAUUAGCUGGUGCUCCCUUCAUUGAAUUUCUCUUGAGAAGAAAUUAAUAGCAUUUUUGUUGAUUUUUGACAGCCUCUGUUUAUUAAUUAGCGUUAUUGGACAUGCAAGUGUCUAUCUACGGUACUACCUUUUAGCCUAAACUUACUGAUUGCAGAGUCAAAACUAAAGAAGUUUGUGUGAUGGUUCUGGAUUUUGAAUGGAGUUCAAUUUGUUUUGAUAAAUUCUUCUACUUUAGUGCAUGUGCCUGGGCAAGCAUCCACUGAAACAUUAAUUAGCGUUGACUCUGAAUCGAUGGCUAUGAACAGCACUUGUUCUUAUUAUUCAGGUCUGCUUUUGGUACAGUUUGACAAGUGUCAUUCUGUCAUUUUAAUUGUGUUUCAAAUUAUGCAGGCUUUUGUUGAUUCAGUUCUUGACUUGGCUUCACAUUUUAUUGCAUAUUAGUGGCGUUAUGCAAGUUUCUGCUGCACAUUGGCAACUCAUACUAUGAACUCAGGCACUGGAAGCAACAACUGCAAUGUGGUUACCAGUCCUUCCCGAAGUCCUGCAACAAGUCAGGGUCAGUGCAUACUGAUCAGGUAUGUUCCUUGAGAGGUCAAAUUAGUCUACAGGUUCAUUUUUAGGAACUUUUAAAUAGUCUUCAUAGUCUAAAUUGUAAUGGGUUUCUAUAAUUUAAAAAAAUAAUUUCAAGGAUCCAGUUGCCUAUAGUUUAAAAUCUGAAUGAGACCCUGAUUUACUGGAUGAUCUUAUACGAAGUUAUAGUAUGAAUUCUGCAUUCUCUAUUCAUAACCUAAAAUGGAAUGGUUUAGUUUCUUAAGUGUAAUUCUAGUAUUAAUUUUUUUAUUCAUAUUAUAAAUUGGUAUGGUAUAUUUGUGGCCAUGAUUUCCUGUGGCCAUGAUUUCCCUAAAUACAAUUGUUCAUAGGAUAUGGAUUAUGCCUUGAUGACCCGAAUUGCAAAUUGCAGUAUGAAUUUUUUAUUCAUUAUAUGAAUUAUAGAUGGAAUAUUUGAGUUUCUAAAUGCAAUUGUAAUAAGAGAUGUGUAUUGAUAAUGUAAAGCAGUAUGGUAUGCUUGAACUGUAUGACCAUAAAUGUGAAGUGGAUGCCAUAUGCCAUGCUUUAUGAGCAUAAUUGCCUUGAUAAAUGCAAAUGCCAACAGUAGUUCUUUAUUCAUACUGUAAAUUCAGAAUGGCUGUGGAUUAUCAUACUGACUUUAUCGUAGUAUACAUUAUGAUUUCUCUAGUAUUGUAGUUUGAUUAUGGAGAGUGAGAUGUAACAUUUUUGUUGGAAUUAAGGAAGAGGAUUUGGUUAUCGUUGUUGUUUAUAAUUCUUUUCAUAUAUGCAGAUUAUGCUAACAAUAAAGGUGCAGGCCAGUGCACGAGGCCCCCACCACCAUUGAGGUUUGUGGAGGGUUGAUAUGCUGCCUUACCCUAAUAAUAAUAACUAUUAUUACUUAAAUGUUACAUAAAUGUUAUUGGAAAUUCUGGCAUAUGUUCUCAUUGUUCUUGGUAAAUAUUAGGAUUAGUUUUGUAUUUGACUUUGAGGAUGCUAUUUUUAAUAAAUGAUAUAUGUAUGAUACAUUAAGCUCAUUUCAAAAUGGGGUUGUUUACUUGGAUGAAUAACUUCCAUGACAUUCCUCUUUUUAAGCCUUGUGGCUUAUAUUCUCUUCAUUUCUACUGAGGAAAUGUGAACUUGUUUAUGCUCGUAUUAUUUAUAAUUUUCGUCAGGAUAUAUAUUUCUUCUCAUUUACUCAAUAGUAGUCUCUAUUUUUUUCUCCUACCUGUGUUUGAGCCAUAUCAACUGUUUACUUGUUAAUAUGUUAUUAAAAAAAAUUCUGAUCCUUAAGAAAACAAUAUUUUGUAUAAGGCUAGUUCAUUUAUUGUUGAACAUGUUUGAUUCAAUUAUUUGUGAAUGCAAGAGUGAGUGUGAAUUUAUAUUCAGAAGCAUCUCUUUUUGCUAGUUAAAGAAACUACAGAAUGAUUUCUUCAUGUACUUCUCGCAUAUAUUGUAGGUAGAUCGAGGAGUUGUUCAUACUCUAUUUAUCCACUUACUAUUUGCUUAAGGAUGCUUUCAAAUUUCAAAUGCAGGUUGAUGAAGAUGAGAUUUACUGGAGACAUAGAAAGGAAAGAUGGAGUUGGAAUGCUCCCACUCGCAUAAUAUCUCACUUAGCUCAAUGUUUUCGUGAGUACAUUUUUCUCUUCAAGCUUCUUUGCAUUAUUGUAAGUUUCGUCUUAGUUGAUUUUUGCUUUGAGUGAACGAGAAAAUGCAACUGUUCGAGCCAAAUACUUAAAAUAGCAGAUUUUCAUGCUUACAUUAGGGCAUUUUCCGUUUAAUUGUGGUGAAACUUAUCAAUGAGGACUGAGUUGGGAGGUAGCACUCUGGCCGUUUAAUUUUGGGAGAAUCUUUUUGUAAUUUCAAGCCUAUGUAUGAUAAUGAAGUUUCCUUUCUAUUUAACUUUAUUUUUUUGGGUAAGCCUAUGAGCAUUGAGAAGUGUGAGGGUUUGAUCAUGUUGUUUGGGCCUAUCAAAUGGAGAAAAACAUGUUUUUGUUUGUUCGUCCUAUCCAGGAUUCAUUUCUUGCCAGACAAUAGUUGAAAAGACUUAUCAUUUGUUUCAAGCGGUGCAGCUAUUUAAUUAUAGUAAUUAAUAAGAAACCGUAAUCUGCAAUUAUGCAUCCUAGUAUGUGUCUCACUGUUAUCACAGACUCAGUGAACAUGUUUCACGUUUAUUCAGGAAGAGAAACUUCAAAGGCUUCAAGAACAGCUGCAAGUACCUUAUGAUGAGACUAGCUCUGAUCAUCAAGUACUUAUUUUUUUCAUGCAGCUAUCUAGCUUUCUUAUUUAUUUAAUUUCUCUGAAUUCUUCCUCAGGACGCGUUUAGAAAAUUCAAUUCAUGAGUAGAGUAGAAUUCUUCCCAUUCAGAUUGUUUUAAGCUGGUAAUCAAAAUUACUUUCAAAAUUCUAGAAUUUUCCUGAGGCAUUUUCUUUUGUUUAGGGCGAUAAUGAUAUUUUCCUUAAACUAUGAUGAUGUUGGAAAGUUCUUUCAUUUAUGGUUGCAAUUUCUGUUUUUGGUAUGGUUAAUGACGUUCUUCACUUGAUUUUUACAAAGGUUUAAGCUCGAGAGAAAGAGAGGCAGAAAGAUAUGAUUUCUUUAUGCCAUUUCCGACCCUUUGUUAGUGAAAUGUCUCUCUUCUCUCUAGUUUUUCAUUCUUUGAAGUUAUUUAUAAUUCAUUUAUUAGACAGGAGUGGUAACUAUCAAAUUAUCCCAAAACCCUAAAAACCAAUUUUAUCAAGAUCACUUGGUUGCUUUUGUUAACCAUGUUAUUUCACUUGGUUUUUUCAAUGGUUGAAACUCUAGAUAGAGACAUAGAGGGAAAGUGAUUUCUUUAUGUCUUUCCCCCACCCUUUAUCACUGACACAUCUGCCUUCUUUCUUUCCCUGCAUUUUCAAUCUUUGUAUUUCUUUAUAAUUGAUGUAAGUAAAAAUGUUGUAUUUUUUGAGCCUAGAAAGACUAUCCCAAAAUCCCAAAAGUAUAUUGUGGCAACUAUUUCAUUCAUUUGUGUCGGUAAUGACAUUUUCCUAAUCCCAAUCUUGUUUAUUCAAGAAUGUUUGAUCUCGAUGAACUGAGAUUUUCAUUGGCUUUAUAAACCCAAGAGUUUGAUAUGGGCUGCGAAAACUGCAUAGUCCUUGCAAUAUGAAUUCUAGUUGCCUAUAAUUUGUAAAUCAGGAAGAGGCCCCGAUUUGUCGGAUCAAUAUGAAAUUCUUUAUUCACAAUGUAACAUCAGGAUGCUAGAAAAAUAAAGUUGAGCCUUUAGUUUCUUUAUGGUUACAUUAUCAUUGUUGAUUAGUGGAUGGGGUCUAAUAUAAUAUUGAACUAUCAUUUUCAGUGGAAAGUGACACGUUGAGAACUGUUAGGUUGGGAUUAGACUAUUUGUUUUCAAGUUGAGUUUGGAGUCCCCAUGCAUAAUGCCCCUUCCUUGAUUGUUCUAUUAUAUUAUCAUUAUGCGAUUUUUUAGGUGAUAAAUUAAAGAAACACAUUUUUAAAUAUAUAUUUUCUUUUGUUUUAUGUUAAAUAAAUAUAAAUGUAAAGAUGAAAAGAUAUUAUGCUUGCUUUGAGCCAUUAAAAUGUAAUUCUUACUGGAUCGACCUUCAAUUUUCCCUUUUACAUAAUUUUUUAACGUGUCAUUUGUUAGAUUAUGUGUUGCCAAACCUUGUGCUUAGGAGACUGUUGCUUAUGUAACAUAAGAGAAGAAUGUAGGUGACUCUGAUAAGCUAUAGUACCUUAGAUCAAUGCAAUUGUUAGUUGAAGGUAAUGCAUACAUUGCCUGGACCUCACUUUAUAUUUUUACAAGGUAUGUUCUAAAACCCUGGUUUGUGAUAAUUUUUUGGAUGGGCCGCAGCCAAUGGUUCAGGACAUUUUUACUUGUUUAUAGUGCAAUAAUACGUUAAAAUUGUGAGUUAUUCAAAAUCAACUAUGAAAAUGUUUUUGGACCAUUGGCCUAGUAAGUAGUAACAUCCAAUUUUCUCCUACAUUGGUUUAGUAUGGCUGUCAAAUCUCCAACCAUGACUUAUUUUAAAAGAUUAUAUUGCCAUUAUGUUGGGUUAUUCCCCAAAGCUUUAUUUAGCAUACAUGUUGGGGUAUACCCCAAAGCUUUAUUUAGCAUAUAAAUACUUUUUUUUAAACUGUUUCAGUACUCUUUCAAAUAUUGGAGCAUUGAGCAAUUUGAUGGCAGUCUCUUAUGGGCAGUAGUGUUUGGAAUCGGAGAAGAGUUCAAUACUAUUUUAUUUCAAAUAUGCUUAGGAUUAUUAACGAUCAUUUAGAAUCUGUCUCUCAAGUCAUUAGUUUUAGUAUUGUGUUGAGGGUGAGUGUUUGGAAUUGCAAAUGAAUAAUUUCUGAUUUGAAUUGUUCUUGUUGGUUUUAUUUCAGUUCUCCUCUUAUUAUCACACUUCCAACGUUGAGAGGGUUUUUGGUCCCCGUUUAUAACUUUUUCCCAUUGAUAGGUGCGAUGUUUUUGGGCUAUUUCUAUGUAUUAAGUUUAUAGCGCAAGCAAGAAUUGCUUUGUCCGAGGAAGAGAUUUGACAUUCUGUCUGUAAUGCAAAUUUUGGACUUUUUUGAAUUCAUUUGGAUAAGACAGAAUAAUCUUCUAGCUUCUUAGCAAUAAAUGAACUCACCUAAAGUGGCUUUUGAAUUGUUUUCGGCACUAGGUUGGGGUAUGUUAAAUAGUCCUUUAUACUCCACAUUGUAACUAUUACCAUAUCGUGGGUGCUUAUUUUAUAUCCUUUUUCCCAUGAUGCAGUUCGGGAAUAAAAGAAUUAUGGAAGGCCCUCUCUUUGAUUUUUGUAGGCCAGAGCCCUCCCAAGAACCAAUGGUGGUAACACCACCAUUGGAUAUGAAACAGGCUGAGUCAUCACAGCAGCAUGUGAGAGCCUUAAAUACCCAGUUUGCAAGGUCCAUAUUUUUAUUUUAUAUCAAUGAAUAUGCUUUUAAUUGAUUUGUGCAUUUCAAUUUGUCUUAUAUUGAUAUUUUCAAUGGAGGAUGACCUCUUUCAAGAGCAGAAACUGCCACAUGGUCUCAUAAAAGCAAUAAAGUUGGAUGUCUUAAAUGAGGCAGAUAUAGUUAAGUAUAUUCUUCUUUGUAUAUCUAUAUCAGCUUUGCAAUUAGUUAAGUUCAUUGUUUCUACAGCAAUGGAAUUAUAUCAAAUGGCAUGCACUCACUGUGUAACACUUAAUCGAAGAACAGUGUGUGGCUUUAAAAGCACAUCCAGUGUGUAUGUCAAUUAUAAAUCUCUCCUGACCGCCUUGUAAUUUAUUAACCAUAUAUUGGAUGUUAAUUAGUUUCACCUCUACAGGAUAAAAUGGCUGCUUUGGAGAUAAAUCUUCCGAGUGAAGGUGUGGAUGGAGUGCACAACAUGCGGUGGUAAAUCUUCAGAUAAAAAUUCUUGUGAAGGUGUGGAUGGAGAUUUUAUAUGGAAAAUGUAUUUAUAGGAUUAUAUGAUCAUUGCGAAUUUACAAGAAAAGAUGCUGAAAUACUAAUAUUUUAAUUUCAGGUCAUUACGGAGUAACCAAAUUUCCUUUUGUCAUACUCCAUCCAUAUUUUAUGUCAGAGAUUGCAAAAAUCUUGAACAAAAUUUGCCCUGGAUGUAAAUCUAUUCGACGAGAAUUACAGAACAAGGUAACACAUCAUAUAGUUAUAUGUUAUUUAUGAGCCAUAUGGCCCACUGUUGGAAGAGAAAGAUUUGUGCGGAGACAUAUAUGUGUAGAUACAACCAAUAAAAUCUUCACAACACAUGACAAAAAUUAAUUCUAGUUAAAAUUUAUUCCUAAAUGAUAAUACCAACAAACAUAAAUGCACUUAUCUCUAAAUAUGAUGUGCUGUAUACGUUUCCAUACAAGUUUUUCUCAUGUUGGAAAGAGUUUCAUAUUUUACACGAACCAUAUGGUGCCAAAUAUUUAUUAUUAUUAUAUAUAUAUAUAUAUAUUAAGUGGAAACCUUUACUUACUAGAAUGAUAUGCAAUGAUAUUCUUUAUUGCUAGCGUGAACGGCUUUAUAUUGACAAUGGAUCAAAUGUUAACUCUCAUUUUUUAUAUGUUAAAUUAUUUUUCAAAGCAUAUUAAUUGAAACAGUUUAAAUUUGUUCUACUCUCUGUGUAAAACUUGACAUUUUCUGCAACCAAAAUGGUGUUACAUCUAUUAGGUUGGAGACUUGGAGUAACUAUGGAUUUUCUCUUAGUUAAGGUUUUAAACUUUUUCUUUCAUCAGGGGCAGCAUGUCACCCAUAUUUUGUUUAGAACUCUUUUCAUUGAAUGUGAAUCAGAAGUAAAUUCGAACUAGAACAGGAGCAAGUUUUUUUAUCAGGAAAACAAUUAUUUCUAAUUUUAAUGUAUGCCUGAUCUUGUGCUUUCUUCUUUUCCCUCUAUAGAACUAUUCCUCUCAACUCCCAAUAUUUAUGCCUGCCAAAAUUGAGGUAAAAUGAUGGAACUAAGAAUUAAAAUGGAGUUAAAAAAUAGUUUUGCUCUGUUCCUUUAUAAGUUAAAUCCCAAACAAGAGUUGGGUUCUAUUCAUUCCAUUCCCUGGUUUGUAUGCAAGGGAAAGGUAGCUUUGCCCAUCUAAAAUUUUCUGUUCUGUUCCAUUAAUAAAAUUAAAAUCUAAACAGAGUGUAAAAAGUAAUCCGAUAACUAGUUGUUUAGAGUUUGCUUAAAGUACACAACUACACUGACAUGAAAAGAAUGUAGACCUUCCCUCAUUAAAGUUUAUUUUGUUUUGGAAUUUGGCAAAUAAGAAAUUGAUAAAGGUGGUUCUGUAAUACUCCCUCUGUCCCCUUAUGGAGUAUAACUGUUUAACUUAAGUCAUUUAUGACAUUCAGAAACGGAUACGAUAAGAGAAGACUUGUAUUGAAAAUUUAUAUUCACUAGUAUAAGGGACGUCCUUUUAUAUUAACCAAACUCGUGAUACUUGUAAAAAAAUACUCGUUUUCUUAUCACCAUUGUGUUUUUGGGUUUACUCAAACCAUUUAAUGGAGUCUGAUUACAAUGUUAUACAAUAAGCAGGCCCUAACUAUAUGAUGAAAUUACUAAUCUCAUGGAAUCCAUUUAGUAAAACACUUGAAGGCACGCAUUGAAAGGAGGGGUGACCAUUUUCAUAUGGUAUGUCUUUGUCAAACCUUUUCACCACAAUGGUCUAUUCAGGGUAUAUAUAUCCUAUUGUUGCUAAGUUCUGCUAGAGUUGUUUUUAGCUUUGAUUUUAUGUUAACUGUGUACAUAAGGAAACAAAUGUAGAUGAGAACCUUGUAAUCAAUUUUGUAUGCAUAUUGUAACAUAUUAUUGGAAUUCAUAUCUGGCUUCUUCAUAAGGGGACAAGUGACUGAAGAAAGCAAAACCGCAAAAUAGCAGCGCAGGGAUGUUUUUUGUAGGAAAGUUUCAGAUAUCUGCCUGGCACCUAUUACAGGUUAGAUUUCUAUAGAUUGUUAGAUUUCUUGUCUUAUUCGCACAUGUGGGAAUUGGGAUGAAUGUCGAAUAUUAUAGUCAUCCUUUAUGAGCUAGAUCUCUAGGAAAGAGGAAAAUGGAAUUUAUCGUUAGCUGCAUGGGAACACAGAAAACCUAUUUGUCAAUUAAUUCUGUGGUCGGCAUGAAGCUGGCGAUGGUAACCGGGAAAUGCAAAUGUUUAUGUCAUAACAUACUCUAUUUCUGUAAUUUGGCGUGUGCUCUCUUACCGUGAUGAGAGAAAAAGAAAUUGUUAGUAUAAUCACGUUAUGUCUUGAGAGUUGAGAUGCUAUAAAUUAGAAAUUGAAGGGUCUGUUUUGUUCCAAAGUCUUCUUUAAAAUUGAUACAAUGUUAGGUGUGAAGGCAUGUGAUUUUUUACUUUAAGACAUAAGCAAGGUUAGGUGUUGAUAUUUUUUUCCCAACUUCUUUAUUUGAAACUUAUAUUUCACAUCUUUCAUCCACAAAUCACAACUAGUAUGUUAUGAAUGUAAUAUCAUCCAUGUAUUGUAUGAUUAAAUACAAAUGAUAGAUGAUGCAAUAAUAGUAUAUAAAAUUACUACGAAUACAUUUUUUCUAAUACUUUAAUUUAUAUCUACAUUUAUUCUAAUACUUUAGUUUACAGCGUUCAAGUUAAAUAUAAAAGUUAUUAAAUAUUGAAAGAAAAAACAUUUCCAGAUUAUUAUUAUUUGAUUGUAUCCUUACUAAUUCAAAUCAUCGUAAAAAGAAAGAAAAAACUCAUUCAAAAUGAGAAAUAAUUUGCCUACUGAGAAUAUUGUUAAAAGAAAAUGUUUAGAAUCUAAAGAUUCAAACUCAAAAUAUGUUUGUUGUGGUCAGCAACAGAUUGAAUAGGUGAAUGAUAAGCCGAUAAGCUAUAAUGGGAUGUUACACUUUUUAAUCCUGUAUGCAUUGAAACAACAAGAACAAAGAAGUGCCAAGUUAAUAAUCCCCAUUUUAUUUUCAGCAAAAAGGAUAGUAGUAUAGUAUAACAAAGUGGGUACAAAAUGUAGUGGUAGCUUGGCCCUUGUGGGUGGGGCUGCCAAUAAUGUAAGUUUUUUUUGUUACAAGGCAGAUAGUGAUAGUAAAGUUGUGAUGAUAAUAUAACACUGAAGUUGAUAAAAUAAUAUUGCAUUAAAUAAUUUGGUGGAAAUUAUACACUUCUCUCUGUUUAAUUUAACAAUGAUUAGUACACCUCUUCAAAAAAUACUUAAUUUCAUUUGGUAACUCUGCUGUACCUAAUUGUAGUUCUUAGGCAAUUAGUUUUUUGGAGUUUUUGCCUAACAUGAAUGUCCUUGCUCAGGCUUCAUAGCCUCAUGUGUCAAUGAGGUGGUUUUUCUAAUCACAUUAUAGAAGGUAGACUUAGGUAUGCAUUAUAGCUUAGCUCUUCAACAAAGUUAAUGUUACUGAUUUAGCAGUUAGUACCAAUGUUUGCUAUAUGGUUGAUCAUUUAUGCCCCUUUACACCUUUUCUCGGCUUCUGUACUGCAAAGAUUUUGUUUGUGUCCUAUGCUUAUUUUUCUGAUAAUUUGUAUAUUCAGGGACCAACUAAUAUAAUCCGUGAUACUACCUGCUUACGAAGCGGCUAUCCGGGGUGUCUCUGGUACAUGGUUUACUAGUCUCCUACUGGUGCCAUGUUCAAGUUUUUCUUUACAUUGUUUAUAAAGUCUUGUAGUGAUACUCCCCCUAUCUCUCCCCUUGUCUAUGAUUCUAUAUUCAAUCAUAGUCUUUAGAUGUUCACAUCUGCGUAUUAUCAUUCUUGAGUAACAUGGAUCAUAGUUUCAAAUUGUUAUACUAUGUAGAUCCUUUUUUGCCAAAAAGAUCUUAAGCAUUGACUUAAGAAUAUCAAUAUGUUUCUUUUUUCCCACAUUGUCUUUGCUUGUCCUCAAGCACCUAGAAUAACUACUGAUGUGCAAAAGGUUUCUGUGUCUGGUUCCUAAUAAGUCAUAAAGGGUCAAUUCUGAUCCAUUCUUCCAAGUGAUGUUAGUACAGUUGCUCGAUGUUCUCUGCUCAUGGUGGUGAAACUGCUGUAUUUUUUCUUCAGGGUGAAAUUCACAUCUUUUCUGGUUCGAAUUUUGCGCCAGUUGAGAACUAUUAGAUUAAUGUUGGAUCUGGAAUUGUUGCCCCUGCAUUUUCUUCAACAAAUUGUCUAUUCAGUUUCUGUAUGGUAUGACUCUAGUAAGGAUCAUACUACAUUGAAAAUAAUCCGGGUUUUUUCCCCUACUAUUCCUAGUAGUCAAGUAAAAGCCAAUCUUUGGUAGUGUGCAAUUGCUAUCACUUAUCCUUUUAACAUUCUUAUAAAUUUAAAGCUUCUGAUUUUUUCAACUGUGCAGUUGUGAUUUGUUUAGUUUAUCUGGUUUGCAUGAAAUGGUAAUAUAUGUAACAAAAACAGAUUUUGGUGGAGCCUUUUGGUUGGAAUUGAUUGGUGGGGUGCACCCAGAGUGCUGCUGAGGAUAGUAUUGAUAUGGAAGUUUUUGGUAUCGUCUUUUUCCUAUUUCUGUUUUCAUCAAGUAUUCUCAUGGGAUUGAUUUAUUGUAACAUGUUUAAAAUUAUAUAAGGAUUAAUCUUUUUAAAGAUAUAUAUAUAUAUAUAUAUAUAUAUAUUGUGUAAUAAUUUUAUAAAGUCAAUGUUCUUAACUUAUUAAAGCAAGUAAAUGGAAUGUGAAAGGAGAUUCAAAUCUCAUUUAAUGUGAAAUAUAAUUCAAAAACAAAUAGACCAAUCAAUUAUUAAAAUAUACAAUGUGGGAAGGUAUAUAGAAAUAACAUGGACAUGUUUUGGAGGAAAAUAUUGGUUGUGGGAGUGAUAUAUGCUAUGAGGAACAUUUUUUCUUAUAUAUGUGAUAGACUAUUGAGGGGUCUCAUUCCUUUUCUGAACUGUGAUGAUAGUACAUUUUUUCUUAUAUAUGUAAUAGACUAUAUUAUUAGGCAUAAGCAUUGUGUUUAUUGAUUCUCCUUGCAGAACAAUAUAAACUUUCAUUCGGGAGAAGAAUAAUAUAAACUUCAUUGCUUUUUAAGCUUAAACAUACUUGGAGAUGGAAGGAUAAAAUGCCCAAGAGGUUGUUGUUGGAUAUGUGCUAAUGCUUGGGAAAGGAGUUGAGUGUACUUUGAUAAAUUCUUCACCCUGACAAGCAUUCUCGCGGAAACAUUAAGCAACAUUGACUAUGAAUCAAUGGCUAUGAGCAUGUAUGUCACUUGUCCUUACUAUUCAGGUCUACUUUUGUUAGAGUUUGACUAGUAUCAUUCCUUAUUUUGUCCCCUCCAUUAAAUUUAUGAUGGUCAUUAAUGUUUAUUUAUACAUAAUAUACUAGAGAACAUAUUAGGUGAGAAUUAUUGGGUACUGUAACUGAGAGAUUAGAUCUUGAUUAUUGUUUUUUAUUUAGAUGACUAAGAUUGAAAGAUAAAUAAACAAUUAUAUAUGUUGAAAUAAUUUGAAGAUAAAUGUUUAUAAUGAAAGUUGUCAAACAAAGAUGUUUAAAAUGGGCAAAUGUUUUUCAGCUCUUUUUUGACAAAAUUAUUGAAUCUUGAUUAUUGUUUCUUAUGAUGGUCAUUAAUGUUUAUUUAUACAUAAUACACUAGAGAACAUAUUAGGUGAGAAUUCUUGGUUAUUGUAACUGAGAGAUUAGAUCUUGAUUAUUGACUAAGAUUGAAAGAUAAAUAAACAAUUAUAUAUGUUGAAAUAAUUUGAAGAUAAACCUUUAUAAUAAAAGUUUUCAAACAAAGAUAUUUAAAAUGGGCAAAUGUUUUUCAGCUCUUUUUGACAAAAUUAUUGAAUCUUCUAAAAUUGAAAGAAUAUAUGAAUAUGGAGGAGUAAACAUUUUUAUGGUCAUUAGCUUUGUUUUCCUUUUGUACUAUUUAAGAAAAAUUAUAUUGAGGCAUCAUAAGUUAAGAAGAUUUCCGGUAUAUGUGCGCUUCAUGGUACCUUGUGCAUAUGGAUUAUAAUUUAUUUAAUAAAAAUAUGUGGGCUUAAUUUAUUUUCACAAAAGUUUAUAUAUUAGAAAACUAUUUUUAUUAAAAAUUUAUUUAUCACUUGUUAUCAUCAUAUAUUAAUGUUCUGAUAUUAUUAGAACCGUAAUUUCUUAAAUAUUCUAAUUACUUAAUUUUAAAAAAAUAAUAAUGAAUGUGUUUGAUAUGUUAAUUAAAAAUUUAAUUUAAAGUUAUAAAGAACAAAUGUUUACAUAUUUUAAAAAUUAAAAUGUAAUAAUAUUUAUAACUCCUAAGUUAAAGUUCAUUGAGAAUUCUUUUAGAAUUAAUGUUAUGAUCCAUAAUUAAUUUUAAUUUUAUUGAAAUAUUUUUUUAUAAAUAUAUAUUAUUACUAAAUUAAUUAUUAAAAGUUGGUAAUUGAAAGAAGGGAAAAUCAAAUUGACUAAAAGUGCUGCAAGAAUGCAAAAAAAUAAAAUAUGUAUUAACAAGGCCCAUUAAGGCCCACUAAGUAGAUUUUAUUUACAGUGUCGGUGUUUAGUUUGCUAUAUAAAGACAAGAUCAUUGGAUGUUUCAUAAGUUCUUUGAGAAAUAUGCCAGAGAGGGAGAGAGAGAACGUGAGAGAGGGAGAGAGAAAGCGAGACAUACAGUAAGAGUGGUAUGAAAUUGAACAUGAAUAUGCGAGAGUGCGAGAAAGAGAGAACGUGAGAGAGAGAGAGAAAGCGACACAGAAAGAGAUUUAUAUGAGGAAUCACAGGAAGUUGAGAUCAUAUUCCUUUGCACUCGCAAGAGAGGUAUGAAAUUGAACAUGAAUAAAAGAGAAUGAUGCAUACUGUUUAGUGUUGGAUAUGCAUGCGAGAGAGGGUGAGUGACAGAAUCAAUUUCCAAUCUUCUUCAUAAAUUACUAUAACUCAUGAUAAUGUGAGUUUGUUGAAUUUCAGCUCAUAAUAUGCGAUUUUCUUCAACUUCAACUCAUUAUAAUGUGAUUUUCUUGAACUUCAACCGAUAAUUAUGUGAUUUUCUUGAACUUCAACUCAUAAAUGUGAUUUUCUUGAACUUCAGCGGAUAGUUAUGUGAUUUUCUUGUACUUCAGCUCAUAGUGUUGCGAUUUUCUUGAACUUCAGCUGAUAAUGAUGUGGUUUUCUUGAACUUAAGCUGAUAAUGAUGUGAUUUUGUACGCAUGAAAUUGAGUCAUACUGUUUCGUGUCGGAUAUGCAUGCGAGAGAGGGUGAGAGAAUCAAUUUCCAACCCCUUCUAUCUCUCUUUUCUAUCUCAAUUUCCAAUCUUAUUCAUGAAUUACUACUUAUCUCAAUUUCCAAUCUUCAUGAAUUACUACACUUAUUGAGCCAACUUCUUAGUAUCUCAGUGAUGUGAUUUUCUUGAAUUUCACCUCAUAAUAUUGCCAUUUUCUUGAACUUCAACUCAUAAUAAUGUGAUUUUCUUGAACUUCAACUCCUAAUUAUGUGAUUUUCUUGAACUUCAGCGGAUAAUGAUGUCAUUUUCUUGAACUUCAGCUGAUAAUGAUGUGGUUUUCUUGAAUCUGAACUGAUAGUCAUGUGAUUUUCUUGAACUUAAGCUAUGUUAUUUUCAUGAACCUCAACUGAUAAUGAUGUGUGUUUCUUGAACUUCAGCGGAUAAUGAUGUCAUUUAUUUAUGACUUUCUUGAACUCCUAAAUGAUAUUGUAACAUGAAUUCUUUAUUCACAAUGGAUAGAUGGUUGGAUCGAAAUUAUAUACUUGUAGUAUGAAUUCUUUAUUCAUAAUUUGUAAAUGGAUGAUAUGCUUUUAUGAUCUCUCAUUCAAAUGCAUUUGAUCUUGAUGAAUCUGAAUUUUAGUGGCUGUUUUGGAUUGUGAGGAUGAGGUAUUGCAUGCAAGAUGAAUGAUUGUGAGGAUGAAUCUUGAUGCUAUGUUUGACCCUAGUUGCUUAUAAUUUUGAAUUCAGAUGGACCCUAAUUUUAAAAAUUACCCGAAAUGCAAUUACAAUUUAAAUCCUCAAUUCAUAGUGUUAAAUCCUUAACAUCUGAGGUUUGUGUGAUAACAUCUUUAGUGCCUGAGCCCGUGCAAGGAUCCACUGAAACAUUAAUUAGCGUUGACUCUGAAUCAAUGGCUAUGAACAACCUUUGUCCUUACUGUUCAGGUCUGCUUUUUUUUCAGUUUGACAAGUGUCAUUUGGUCAUUUUAAUUGUGUUUCAAAUUAUGCAGGCUUAUGUUGAUUUGUUUGCACUUGCAAGAGAGAUAUGAAAUUGAACAUGAAUAAAUGAGAAUGAUGCAUACUGUUUUGGAUAUGCAUGCCACACUCAAACUCCUCAAUCAGGGACUCCACAACCUGUCAUGGCAAUUUCCAACCCUUUCUAUCUCAAUUUCCAAUCUUCUUCAUAAAUUACUAUUACUCGUGAUAAUGUGAUUUUGUUGAAUUUCAGCUCAUAUCCUCCCCUCUUACAAUGGAAUCAUAUAGAGAUGGUAUUUUUUCAAAAGAAUUCUCCUUAACGGUUUUUGUAUCUUCUCUAAUGUUAAUUUUUUCAAUUCAUUGUCAGCAGUCAUAUAUGUCCCAAGCUAUGACUCAGUGAGCUGCAAGUUCAGUUCAAAAUGAGGUUGUUACAUGUGUGGAUGAAAGGUGUAAAAUUAAGUUAAAAUAUGGAAUUCUCAGUAUAUUAUUGCAGUUGUGUAUAAAAUGUUGUCAGUGUAAACUGUCUAAUUGGGAUCACUGUAAACACACUUUGACCUUCUAAUUGGUGGAAGAAAAAGGCAUAUGGUUUUGCCCCCUUUGUGGCUAUUCAUUAUUUCACUCGAGUCAUACAUUUCUUGCAGGAUGGAAGAUUUGUCACAUCCAGGUUCUUGAUGAAUUAGAAGUCUGUAUUUGUACAUGUUAUAUUGUAUUGUGCUCAACUUGCUCAAGAGCAUAGCAAGUUAAAUCUAAAGGUGCCCUGAAUUUUGUCUUCUAUGCUAUACUUGUGGUCUGAUUUUAAAUUUGAAUUGGGACAUUCAUUUAUCUGUUGUGAUUUUAAAUUUAAAUAUGGUUGUAUGGGAAAAAAUAGGGAAUCCAAAUUCUGUUCUAGCUCAAGAAGAACAUACAGUGUUAGCAUUAAAUACUAGUUAUUUGUAUCACAUUAUGAAUUUAUGAUAUGUAUUCCAUGCAGAUGGUAGUAUAUGGAAUUAGAAGGUUCUAUAAUAUUGUAUAGUAAUGAUAUGAUCUACUAUUUUUAAUGUGCUGUCAAAUUAGUUUCUGUGUCAUUUUUGUAUAUCAGGGACUCUGAGGAACAGUUCUUCUUAACUGGAAACUCUUAUUAUUUUCUAUGAAGGGGCAAGAGUUAUCUUAAAAGCUUUGAGUGAUAGGAUAUGAAGGCUUUGAGUGAUAGGAUAUGAAGGCUUUGAGUGAUAGGAUAUGAAGGCUUUGAGUGAUAGGAUAUGAUCUCAUAGACACUGUAAACUUUCUAAAUGUAUUUACUUGGUGUCCACUAAGUUAGUAGUAAUUAUAGAUGUUAAGUUAUCAAAGUUCCUCUAUAUGAUGUUUUGUAAUUCACAUUAGAGAAUAGACCAAUCUUAGAAUAAUUGAUGUCUUUAAUUUGUUUUUUAAUUAUGUUCUGAUUGAAAAUUAAAACUAACAAGUGCUUGGAGACAUGAGUUUCUGAAGAACUGCUUGUUUCCUUCAGUAUAUAAGGUGCUUAUUGUCUGUAAUGGUACUUUUCAGUCUUCUUUAUUUUACUAGUGCACGACUGAAUAUUUUUAUGCUUGAAUAUUUAUUUUUUGUGAAAGGAAGUUUAGGUAAGUUGGGUCUAUGCAAGAAUGUUUUUUACCUGAUCUCACAGAUAAGAUGCUUGUGGAAACAAUAAUUUUCUUGGUGUAUGCAGAGAAAUGCGAUGCUUUCCCCUAAAUUCUUGCCUCUGGAUGUAAGUGAUUUUUUUCUUAGGAUUUCUUCAAUAAGGGGAGAUAUGAGCUAUUAACACACUCACAAUUAAUAGAUUUCUUCUUAGUAAUAGAUGCAUUUACACAAAUUUGAAACACCUUAAGGUUUUCAUAUCUUUGCUUGUGAAAAUAAAUAGGCUGCUUUCAAUGCAAUUGUGGUAUGUAAUUCAGAUGUUAUGCUUUGGGGGGACUAUGAUGUGCCUAAAUGCAACAGCUAUAUGGAUUGACCCUCGAUAAAUCUAAAUGUAAAUUGCAGUAAGCAUUCUUUUUUCAUUAUAUUACAUAAAGCUUGAAUGUAUAUUCUUGUUGGAAUGUUUGAGCUGGCAAAAUGCAAUUGUUUCCUAAUGUAGUAAUUAGAAUUACAUGCUUUUAAGACUUAUAUGAUCCCUAAAUGCAGUAUGAGUUCUUUGUAAAUGAUAUAAAAAGUGGAUGGAGUGUUGGUAUAUGUUGUGCCUUGAUGAUCCUAACUGCAAAUGUCAAAUGCUAUAUUGAUUCUUUAAGCAUAAUGUAAAUCUAGGAUAGUCGUGGUUUACCUUAACGCGUUGUCAAAUAAUGUGACUUUCUUUAUUUGUAAUGUAAAUUUUGGAUUGUGGUUUUUUGGCCUUUAUAACCUAAAGGCAAUGGCAGCAUGAAUCUCUUCAUAAUCUAAAUUCUGGAUGGGUUUGAGCCUAGAUGUCCUUAAAUGCCACUAUAAUAUAAAAAUGUUUAUUUAUGAUGUAAAAUAAGCAUGUUAUUUUUAGCAUAUAUUACCUUAAAAGCAUUUGUAAUAUGAUAUCUUGUUUCAGAAUGAUUGGAGGUGUGAACUCUUUAUGACCCUAGAUGCCACUGAGGUGUGAACUCUUGUUUCAGAAUGAGUGGAUGCCACUAGUGUAGGCAAUAUCAGCUAUGGAGGAAGGAGAUUCUUGGGGUCAGACUGCAACAAAAGAGAAAGAAUGUGCUUCUGGGAGAGGAACAUGUCUGGCUUUGAAGCAUAAAGGAUUAAGCCUGUUGAGAUGGCAGUAUCUGAAACGAUGGUGAAAAGAAAGAACAUAUUACUGCGUUUCACCAAGCAUCUUUUUGAAUACCUGGGAUGUUGGAAUUUGUUUAUUCUUUUGCCUAUGUGGAUUAAACUGACAGUUGUUAUAUAAGGAAUCGAUUGUUUUGGGAGUCUCUUGCACUGUGGGCUGCCCUUUAAUAUAAAGGUAUAAUUGCAAGUACUUUAUCGUUGGUUUUCUAGUGGAUAGUAAAUUUAAUUGUUAAGUAUGGCAUUUGCCUAACAUGAAUGGCUUGAUAAACCUUGCUCAGGUUUCAUAGCCUCACUUAAUCAAUUAGGUGGUUUUUCCAAUCACAUUAUAGAAGGUAGACUUAGCUAGGCAUUAAAAGCUUGGCUCUUCAAUGAAGUUAAUAUAAUUGGUUUGGCAGUCAACACCCGUCUUUUCUAUAUGGUUGAUCAUUUAUGCGACCUUUAAUCUUUCCUGGCUUUUCUAUUGCAAACAUUAUUUAGGGUUUUCUAUUUGGUUUCACACCUCCAAUCAUUUAUGCUAUCUUUAUCAGAUUUUUGGGUUAAGAAUUAUUUUUUGAAUUAUGGUUCGAAGAGAAUGGCCCUUUUGUCAGCUGAGUUAAUUAGAAUGACCUGUUUUCUUUGAUUGCAUGGUCCAGAAAGUGUGUUGUUAGAGUCACUGAUACAUUAUAGGCUCGUUUGUGUCAUGUUUGUUGAGAACUUUUAGGUGGCAGAGAAGGAUUGAUGUAUUUGGACUAGGCUUCACUGAUUCUGUACAUACCUAUCGAUAUUUUCCCUUCUUUCCUCACCAAAUAAAUCCAUUUUAGCAAGCAUAUAAGUAGGUUAGCACAUUUUGUUCCACUUUCAAGUCAUCUGUGAGGAUUACUGUCUUUUUUGUAAUAAUGCUUUACUAUUGCAUGUGAUUGCUCUCUGCAGGUGCUAAGUAAUCCGGAAAAGACUCCCCUUCACACUUUCAUUUGCAACUAUGAUUUGAGUGACAUGCCAGCUGGUACCAAAGUAAGUUUUGUCUGUCUGGAUAAAUCUCUACCUCAAUUGAUUUGGGCAUUUUGCUUCUUAAUGGCAUGAUUGUUUUGAUACGGCUGACUUUAGCUCUAAAUGUUGGCUGGCCAUAUAUGAAAGAAGUAAAUUAAAAGACUAGAAUCCAGUACAUGAUUUACUUGUAAAUUGAUUAUUACAUUCAUGAGAUGGUGAGAUCAAACAACCAUAAGCAGGGCAGGGCAGUGCACGAAGAUCAUACCUAGUGGGGUCAGGGGAGUGUUGAUCUUCAAGCAUCUCUCUAGAAUCAAUGGAUUCUAGGUUGAGUAGAGCUGUUUCUUUAUUGCUAAGAAUUUAGGAAGAUUACAAAAGUAGAAUUGUUAGAAUACAAUGGAUCCCACGAUUCUCUUCUCUGGUUCCACAUCCAGAAACUUCCCAACUAAUUUUCCAUCCCUUUAUUGAAUUUUCUAACUAACUAAGGGUAUUAUUGACAAAACUACCACAUGACUACUUUUCUUUUGCCUCUUUUAUAUACAUUUGUAAUACAUGGCCUUGGCCUACCCUUAUCAAGGGUAGAUAUUUUAUUUUUUUGAAAAGUGGUUUUAAGUAAAAGUUAUUUUUAUUUUUUUAAAAAAACGACCAUACAAUUGCCAGGCUGUGUUAUUGGGUUUCAAUUUGGUUUCCCAUGUUGGGUUGCUUUUGCUGCUUGGAUUUUCAACUGUGCUUAAUGGUGCUAUUUUGUUGUUGUUUCUCAAUUUUUAAGUGAGAUUGUAUCUUGGCAAAAGGAGGAAGCUUAAGAGUGUCGGUGAUGAGAGUGAGAAUAACAGUGUCGGUAACAAAAAUGGAACACCCUCAUAUUAGGUUUUUAACUUGAGGCAUGUUUGAUCUGGUGGCGAAAACUUUGCUGGGGUCAAACAUAUCUUUCAUGUGAAGAAGCUGUUGUAAGUGGUUUCCACGUUUAUAAAGUAUAUUCAACAAUUUGUAAUACGGUUCCAAACACUCAUGGUUAAAAUUUCUAUUUGGGUACAAAAUGUUCUAACAUUUGACACUAUCUGAAUUUCUACUAUGAUAUCUGAUUUCAAAGAUCGCGAGAGAUCGAGAGAGAGAGAGAGAGAGAGAGAGAGAGAGUGCGAGAGAGAGAGAGAGAGAGAGAGUGCGAGAGAGAGAGAGAGAUUAAGCAUUAUGGAUUUAUUUAUGCCAUUCUUCCUACCCUCUCUCGCAUGCAUGUCCAACUUGUGGUUCUGUUACAGAUUAAAUUAUGUUUUGCUGUCUCAAUAUCGAAUGUUGUACCCCAAAAAUGGUUGAUGAAUUUUUGUAAGGUGUUUUUAGUUGAGCACUUGCACUAACUUACUAAUAAUACACAACUUGAUCCUAGUAAAUAAUAUAUAUAUGUGUGUGUGUAUAUAUAUAUGCCAAGCAUUGCAAUAAUGAAAUGAAUUCGAACUAGUAUAAUAAGUUAACUGAAAUAAUGUUAUCUUUGAUACCCAAAACUGGAGUGUGUGGUUGGAUUGUGUCCCCAUGAUGCAGAUAAUGAAGAACAUAAAGGAAACAAGGAAAUGGUCAAUUUUCAGCAUCAUUCUUCCUACCAAUGCCGAUAAUUUUAGAUCUUGAGAGAACAGACAAAUGGCAGUAUAACUUUAGCUCUAUAAUUCUAAUCUAAAAGAAUACUUUCAGGUUUUAUACCACAUUGGACAAUGCAGUUCCGACAGUCAUCAUGAAGAGGCAUGUUAAGCACUUAAGGUAAUUUUGAAAUGAUAUUCUAAUUCCGCAACACCCUUGACCAUUCCAUUUUCAUGUAUUCAUAUAUUAUGAAUACAUGAAAGUGUACAUAUUAACUUUUCCAUUUUGACUUUCAUACUAAGUUGUUGAGGAGUAAAAUUUGGCAACUUCUAUGGUCAUGAUAUUUUCACAGAUUUUAUUUUAUGUUCUGAUUAUAAUAUGGGUAAUUGGGUGUAGUACAUUAUAGUGAAAGUUCAUUCUUUAAGUUGAAUCACGGUGAUGGACUAUAUUUCAAGUUAUGACUCUAUAUGAUCCAUCUUAGUUAUAUUAUAGUUUCCCCCCUACUUAGUUUAUGGGCUUCUGAUUCUUUAAAUCAUUGUUUGCAGAGGUGUGCUAUUUGGUGCAUAACACAUUUGGUUGAAGCCUAAUGCUAAUAUAAUUAAUGAAACGUUCCUGUUUUUGCAAUUUGUUAUAUAGGAUAGAGUCAUUGACUUGAUUUAUCUUAUACAAUCUCUAAUUUCAUAUGAACUCCACCAAGGAGGGUAGAUUAGUCCAAUCUCGAGAGGUAGACGAAACCAUUAGUGAGUAUUAAGUAAAGGGUUUAUGAUAAGACAUUAUGGUGUUGGUCAAUAUAGCUGACCCUAUUUAGUGGAAAAAUACUUGUUGCUUUUGUUUUUGCUUAUUUCAUGGAUUGUUUCAGGGGUGCACUUGUGCCGUGCUAGACAUGCAGAAUGAGUUUGAGGAUUUAUUAUAUUUUCUGUUUUGUCUCUUGCUGUUGUUCUGGCUAGAUUCUCUGGAAACUGUUAUAGAGUUCUAGUAUACCUUUUAUUGCUAUGAUUGAUUUUUUGGUCAAUAGGCUUUGGUUAAAGGAAGUAGGUUUAUUCUUUUACUAAUUCAUGAAUCCAAUACUUAAGUAUAUAUAGUUGAAAAGGGUUUAUUUCUUUCUUUCUUAUUCACCCAAUUGGUUGUAUUAUUGAGUAUUGACCAUUGGAUUCUGAAUUCAGAUUCAUCAUACUAAAACGAAUUCUGCCAAUUUUGCAGGGUUAAGGGUUUUUAGCGAGAGUAAUGAAACAUUGGUUUGACAAUAAGUAGUCACAGAAUUAAGUAUCACUGGUGUCUGGUGUUACAGAUAUUCACAAACACAAAUAAAUCAAUUGUAAGAUUAGUUUGUGUGACUCAUUCAUCUUCAAAUAUGAUCUAUUCUUGAUUUAGAUAUUUGGUAUUUAUGUUUUGAUUCAAGUGUUGGUAAGAAUAGUUGCUAAAACUUAUGCUAAAAUUUGAAUUUCAAUAAAUUGUUUUUUAGUCAUAAACACAUCAAUUUUUCCUCUCCGGAACUAUUCACUUGUACUGUGAGAUGGAUUUCCUGUAUCUAAUAGAGUUUUAUAGUUGUGCCACUGCCUCCCAAGGCAUGUCUGUAGUUCUAUUUUAAUCUAAUCAUGUAGCUAAUUUGUUCCUACUUAUUUAUUUUCACAAUUGUUGUUCAAUCUUCAGUAAUUUUGAUAUGAACUUAUUGACAGUGACCAACUAUAUAUCAGUGCAACAGCAUGGAACAUUUUAAACAUGUAACAAUCAAGGAGGAGCACUCAUUUCUAUCAUCAAUGGUGUUGAUUUUCGAGCUAUUGGCUAACAUAAUACUCUUGGUGACAAGGCCUUUAUCUCUGCUUAAACUGGCAUACUUGAUUGGGAUCAGAACUGCGUUAAUUGUCACUUAUGCUUGGAUAUCUUCCAUUUAAACAUAAUAUUGGGAACUAUAAUAACAUGGACGUUUGGGCUUAUAUCUCUACCUGCAAGAGUUGUGAAUACCUUUCAAAGGGAGAGGCAGGCUAGUUUUCAUUCGAUAACUAUAUCAUAUUCCCUAAAUGAUAAGAUGACUGAUUUGCAUCACAGGUUUUUAUCUGCAUAAUACAUUUCAUUUUCCCCUAAGUUGUAUAUGGAUCAUGAUGGGUAGAAUUUUGUCACUGAUGAAAAUUUUAGUACAAAGUACAUGUAAGCUCUUUUUUUAAGGGUGGGGACUGGGGAUGUUGGUGCUUUUAGACUUAAUUUCCCUCUAUCCUUUGUGGACUCCUCCCAUUAUUCUUAUCCAUAAGCACAACAUUUAUUUUAAUGCAGAAUAAGCUAGAGAGUCUAAUAUGGGAUCAGAAGGAANNNNNNNNNNNNNNNNNNNNNNNNNNNNNNNNNNNNNNNNNNNNNNNNNNNNNNNNNNNNNNNNNNNNNNNNNNNNNNNNNNNNNNNNNNNNNNNNNNNNCAUUCUUGUAAGUUUCAUCUUUUUUUCAAACCUAGAAUCACUUACAAACCUCUAAACCACAAAAUAUAUUCUUUUUUUGUUUUAAAAAAAACUCAAACGGUGUGAAUGAUUCAAAUCUAAUUCAUGAAAGGCAAAAACAACAUUUAACAAAUGAGUGCCACACUUAUUUUUAAUUCACCACCAUUUUCAGAAUACAAACUAAAUGAGUUAGAGGGUCCAUUUUAUAAUAUUAAUUUUUUUUAUUGUUUUUUUAGAUUUGUUGAAUAUAUACAUAGUAACAUACAAGUUGGCAUCUAACAUAAUAUGAGAUAUUGACAUGACAUCUAAUUCACAAGUGUAAUUAUCAUAACAACUUACAUCAAUGUUUUGGUAUAUUGAAUGAGUUUAUUAUAAUAUGAUACGUGUAAUUAAUUAGUCAAGUGGCAUAGUAAGUAUAGUUUUGGCGGACAAUGUUGAGUUUGAUGCUGGGAUCUCUUUGCAUGGUUUGGUUGCCGCUAAACUUGGUGCCCAUGUCACCAAUCGUUGACUGUGAAAGGUUAGAGGUAUUAGAUACCCAUCUUUGUCAUCUUUGCUUUUAUUUGAUUAUAAAGGCUUUUAAUUGACCAAUUUCUUUGAAACCUAGUGCUUUCAGGGUUUGUCAAUAUGCAUAUUGGUUUUCAUUAGAUUUAUCAUAAUUUUGAUAGGAUAGUUAAAUAGCAAUGGAUAGAUCCUCAAAGUUAUAGUUUUGAUGAAUGGUGGCUUAUUGUUUUGGACCCGGCGGUACUUCACAACAUGAGAAGAGUGUGUUGCCUGAAUAAACUUGACUGCAAUGUAAGUUUUAUAUCAUUACAAUAAUUGUGGCAAAGCCUUCUCAUUUUACAAUUGAUUUUGUUCAUGAAAUUAUAGUACUGUAGUAGUACUGUGUCUAUUGCAUGGAUUUUAUGGAAGAUAUUGAUUAAGCACAAAUGCGCAACAAUCUCUACUUAUAUGCAUAUGUGAUCUUGAGAUUCUAUGAAUUCUUGUAAGUUUCAUCUUUUUUUCAAACCUAGAAUCACUUACAAACCUCUCAACCACAAAAUAUAUUCUUUUUUUGUUAGAUAAAUGUAUUGUCUGACUCCAAUAUGGCUUGAACUUCCUCAGAUCUUGAGAUUCUAUGUUGUUAGUUAUUUGUCCGUUGUCACCUUUGACCUUCCUCUAUUCUAUGGAUUGAACUAAUUAAUUGGUUCUUCGAUGAUAACCCUCUUUGCCACUGGCAUUCUUCUCCGAAAUUCUCCUGGUUUGGUUUUUAUAAUUUCAUACCAUAAUCAGAGUUACUUUUUAUUCUUUGUCCUACCUAUACAACCUGCAUCUAAUAAUUUUGCCCUUCAUUUUCUCUAUUCAUUUUAACCAUCUAAUCAUUUGAAAUGAGCAUUACCUUGUCGAGUUCUUGAUGGGAAAUGGGGCUUCUUAAGGUGUCUCAAUCUGUUUAAUGGGUUUUCUUUCCUGCCAUCAGAUAAAGCUUUCACGGCUAAGUGGUGACAUUCAAUCAACAGAGAGUUAUCAUCUGAAAAGAUAACGAGGUACUUCAAAGUUUAAAAUAAACUUUGAGUGAGCGUUUUUUACAGGUGAUGGUGCUCUGCUUUUAUCAAUGUUCUAUUUGUUGCUUUCUGAAAACUACAUCUCAUGUUUAGAUGAUCAAGCAGUACUGGAGUAAGAAAAUAUCAUUAUACUGAAAUACCUCCUACAGAUGGACAUAAUCCUUCAAAGUGAUACAUUAAAGGGAGAAAGAUCUGGUUUCCUAUUGCUUAAUGUUAAGUUCGGUUAAAACUUGGCAGCAACCUUUUCCGAGGAAUUUUGUCGUGUUUUAUUUCACUAAUUGAAAGUCUUGAGUUGCCUUGGGACGUGAUGUGAAUUACUGUUAUGAAUCAUAAGGUAUGUUUGUAUACCAUAUUUGAACAGAUGUUUUAAUGUUGUUAUUGGCAUCAGUGUAAUGUUUCUAUACCUUAAGAAGCCCUUAGUUUCCUUUCUCAAACAGAUACAGUUGAUGGUAAUUGCUAGCUUCAUUAUUUAUUGUAGUUCUCCCUCUCAUAUGUAUGGAACAUUUUAAACUUGUAACAAUAUAACAAUAUAACAUUAAGAUCAAAUCUCAUUAUUAUUCCGUUUUUUAUUUAAAGAAAAAUAUGGAUUUAUGUAUCUUAUCUCAUUCUUUUUCUUUUGUGUCCCUUCAUCUUCAUGUGACAAGAGAUAUGAUUCACCCGAAAAAAUUAAUAAUUAAUAUUUGAACUUAAAUAAUUUAAAAAUUAAUAAUUAAUAUUUGAACUUAAAUAAUUUUUUAAUCCAUCUGAGGUAAUGGUACAUGGAGUAUAAAAAGUGAGAUAGUAGACGUGCUUCCAAAAAAUAUAUACACCUAUUAUGUAUAAAUUUUAUAAAUUAUUAUUAUAUCACUAAUUUAUAUUUAAUUAUUAUUAACUCUUUAAAAAAUUAAUUUAAAUGAAUGAUGUAGUGACUCUAUAUAAAUUUUUAUAUUAAUAAUAUAUUGAUUGAUGUUACACUUUUUUAUUUAUUAACCUUAUGUAAUUGUGUUGGCUUCAUAGUUGGAUACUCCUGCGCAGGGGUUGGUAUGUAUUGUGUCAGGUAAAGUAAAAAUAGUAUAAUAUAAAUAUAAAGAGUAAAUAUCAUUUCAGUCUCUCAUGUAUUCAAUCAUACCGAUUUGGUCCCUCAAAUGUGAAAAACUCAAAAUAGUCCACAUAAAUUUUAAAUGUGAGUUAAAUUAGUCACUUUUACUAUAUUUUAUAAUCCGCGACAGAAACUAAUUUGACUAACAUUUAAAAAAUUUGGAGAUUAUUUUGAGUUUUUUAAUUUUUAAAGGACAAACUCGUGAGGUAAAAAAACAUGAUGGAUUGAAAUUGAUAUUUACUGUAUAAAAAAUGAGAGAAUACAAAACAAGUCUGAUUAAAAAAUAUUAACUAGUAUAAUAUGGAUCCUUCUAUUACGAUAAUAGAAGCUUAAUGUCAUUAUUUUGUAACAAAUUCUUGGUAACUCAUAUUUUCGAAGUUAUGUGUUCAAAAGUGUUAUGAACAUUAUGCUAUUGAAAUUGCUAAGUCAAAGCACUCCUUAGCAAUGAGAAAACACUAAUAUUAAGCAUUUUUACAUACUGUAUGAAUAGUGCUCUGUCAAGAUUAUCAUGAAUGCAUUCAAUGAAUUUUCUUUGAAUAGUGUUUUGGAUGAUAAUCCAAAUAUCUAUUUUGAAGGUAUAAAGAAUGAUAUAAGAAGAGAUAUAUUGAAUAUUACAAGUUUUAAAAUAUGUUAAUCUUCAAUGUUACUAUUUCAAUUGAUAAAAUUGUUGGCAAAUUAAGAUCAUGGGCAAGUAGAACUCUACCCAAUAUGGGUAGAUGUCAAUAGUGAUCUUAACGUUACAAAGUUAUUGUUGCUGAUAUUACAUACUUAUUGGGCUACAAUUUUUUAAUUUUUGAAGUUGUUUUUACAAAUAUUGAAAGAAAAUUCAAAGUAUUCCUUUAGGGCAAAAAGAAAUUUGUAUAUAUUUAUUCUUUACUAGUCAUUUUGGCUUAAAUAAAUUAAUGAAUAUUAACUCAAGGUAAAUAGUAUACUACUUUCCUUCAACAGAUAACUUAACAGAGAACAAUCAACAAGAAUAUAAAGUUACUUUUGGACAUGUUGGGUUGAGUGUUGAAUUUAAGCAUAUAACUUCAGAACAUCGAGACAACCUGAUUAAAUGAUGAGAUAACGUUACUAUAAGGAAAAUAGUAAACUUAAUACUAAUGAAAUAUAAAUCUAGUGUAAAGGAUAUGUAUUAUUGUAUGAAAGAGUACCUACACUAAGCACAAUCAGCAGAAGUAGACUGUAAUGUAUGAUUCUCUUGAUUCAGUAAUAGACAAAACUUUUGUCAAAUAUUAAAGAAAACAAAUAGAUGAUAUUACUCAGUUUAGAUUGUAGGAAAACAUCUAGAAAUGGAGGGGGAACAAGUUGUAUUUGCAAUUUAUUUAUCUUUAUAAAAAUUCAUAAGAAUAUGUAGAAACAUAAGCGUGACAAAGAUAAAGAUAUGUUAGAAAAAUAGAUUAGCUUUUUCAGGAAGAAAAGGUUAGGCUUGUAUUAAGGCUUUGUAAUAUUUUUAGCCCAAUCUUACCAUCUAGUUAUAUUUUGGCUAUAUCAAUUUAAAAUUUUAUAUUCUUUUUGUUGUUGUUUGGAUCAGAGAAUAGACAUAAGCCUAUAGCAAGUCCUUUGAAGAUAUAAUCAAUGCAAGGAAGAGCAAGUUUAGUGUGACUAAAAGUGUAAGUAAAGAAAAUUGAACAUGCAAACAUUGAAAUGGAGGAAUAAAAUGUUAUCUUGAACUUUAAAUGAACUACAUAAGCUUCAUUGAGCAAAAAUGACCAAAAAAUAUUAACUUGCUGGUAAAAAUCUUACAUGGUUAAUAAACGUCUAACUAAAAAAGCAAGCCAAAGAUUGAUCCAGUAAAAAUGUAAUAAAAAUUCAAUAAUAUAUAAUAAACUAAAGUAUGUGAUAAUGUUGCCAUAAGAAAAAUAUGAAACUUAGUGAUGAUAAAAAUUAAAUCUAGUGCACAUGGUAUUAUUGUGGUAUGACCAAGUACCUACACUAAACAUAGUGUGCAGAAGCAGGUGGCAGUGUAUGCUUGUCUAUAUUUAAGAUGUUACAUUUUAGUUAAGCAUACAUUGAAUCAUAAAUGUAUUAGAAAUGCACAAUUCACAUGGUAUUGUUGUGGUACUUCAAAUGUAUGUGUGUCCAUAUGUAGAGACUUAAGUGAGUAUUAAGAAUAAGUAGACAAUAAUUAGAGAUGACGUACCUUUUUAAAUUUCUAGCAUGGGAUUAAUAUCAAUUUGUUUCAACAUAGCCCAUGCGUGCCGAAAGUAACAACAAUGACAUUAGUAAUUAAAUUUAUAGAAAAAAUUCAUAAAAGAAAGAAGAGGUACAUUGACGUAUUUUGAAGGCCUUUUAUAUGAAGCAAUCUGCAUAAUAAAAAUGUAUAAAUUAUGAUUAUUUCCUUAUAAAAUGGAAUUAGAACAUCUUUCUAAAAAGAUUGGAGGCUAAACAUCUUUCUGUAUCACUUAGUCCAUGAUGAUGAUAACCUAAAAUGAUAUACUUGAUCCAAUUUUAAAAAUAUUUAGAAAAUCUACUAACUUGGGUAAUAUAACAUGUUUAUCUUGGCAAACAUACAACUUUUUCUAGCCAUAUAAUCAAUCCUCUCAAAUACUAGUAGUAAUAUUAUUUUCAUAUAAGAUAAUUGUACCUAUAAAUAAGUAAAAGCCCAUGUAAAUUUCUCUAUGUGGCACUAAUAAUAACAUAAUAUCUUGGAGCAACUUCUUGAUUUAAUGAACUAGAAAUCUUUCACAAUUUGUGCCUUGAGUAUUAACAAAAUCAGCUCUUGCAGAAUCUCAUGCUGAAAAACAAUUAAACUGAAUACAGGACAUAGUUAAGUUUCUCAAAAUAGCAAAUAUGCAUAUUAUAAUACUAUUAAUCAAAGGUAGAACAUAUGCAAACAUAGUAUACUCCAUCCUGUGAUGAUAUCUUAGCCUCCUCUCAAGUUUAGUAUAGACCUUUACUAAAGUCACUUACAUGCAGCAUUCACUUAAAAAUGAGUGUGAUGCUGAAGUGAAUAUAAUGUGAGAAUAACAAUAUUUUUUUAUGAAUGUCUAGUGAAUAUAAACUUAUAAAUCCAAGAAAAUUUACUCUAUAUUAAUUUAAAUAGUGUAAAUGAUAGAUAUGAUCGAGAUGUAUAGUAGUUCAAAUAAUUCAGAAGUUAUACUAAAAUUAUUGGAAAAUUGCUUAACUUACCAAAUAAGCUUGAUGAGAUAAUGACAUACUAAACAUGCAUGGAAAACUAAGUUUCAUUGAGUAAAAUUACACAUCAUAAGGGCUCAUAGAAAUACAGUAAAUAAAGUACAAUAACUUAGAUAGUGAAAAUUUAUGCUUAACUAAAAUGAUAUACUUCUCAUGUUAGAGAUUUAAGUUAUGCAUACAUUGUUGAAUCAUGCAAUUUACCUAGUUGAAUUAGUGACUUGGAUUUGAUAAUUUGCAAGAGCAUAUUCGGAAGUUACAUAUUCGCAGGUGUCCGUUCGGAUGACUAUUUUUAGCGGGCCGGACUGAGGAUUUUAGCCCAAAAACUCAUAUUCAGCCCGUUUUUCAGACAGGCCAAGACGGGCCGGGCCGGGCUGGCCCGACGGGCCAUUGUUAAAAAAUAAAAAAACUAAAGUGUGUGACACUGUGCUGUGCAAGGGACGUGUCAACUGGUUUCUUCUUUAGAAUUUACAAGUUUUAAGCUAAGAUAUUAUGUUGUUAUUGUAAUAUUGUAGACUUAUGUUUGUGAUUUUUUGUUUUAAAAGACAUCUAUCAAGUUUGUUGAUUAUUUUUUGUCUAAAAGUUUUAAUUAUGUACAUUUUGGAGGGAAGACGGGCCAGCCCGUCAACCUGCCAGCCCUGCAAAAUAUGGGUUGGGCUGGCAUUUUGAGCCCUUUUAACAAUACGAGUCGGGUCGGGCCAGCCCUUAUUUUGGCGGGCCAAUGGCGGGCUGGGCCGAGCCGACCCACAUUGUCACCCCUAUUCUUGGUGCAUGAGGAUCUUCCUCCAGUCCCAUUGUUCCUCCAAAUUAACUUUAUCAUGCACUUUCUUAUCAUGCUUUGACCAAAUCUAGUUGUUGUGUGCUUGGAUUGUGAUGAGGUUAUUCCACCAUAACUAUUGCUCCUCCAAAAUUUGCUCCAUGCCUUCCGAAAAUUUUAAUUUGCUUAAAAAAUGUUAUCUUUUUCCAUGAAAAUGUUAUCUUUUUAGUAAACAUUGAACUCAAAAAGCAACAAAUAAGUUUUAUCCACUGAAACUGCUAUUAAUAACACCAAAAUACAUGUAUACCUAAGAUAACACCAAAAAUGUUAUCUUGAGCUAAAAAAAUAGUAAAUAAGCUUCAUGGAGUAAAAAUACCCAAAAAUGUUCACUUUUUCCAUAAAAAUAUUAUGUUUUUAGUAAACAGUAAACUAAAAAAGGAACAAAUAAGUUUGAUCCACUAAAAAUGUUAUUAAUAACACAAAAAUAACAUGCAUACCUAAGAUAACACCAAAUUUGUUAUCUUGAAGUAAAAAACAAUAAAUAAGCUUCAUGGAGCAAAAAUAUCCAAAAAAUGUUAACUUUUUCCACAAAAAUAUUAUCUUUUUAGUAAAUGAGAUAAUGUGAUGAUAAAGAAAGUUCAGUGUAUGAGAUAAUGUACAUAUAAGAAGUUGCAAAAAAAAAUCAUACUUCUGAAUGUGUAUCCAUUGAUAGAUUUAACGCAGAAAGAUAUUGUGCUUGGGAUGAAGGAGGAAGAAAGGAGUUUGAGGAAGAUAAAAAAUAAAGAGAGAAACCGGCAUGAGAAUGAAUGGAAAAGAAUAAGGAGUACUUUGCCUACUCAUAAAAGCCACUAAAUGUCAAACUCAUAAAAGCAACUUUACCAACUAUGGGUGAGUUUCAAAUUUUGAAUUUGAAAACGAAUGAAAAAAGCUACUUCAUGUGUAGAGGGAUAACUUUAUCGCCUCAAAAAAUAAAAACCAACUAUAUGCUCAAACUCAUUAACAUAAUAACAUAGAGGUAUAAUAAAUGACCAAGAAAAGAGUGCAAUGAUAAAUUUAACCCUUAAAACUUUAAGUAUCCAUCAUAUAAAAUGUAUAUUUUAGUAAUACCAUAAGCUCAUUGCAUUCUUAUAUAGAGAUAGUAGAAGAUAGUAGAUUCUUACCGUGUUAUGACCACCUUUUUUCUUUAUUUAUUUAUUAUGCGCAUGAGAGGAAGAGGUAAAAAAAAUGUAAAGAUGGUGCUUUUUUUGUCCUUUUCGUGGAUAAAAUUAUGUAAUGUAGUUUAGUGGAUAACGAAAUGUAAGAGUUUGUUUGAUUACUUGAAUUAUUUUUUAUUUAGCACUUGGGCAAAAUGAAAAAUUAUAUAUUUCUAUUUCUUAAUAUUAUAUUUUGUGUGGAUAUAGAAGUCAUUAAAAGUACAAUUAAUUCAAGUGUAUCAAAGAGACUAACUAUAUGAAGAGGAAAGAAAUGAAUGUUAUGAAAAUUUAAAUUUUUUAUAUAAUGUCAGUGCAUCAUACAUUAUUCAUACAUAAUCAUUAUUAACUCUAUAAUAAUGAUAUAAUAAAUGAUAUAUGAUAUAUUGUCUGUUUAUAAAUUUAUUCACUAAUAAUACAUAAAUAUUACACUAUAGAACUUUUACAACAAUGUAUGCACCAUUACUAUACCUUAAAGUUAAAUGAAGGUAAACUCUUAACCUCUAUGUUAACGGUAUAUUAUUUUGCUCACUAAUAGUUUUACUAAUCAUUAUUUUCAUUAAUAAAUUAUUAUAUGACCUGAGAUUAAUAAUAUUAAUACAAAUAAAUUACCUAAACUUACAAGUACAACCAAUGUACAAUAAUUUCUCAUUUUUAUAAUGGAUUGUUUGUUGAAUGAGUUUUUUAGGGUUGUUGAAUAGAUGAAGAGUAUACUUUAAAUUUUCUAUUGAAUUUACAACAUAAUUAAACCAAUUUGCCAUAUAUGAUUAAACCAAUUUCUCACACAACUAUGAUAGAUGGGUUGGGUGAGAAGUUGGUGGAAUUGAUGCAGACGCUAUAAUGUUUGACUAGGUAACAAUUGGAUGUUAAUUUGUUCUAAAAUUCUAAGCUUCUUUUAAAAUCUAAGAAUAUCAUUAAUUCGAACAUUGACUAUCUGUAAUAAAAAUUUCGAUUUUCUUCUCUGCUAAACUAAUAAAUUAUCAACAACGUGUAUGUUAUUCAUAAUAGUAGAUUUUGACUUCUGUGGUUUUGUCCAAUUGAUUCUUUAGGUCGUAAGCUUAUAUUAAAUAAAAGCAUUUAGUUACUUCUCAUAUUUUUGCAGCCUAUGAGCAUGGUCCUACCAGGUGUCGUUGAGUUUAAACUAUUAGGAAAACUACAAGAUGGUGUGACAGCUACUGACUUAGUGUUGACUGUUACUCAAAUACUUAGAAAGCAUGGGGAGUUAGUAGAGUUUUAUGGUAAAUUCUAUUUUAUGCAAUGUUAUCUUUUUACCAUCACUUGCCAAGAUGAUUAAUGUUUGCUUAUUUAAUUGGUUUUUUUACCUCACUUAAGCUCUAGUAUGUAAUUUUAACUUUUAACCGAAUGAGAGUUUGAUAUCUUUGAAUAGGAAAAUUUUGGUAUGACUGUGUUAAACUCGGUUAAAUCGGAAGAAACUGAGAAGUAAAUCAGACGAUUUACUUAAAAUUAAAAAAUGGGACACUGUUCUAAUCUUUUUAUUUUACUCCAAUCCAAUAAAACAUUGAGAGAUAUUAUUUCAAUAUAAUUAUUAAUUAUAUAAAAUUUUAUAUUUAUAUAUAAGUAUAUAUUUAUUGAUACAAAAUAUUAAUUAUAUAUGAAAUUGUCUGAUCCAAUCAGAUGAUUUAACCAUUUAAAUCGGUUAAACUUUAUACGAUACUUUUUCCGGUUUAGCAUCCGACUCGAGUUUCAAAAUAUUGCUUUAUACAUUAAGAUGAGGAUUACUUCUAUGUCUUCCUAUGCUUUUUAUGCCUUUCACCCGAAUCCUUUCCACAUUACCAUCUUCAAAUUCCAAAUAUCAGUAUAACAUUAAUAUUGCUAACCGUUAACCACAUUUAAAUCCACAACAAAAUAAAAAAAUUCAAUCAAAAUUGUAUAUAUUUAGCUUUUAUUGAUGAGAAAAACCAAAAUAUUAAAUUGAUUCUUGCAGCAACAACAACAUAUCAUUGUCUCAUAACAAUACCAAUUCCUUGUUUUCUUGCAUGAGAAAUUCUUUGUUUUCAUAUAUAUAAUUCUUUGAUGAAUCUUAAAUGAGAAGAAAUAUAAGGGGAAGCCGUCAAGAGAAAUAAUUAUACUUUCAUAUCAUAUUAAAGUUUGGUGGAGUCAUGAAAGAGACUUUUUGAUGAAUCAAGAUGUCUAGAAAGAAAUGCAUGAAUAGGGACGGCAAAAAAAACCGUACCCGUGGGUACCCGCAGGUAAAAUGCGUACGGGCACGGGUAUGGGUCACAAAUGGGUACCCGUUGAUAUUAUAAACGUGUUUUUAAAAAUACCCGUAGUACAUACAGGAGGGUACGGGUAUUAUGGUACUCGUACCCGCGGGUACCCGUCACUUAUAUGAUUAAUAUAUUAUAUUUAUUUAAAAUAAAAAAUACAUUAUUCUAACAUUUAUUACACUAUGUAUAUUUUUUCCUUUUACUUUGUUUACAUAUUUUAUUGAGUUUGGUGGUGAAAUAUUCUACAAAUAUUAUUACAAGUGUAGAAACACACAUGUUUUACAAAGAAAAUAUAUAUUUUUUGUUAAAGAAAUGAGAACAAAAAAUUACACAAAUAGAAAACACCAAUAAAUUUAGCAUUUUGCCAAAUAUUUAAUCAAAAUGUACAAAAAUAAUUAAGUUUCAUCUUAUUUGAAACACAAUAGAAGUAAAAAUUUAAAAAUUUAUUUAUAAUAGAAGAAACUCGCGGGUACCCAUUUGUACCCUUGAGUACCCAGAAAUAACCGCGAAUACCCACAUACAGGUAUCCAUACGAGUACAGGCGGGUAUUAGUAUUACUAUUCUAUUUUGAAACGGGUAGUGGGUAGCUACUACCCAUGUCCGUUGCCAUCCCUAUGCAUGAAUGAGAAAUAAAAAGAAGAAGAAAUAAUAAAAUUUUCAUUAUUUCUCAUUGAAUUGAUUACAAAUAUUAGAUCCCUUUAUAUACAACUACUAAAAUAGAAAACAAAAAUUGUUAACCAGAUAAUUGAUUAACUCUGUUAAUUAAUUGAUUAGUGCACACAAAAUUCACCUAAACAAAUUGAAACAACAAACUAGUUAAUCGAUUAACUACAAUGUUAAUCGAUCAACUCUUACAAAAUCUCACAUAUUCUAUAACAUAAAAAUGAGGUUUUAUAUCAAAAAUUGUUACAUUAUUAAAAUUACAAAUUAUUUUAUAUUCAUGUAAAUAUAAAAAUAAUUGUAUUAAACACACCUAUAAUCACUUACAAACCUCUAAACCACAAAAUAUCUUCUUUUUUGUUUUAAAAAAAAAACUUAAAAGAAAAAGAAAUCUAUGCCAUGAUGUUAACUCAAGCUAAACCAAUUUUUAAACAUUUAUAAAAUAGAAAAUAUCAUGUUGAUAAGUUGAUGUGAGAUUAAAAUUUCAGGACAAGUUUAAAAAGCAACAAUGUGAAUAUUCAAAUUUAAUUCAUGUAAGGUAAAAACAACAUUUAACAAAUGAGUGCUAUACUUAUUUUUAAUUCACCACCAUUUUGAGAAUACAAACUAAAUGAGUUAGAGAGUCCAUUUUAUAAUAUUAAUUUUUUUUAUUUUUAUUUUUAGAUUUGUUGAGUAUAUACAUAGUAACAUACAAGUUGGCAUCUAACAUAAUAUGGGAUAUUGACAUGACAUCUAAUUCACAAAUAUAUUGAAUGAAUUUAUUAUAAUAUGAUAUGUAUAAUUAAUUAGUCAAUAAUACUGACCUGACAUGUAAGUUGAAAACUCCAAUAUAAACAAAUAAUAGAAUUAAAAAAUAUAGAAAUUAAUAUUAAGAUUGGUUACUAUUUAUAUUUUAAAAUAAAUAAUAUCAUCAUAAAUAUAUUAUCAUGGUAUGUCAAAGUUAAAUGACUUAAUUAUAUAUGUUUUGACAUAUUUAAUUAUAAGGAAAAAGUAUAUUAACAAAAUGUAGAACAUCAAAAGAAAAUAAUAAACUUGAUUGGAAAUUACAAAAAGGAUAAUAUUCGUAUUUAAGAUUGUUUUAACUAAAGGGAGCUACUACUUUAACAUCAUUGUAUAUAGACUCUUCACUUGAGGCCCAUUCAACGAGGCCCAUUUAAUAUAGGCCCAAUCAAUAAAGGCCCAAUCAAUAAAGGCCCAAUCAAUAGAGGCCCAAUGUUGAGUCAACUUCACGUUUGAACGUUGCCCCUUUUUCCUUUAUAAAUACCAUUCUCGUUCUCCGUUUAAUAGAGACUCAAUAGACUUUGCGAUGAUUCGUAGGAUGAUAUUGGAAUGUUAUAUCUUUUUUGUUUAUUUCUGGUCGUAACUGUCGUCUCUUUCAUUUAUAGUGAGAAAGCAAAGUGAAAGUUAUUUCUUUUGUGUUUAUUUCUUCCUCAAUGGUUGAAGCUCUAAACAGUAAGAAAGAAGAAACAAAAUUGAUUUCUUUACUCAUUUAUCACUUACACAUCUCGUUUUCUAAUCUCUGUCUUUCUUUAUAACUGAACAUUUCUGCAAUGUCUGAAAAAUUUGUAUUUCUUGAGCUUACAAACACUGUCCCAAAACCUAAAAGUAUGUUAUGACAUCAAAUUCUUUCAUUCGUGGUGGUAAUGAGAUUUUCCUAAUCUCAAUCUCGAUUAUUCAAGAAUUCUUGAUCUCGUUGAACCAUAAUUUUAAUUGGCUUUAAAAACCCAAGAGUUUGAUUUGGGCUAUAAGAAAGCUGCAUAGUGCUUGCAAGAUGAAUUCUAGUUGCCUAAAACAGAUCAUAAUGAUCAAGAACAUCAAGAAGAAGAAAAAGAAGCAGUGAAAGAGUUAAUUCACAAAACCAAAACGAUUCUGUUAGUGUUGGUUGUGGUUAUUCUGUUACUUUUGCCUUACAUUUUUGCAUCCUUUUUAAUUUUGCCAAUCAGUCAAAGUAAUUUUUGUCUUUUGAUAUUGCAAAUCUUGUCAUUUAAACAAUAUCACAUGCAUUAACACAAAAUAUUUUGGCUCAACUCCUCAUAUUUGAGGUUGUUGUGCGAAAGAAAUAAGAGCAAAGAGUCAUGAUGUGCUCUAUUUGUUCCCAACACGUAUCACUUUUUAAAGCUGGUGUUUUUGUUUUCUUUUGUUUAUAAAAUAUGUCAAAUAUAUAAGUAACUCAUGUUUUAUUUUGUCCGGUUAUGACACUUCUAUCAAAUGCGACCAUAUUAAUGCAGAUUAGAGUCUAACUCCAAAUAUUUGGGGUUGGUGUUACAAAAUAAAACUUAUCAGAAUCCUCAUUAUCAAUUUUCUCUCACAUUGAUUACUACCCAACAUGCUAUACCAUCAAUCCUAUGCUGUAUCUGUUUCCCCAUUGUUCAUUAUUUCUCAACAUGAUUCUUCAUUACCUUGCCUUAUCUCAUAAUCACUGAACUGAUUAUGAUGCUUUUUCAAAUAAAAAUCAUAAACUCCACUAAGAGGAAAUUAUCUUAGCAUGCAAAACUCUUGAAUCACUCUCUUUUUCCAUAAUUUUUUAGUAUGAAAAUGCUAGUUCUGAAAGUUUUACGGAUUUCAGAGCAACUGACAUUUUGAAUCUUAAAUACAUGAUGGAUGCCAUAAUGUCUUGCUUAGCUUGUGUAUAUUGACCGUUGUUGAUUAUAUACUGCAUUGCUUUUGCUGCAGGUAACGUUCUUCUAUUACGAAAUAACUUAAGUUUGAGUUCAGAUAUUGCUGAAGUUUCUCAGGAGAAAUUGCUUUCAUUGGUUGCUGAAAAAACAUCCUGUCUCUUUGUCCGAGAGCUGUGCAGAUGUCUCUGGAAAGGGUGAAAAAAUUCACGACCAAUCCACUCUCACAACUAGCGACCAUGAAGUUGUAGAUGACUCUCAAGGAUUUAUACAUAAUGCAGAUUCAGAUUUGUUUGGUGUCAGAUUUCAUCAGACUGAUGUCUCUGACGCAUUGCCUUCAAGUGUUAAUGGUAGUGAGCCCGUAUAUGAAAGAGAGGAAUGUGUAUUGGAUACAAGCUGUCUAUGAAGGUGAGGUGGUGCUUGCAGAACAAGCUGACAAAAGCACCUUAGCUGCCCAUCAAGGUCUGUGUUUCUAUUUGUUAAAUAACUGAAUUUGUUAUCAUCAAAUAUCACUUUUUAGACAACUAUGCAUUGUUAUCUUCAAUGGAAGACAUUUUUCCAUUUUAUGGCAUUAUAGGGGAAUUGAUAAAGACUUUCUUGAGGAAUAAUGCUAGCCAGUUGACAUUUUACGGGUAUGUUGACCUCUUGUUGGUCUAAAUAUCUUGGUUCAUUCUUGAACUAUUUUCUUUGACCCCUAUAUUUUGCUUCAUUGAUUAUGGGGAAAUUUCUCUUCACAAGUUAUAAACAGUGCUUUUGCAGCCUUUUCUGUUUACAAGAUGGGCUUAAAGAGCGUGAUAUAUAUGUUUUUUUCCGGAACAAUCAUUUCAGCACCAUGUUUAAAGUUUGGAUAAAGCUUUUGAAGAUAUUAUUUUCGUUGUUCCCUUGGAUUACUGAUAUGAGAUGCCAAUAGCACUUUCUUAUAAAUUGAGAAAAAAUUGUUACCUUUCUCUGUUGCGGUGUUUUACUUUUCAAUCAUAAAAUUAUUUAUCUUUUUUUCACAGUUUGAUGGUGCGCUGUAUCUUCUAGCUACAGACCAAGGUUACAUAAAUGAGCCUGAUGUAGAAUGGGAAAAAUUGAAUGAGGUAAACCACUUUCUUUAUGGUCUUUUUGCAUCCAGGUCAUCUUGAAAUGUUAUUGUUUUUCCAUUUUUAUUUCAAUGCUAGUAUAGGUCGGAAUUAUUUUUUCUGAGUUUAUACAGUUGUGGAUAUUCUCAAAUCAUCCUGAAAACGGGGAAAUUGCAUGCUUGUUGAAUUGGUCACUUAAGAACAAGUCAUACUCACAGCUUUUUAGGCUCUCGAAUUGAAUCUGGAUGAAUGAUUCGUUAGUGUCUUUUUACUAUUUCAUUUUCAAUCUUAAAUUUGUGAUGAUGGGGUAUCUUUCCUUCAUUAUUCUGACUGAGUAACUGCAAGGUUUAUAUCUGAUAUCUCAGCCACUCAGAGAUUCGUAUGUUCUUCCAAGUCCCCCCUUGUCUAAGUCCAAGUGAUUAAAAAACAAGCAUCUCAAUAUUAUGUAAUAUUAAAUUGCAGAAAUUAUGUUAUGAGCUUUUCUUUCAGGUUAAUGGUGAUACACUGUUUAUGACCAGUAACUUCAAGGAAUUCAAGGUAGAAGAAAGCCAUGAAAGUAACACCUGGGAUGAGAAUAAUGCUAUGACCAGUACCGAGGUAUGUAUAUUCUUUUAAAAGUGAAACAUCUAAUUUUGCAAACCAAACAGCAACCAACCUUUUAUGCCACAUGUUUCAAUUGAUAUGAAGACAACUUCACAUGUUUCAGGACUAUCUUUCCAGCAUAGAUAGUGCAUCGCUGGCAGGCUUAGAUAUCAAGUAAUUUUCUGAACUUGCUGGUGGCACAUAUGUCAUGGUUUUUAAUUUCUUCCUCCCCUUCUCCAAAAAAUGAAAUAAAAUCUAGUACAUAAGUAUCUAGAAUAUACAACAACCAACAACAACUAAGCUUUUAUCCCUGAUAUUCGAUAUUUUUUUAUCUGUACCAAAUAUCAGCUAUUUUAUACGAAACCAUGUUGCUUUGGCUAUACCUGAUAUUCGAUAGUUGAAACUUUUAAGAAUUUGAUUCUAUUGUUUCAUUUUCUUUAUUAUCUUUAUUUCUUUUCAUCUCAUUCCGACACAACCAAUUUGUAUUGUCACCUAUUACAACCAGUUCUCUCGUCUUCUGGAUUUAUCGUAUUCAAUUUAUCUCUUACUUAUCAACAUUGAGGCAUUAAACUUUUGUCUUUGUUAGUGCUGGUUGUCACCUAUUGUUUCAUUUGCGUUGCAUUUUUGUUUCUUUUUUAAUUGUGCCAAUCAGGCCAAGUAAUUUUUUAUAUUGCAAAUCUUGUCAUUGAAACAAUAUCACAUACAUUAACACAAAAUCGUGCUCAACUCCUGAUAUUCGGGGUUGGUGUUACAAAAUAUGGCAUAUACCUAGCCUCUUGGUUUGCGAAAGAAAAAAGAGCAAACAGUCAUGAUGUCUACUAUUUGUUCCUAGAAUAUAUCAAAUAUAUAAGUAACUCAUGUUUUAUUUUGUCCAGUUAUGACACGUCUAUCAAAUGCGACCAUAUUAAUGCAGAUUAUAGUCUAACUCCGAAUAUUUGGAGUAAUACUUAUCAGAAUCCUUAUAUCAAUUUUCUCUCAGAUUGAUUACUACCCAACAUGCUAUACCGUUACUCCUGUCCUAUGGAGUAUCUGUUUCCCCAUUGUUCAUUAUUUCUCAACAUGAUUCUUCAGUACCUUACCUUAUCUCAUAAUUGCAGAACAGAUUAUGGUGUUUUUUCAACAACAAAAAAAUAGUAAACUUCAUGAAGAGGAAAUUAUCUGAGCAUGCAAAACUCCUGAAUCACCCUCCUUUCCCUUACUUUGUUAUUAUGAAAAUUCUAGUUCCGAAAUAUUUACAGAUUUCAGAGCAACUGACAUUUUGAAUCUUAAAUACAUGAUGGAUGGCAUACUGUAUUGCUUAGUUUGUGUAUAUUGUCGGUUGUUGUUUAUAUUUUGCAUUGCUGCAGGUAACGUUCUUCUAUUACGAAACAACUUAAAUUUGAGUCCAGAUAUUGCUGAAGUUUCUCAGGAGAAAUUGCUUUCAUUGGUUGCUGAAAGACUACUUGAUUCCAAUGCUAAUUUGAAUGUAAGAGUUGCAUGUCUUUUAUUGUUUGUGACAAUCACUCUUACAUAAUGCAAGCAUACCUGACAAUUUAUUCUUAUGGUCUUGCAGAACAAAGAUGUUGGCUAUGUUGAAAAUCAACAACAGAACAUCGCUGAUGCAAUCGAUUUGCUCCCCAGGCUUGCUACUGGCAUUGAUGUAAACUUAAAAUUUAGGAGGUCAGUUUUACUAUUUAUAUGAUAGAUAUGUGCAUUUACUAUCACCGAUGUUUAAGUUCUGAUAAAAAAUGCAUAUUGAUUGCAGAAUAGAUUAUUUUUAGUUCACUCGAGAGUGUGCCAUAUUUGAUCCUCAGGUAUUUUGGUUACCCUCUAUCCAAAUCAAUUGGUGCUGCAUUAUCAUAUGACUGUAAUGAUAUUAUUUCUAUACUGUGGUUCUAAAUACAUUCUAUUAAGAUCAUUUCAUUUUGUUCUACUCAUUAAUUGAUAAUACUUGGUGUAUAAUUUUGUGUGUGCUUAUAUUAUUGAUUAUUUCAGGAUCUCGUUAGGUUAUUUAAAUUUCUUUUGGCAUAACUAUGGUAGAACUAACCUCUAUUAGAAUACUAUAUGAAUUACGGGAACGAAAGAUCUAGAGGAUUUUUUCUUGCCAGAUAUCAAUGAAGUUCUAAUUCUCCCAUGAAAGAGUUGCUAUAUGUAAACCCAAAUACAUCAUAGUUUUGCUCAUCAAUGUUAAUUUUAGUCUAAGGAUAUUCCUUUGUUUUCGGUAAAUGCAAGAUUUUCCGCCCACUAAUUACUUUGUUAUCUUCAAAAUGAUACUGACCCCCUCCCACUUCAUGCAAAAUGAUAAAUUUGCUGAGUGAUCAUCCUUGAAUAAUGCUAAUCAAAAUUUUGGCUGUAUGUUUUUCUUAUAUGAUGUGUGUUUUUCUUAUGUCUGAAUAAAAGGUGAAUGUUGUGACUGGGAAUGGGACCUGAAGAGUCUCUUGGCCAGAAUGAUGUGACUGAGAAUGUCAGUCAUGAUGCAUUGAUUCAGAAUGAGAGUGCACCUCUACUUUCUCCUGAAAAUCAUUCCGUCUCUUUCUCCGAGAGCUGUACAAAUGUCUCUAGAAGGGGUGGAAAAUUUAUUGAUCAAUCCACUCUCACAACUAGCAACCAUGAUGUUGUAGAUGAUUCUCAAGGAUCCAUACACUAUACAGAUUCAGUUUUGUUUGGUGUCAGAUUUCAUCAGACUGAUGUCUCUGAUGCAUUGCCUUCAAGUUUUAAUGGUAGUGAGCCCGUAUAUGAAAGAGACAAAAUUUUGUGGAUCCUGAACCUGUCUAUGAUGGUGAGGUGGUGAUUGCAGAACAAGCUUGAUAAAAGCACCUUAGCUGCCUCUGAUCUUUAGAGCUGAUGGUGAAAUUACUCCACAUCAAGGUCUGUGUCUUAUUUGUUAAAUAACUGAAUUUAUUAUCAUCAAAAUAUCACUUUUUAGACAACUAUGCAUUGUUAUCUUCAAUGGAAGACAUUUUUCCUUUUUAUGGCCUUAUAGGGGUCAAUCAAGACUUUCUUGAGGAAGAAUGCUAGCGAGUUGACAUUUUACGGGUAUGUUGACCUCUUGUUGGUCUACAUAUCUUGAUUCUUGAACUAUUCUUUGACCCCUAUAUUUUGCUUCAUUGGUUAUGGGGAAAUUUCUCUUCACACGUUAUAAAUUGUAAAUGCUUUUGCAGCCUUUUCUGUUUACAAGAUGGGCUUAAAGAGCGUGAGAUAUGUGUUUUUACCGGAACAAUCAUUUCAGCACCAAUAGCACUUUUUUAUAAAUUUAGAAAAAUUGGUUGGCUUUCUCUGUUGCAGGUGUUUUACUUUUCAUUCAUAAAAUUAUUUCUCUUUUUUCACAGUUUGAGGGUGCACGCUGUAUCUUCUAGCUACAAGUAUUAGGAUGCAGAACACAAAUAAUUUGCAGAAUGUAUUGGAGGAACGUAGUUCAGUUUUGAAUUUGACUAGGUCGAAGUCUCUUUAACAAUGACCUAAGUUCUUAGCUACACAAAACUUGAUGUUUAGGUCUGUGUCAUUUAUGAUUCAAGUUUUUUUUUCCUUGCUGAUCCAUAAUUUGUUUCAUGUAGCUAAUGCUAUGCUUGGAUCACGAUCAUGGAAUGGAGGACUCUUUAACCGUACAAAUACUAGACAAUCAUCAUCUGGAAAGUUUGUUGACUAUCCUUUGAGUCCUGUUGAGGUAAAGGAAAAAUGGAAGUUGGUGAUUUUUUAUAGAUAUUAUAAACUCUUACCUUCUUUUCUUAUAGAUAUUAAAAACAGGUAUUGUGUCAUGGUAUGUUUGUUUUUCCUUAUGCCAGACAAUAGUUGAAAAGACUUAUCAUUUGUUUCAAGCAGUGCAGCUAUUUAAUUAUAGUAAUUAAUAGGAAACCAUAAUCUGCAAUUAUGUCAGGAAAGAAACUUCAAAGGCUUCAAGAACAGCUGCAAGUACCUUAUGAUGAGACUAGCUCUGAUCAUCAAGUACUUAUUUUUUCAUGCACCUAUCUAGCUUUCUUCUUUAUUUAAUUUCUCUGAAUUCUUUCUCAGGAUGCGUUUGGAAAAUUCAAGCUUCAUUUCUGGUUCAUUUUUGGGUUUCAUUGAAACCACAUUUUGCUAUUAAGUAGUAAAUUCCAACAGGAAACACUGAGAACUUUGUGGCACUGUUCCUUUCCUAAUGUUUCUCUGAGUGGCUUGAUAUCUGAUCAAUGGAAAGAUAUCGGGUGGCAAGGUCCUAAUCCAUCAACCGCCUUCAGGUAUACCGCUGUGACCAUAUGAGAGUUCACAUGACAAUUUGGCAAUUCAAUGUUAUCCACUUGAAAGAAUAUGCUGAGUAGAAAUGACGAAAUCAGUAGCACUGCAGUUCUGCUAAGUUUUACAGUAGCAUAAAUUCUCUUUAGUCCCUUUUCUCCUCACACUUAAUGAUUUCCCAAUUCAUGAAGCUAAAAUUAGACUAAACCACUUUUUGUCUAAGAAAUUUCAUAUUCCAAUAUAUAUCAACUAUAUUAGAUUUACUACUUGGGAAUAAAUUUUGGUAAUGGGGUUUUCUGGUCGAGAUCUGUGUUGCUUGUGCCAUAAACACACUAGGUCAGGGCAUGACCAUAGAGAACAAUUGAUGUACAUAUUUUUCAAUCUUACAUGUGGGCCCUGAACUCAUUGCUGCAGCGUGUUGACAAAUUCUGUUUAAAUGAUUGCACAUUAUAUGAAAAAACUUAUUCAUAUGUCUAUAUUCUUAAAAGGAGUUGCAUUAUGAUUACCCUUCAAAACAUACAAAUUUUAUAUUCAAAGGUAUUAUGGCUGAUAACCUGCUUUCCUUAGGGGAUGUGGCUUCAUUUCCCUUUAAAGUCUGCUAUUUUUCGCAAGGACAUAUCCGGUAUGUGUUUAUCUUUUAUUUUCCACACCUAAAAGGAUUUGAUCCACCUUUAUGUCUUCAUUUUAGUUUCUUGAUAUUUAGACCUCUUGGGAGAAAAGAUCAGUUAUUACUAAUUGUAUGGAAAUUCAAAUGAUGUCAUCUUUUCACAGGCUGAUGUUGAAGAAAGAUGGGAAUCGAGCAACAUAUAGAUGGAUACUCUUUUGCUGUUGCUGGCAUUAAUAUAUCAUUUAUGUUGAUACAAAUAUUGGAUUUAUGCUCAGGUUAGUGAACAACUUCACAGAUCAUUAGUUUCAUUGUUCCUGCUUGUAAGAGCAAAGAGAAGCCUAGUGCAUGUGCCUCCUGGCUUUGUGGGUUUUGGGAAUGUACACAACUUUUACCCCAUAAGGAAAGAGGCAACUUCUAAAACUAGAACCCUUCACCACUAGAUUACAAAGAAGCAACCUCACGGCAUGAUAAUGUGAUAUAACACAUUUGCCUAUUUGGAGGUAAAUGUGGUGCACAUCUCUAUAUGCCUAUUUCAAGUGCUUGCUUUCAUACAUAUUUUAACCAAUCCCAGUUGUAUAUCAAGGACUCUGAGGAACACUUGUUCUUAACUGGAAACUGUUAUUAUUUUCUAUGAAGGGGCAAGAGUUUCAAGAAUACCCUUAACUUAUCCUAUGAGGAUAUGAUCUGAAAGGCUUUGAGUGAUAGGAUUUAUCUGAAAGGCUUUGAGUGAUAGGAUAUGAUCUGAAAGGCUUUGAGUUCCUUUUUUGUCUGUUACCCAGUUAUCUUGCAUUAAUGGCUGUUUUUACAUGAUCACUUUUUUCUCAUGGACACUGUAAACUUUCUAAAUGUAUUUACUUUAUGUCCAGUAAGUUAGUAGUAAUUAUAGAUGUUAAGUUAUUAACGUUUCUCUAUAUGAUGUUUUGUAAUUCACAUUAGAGAACAGACCAAUCUUAGAAUAACUGAUGUCUUUAAUUUGUUUUUUAAUUAUGUUCUGAUUGAAAAUCAAAACUAAUAGGUGCUUGGAGACAUGAGUUUCUGAAGAACUACUUGUUUCCUUCUGUAUAUAAGGUGCUUAUUCUCUGUAAUGGUACUUUUCAGCCUUCUUCAUUUUACUCUGUAAAUGAGUUAAGGGUCUGCAGCACUAGUGCACGACUGAAUAUUUUCAUGCAUAAAUAUUUAUUUUUUGUGAAAGGAAGUUUAGGUAAGUUGGGUCUAUGCAAGAAUGUUGUUUACCUGAUCUCACAGAUAAGAGGCUUGUGGAAACAAUAAUUUUCUUGGUGUAUGCAGAGAAAUGGGAUGCUUUCCCCUAAAUUCUUGCUUCUGGAUGUAAGCAAUUUUGUUUCUAGGAUUUCUUCAAUAAGGGGAGGUAUACACACACACAAUUAAUUGUAGAUUUCUUCUUAGUAAUAAAUGCAUUUACACAAAUUUGAAACACCUUAACUUUUCAUCUCUUUGCUUGUGAAUAUAAAUAGGCUGCUUCUCCAUGAAUGUACUUAUGUGAAACUUUGAUUAGUCCAUUGGAUGAAGAUAUUGUUUGGUAUUUUGCAAUCUCAUGAUCUUAACACGUAAUUCUAAUAUAGCAAAUUGGCCCCUCCUGUUGUUCUGCUGAGAAAAGGUGAUAUGAUUUAUUGUGUAGGAAUAAUCCUUUGGUGCUUGAUCAAUUGAGACAUGACGCUGCUCUGAAAGUUGAAAGUUUACUUUGUUUUGGAAUCUGGCAAAUGAGAAAUUGAUAACUCCCCAUAUGGAGUAUAACUGUGAUACGAUAAGAGAAGACUUCUUUUCAUUAACUUAACUCGUGAUACUUGUAAAAAAAAUACUCGUUUUCUUAUCACCGAUGUGUUUUUUGGGUUUAUUCAAACCAUUUAAUAGAGUCUGAUUGCACAAACCAUUAAAGUUUGACAUCUUUUUUUGGUGAACUAAACUAUAAUAUCUGGUGUGUUCUGAGUUUUGUAUCUUGCAUGCUAAGAUAAACGUUUGUUUUAAAAGAAGGGUAAUUGAUUUAUUACGGUUUAAAUAUUAAUAAUGUUUACUUUUAUUUAUCAAGAGAAAAACUUGCAUGUAAUAAAAGUUGGACUCAGAUUAACAAUUUUGUGCUAGAGUCUAUAUUAUGCAUUCAUUGAUUACAAUGUUUAUACAUUCAGCAGGCCCUAACUAUAUGAUGAAAUUACUAAUCUCAUGGAAUCCAUUUAGUAAUACACUCGAAGGCAUGCAUUGAAAGGGGACAAGUGACUUGAAGAAAGCAAAACUGCAAAAUAGCAGCGCAAGGAUGUUUUUGUAGGAAAGUUUCAGAUAUGUGCCUGGCACCUAUCACAGGUUAGAUUUCUAUAGAUUGUUAGAUUUUGUGUCUUAUUUGCACAUGUGGGAAUUGGGAUGAAUGUCAAAUAUUAUAGCAUCAUUUAUGAGCUACAUCUCUAGGAAAGAGGAAAAUGUAAUUUAUUGUUAGCUGCAUGCGAACACAGAAAACCUAUUUGUCAAUUAACUGUUUUUUCUAUUUCUGUGGUCGGAAUGAAGCUGGCAAUGGUAACCAGGAAAUGCAAAUAUUUAUGUCCAUAAUAUACUUCUCUCUAUUUCUGUGGCCGGAGUUUGAAUAAAAUAUGUCAGCACAAUCGCCGACUACCUUUUUAUAAUUUUGUUGUAGCCUUGUAGGCCUCCCAAACUAUUAACCUCUCAUACAUAUAGAUUUCAAAUUAAUACAUUUAUGUUAAGAAAUAUUAAUAUAUUUACCUCAGCAGCCUAUAUUCAACUGAUAAUGAAUAUAAACGUAACAUACUCUCUUACAAAAACAAAAUUAGUCUAUAUAAGGCAUCAUCUUUAUACGUUCUGAGGAGGAUCUAUAAACCAAAUUUUGGUAUAAUGUAGUGGUAGCUUGGCCCUUGUGGGUGGAGCUGCCAAUAAUGUAAGCUUUUUCUGUUACUUAACAGAUAGUGAUAGUAAAGUGUGUGAUGAUGAUAUAACACCAAAGUUGAUAAAAUAAUAUUGCAUUAAAUAAUUUGGUGUAAAUUAUAGACUCCUCUCUGUUUAACUUAACAAUAAUUAGCACACCUCUUUAAAAAAACACUUAAUUUCAUUAGGUAACUCUACUGUACCUAAUUGUAGUUCUUAGGCAAUUAGUUUUUUUCGGAGCUUUUAGCCUAACAUGAAUGUCCUUGCUCAGGCUUCAUAGCCUCAUGUGUCAAUGAGGUGGUUUUUCUAAUCACAUUAUAGAAGGUAGACUUAGCUAUGCAUUACAGCUAAGCUCUUCAGCAAAGUUAAUGUAAUUGAUUUAGCUAGAUGGUUUGAUCAUUUAUGCACCUUUACCCCUUUUCCUGGCUUCUGUAUUGCAAUAUUUGUUUGUUUCGUAUGCUUAUUUUUCCGAUAAUUUGUAUAUUCAAGGACCAAGUAAUAUAUAAUCCGUGAUACUACCUGCUUAUGAAGUGGCUAUCCAGGGUGUCUCUGGUACAUGGUUUACUAGUCUCCUACUGGUGCCAUGUUCAAGUUUUCUUUACAUUUUUUAUAAAGUCUUGUGGUGAUCUCCCCCUAUCUCUCCCCUUGUCUAUGACUCUAUAUUCAAUCAUAAUCUUCAGAUGUUCACAUAUCAAUAUCAUCAUUCUUGAGUAACAUGGAUCAUAGUUUCAAAUUGUUAUACUGUAAUGUAGAUCCUUUUUUGCCAAAAAGAUCUUAAGCAUUGUUCAUUAAUUCUCCUUACUGAAUAAUAUAAACUUUUAUCUGGGAGAAUUAUAAUAUAAACUUUUAUCUGGGAGAAUUAUAAUAUAAACUUGGGUGUCAAUCUGUUCAUUAUUGUGUUCUUGGACAGGCAUGUGUCUGUCUGUGUUACUACUUUUUAGGCUGAAACAUACUUGGAGAUGGAAGGAUAAAAUGCCAAAGAUGUUUGGGAGACUGUUCUGGAUAUGCAAGAUACUAAGGUAGGUUGUUAUUGGAUAUAGCUUAUGCUUGGGAAAAGAGUUAGAGUGACUCUGUGCAUAGAUAUUGUGGAUUAGAAUUAUUAAACUCGGACUGGUCAAUGACUUGGUCAGAGUAUUAGGUCAAUGAGUCAUUGGUUUAAUGGUUGGACCGUUUAACUCGGUUUGCAUUAAAAUUUUUAAAAAAUUCAUAAUAUUACGUAACAAUAUUUAAUAAUCGUAUAUUCAUAUUUUAAAAUCAUUAUCAUGCUUAAUUAAACAACAAAAAAAUACAUUUUACUACUAUAGAAUGAUACAAGUAAGUUGAUAAUAUCAACAAACAACAUAUGAAUUAUGUUUUAACUACAAUAAAAAUAUAAAAUGAGUUUAAAAUUUAAUUAAACUAUGAAGAUUUUAUUAUAAUUUAAACUAACAAAUGAGAAACAUAAGUACAUAACUACAAAUAAGUUAAUAUUACUUGUUUUUUCAUUGGAAAAAUCAUUUUGGUUGUUUUUUUACAAAAAAAAAUUAAUUCACUCGGCUGGUUCAACCGACUCGAUCAUCCGAGUCACUAAUUUUAGGCUUAAACUGACUGAGUUAACUUGAUUUGUUGCAAAACUGGUUGGAUGAUAGGAUCGGGCCAAUUAGAUGUCUAAUUCUCGGUUGAACUGGUCGGACCGAUUGGUUCGAGUUGAGUUUUAUAACACUAUUAUGGAUAAAAUUGUUGGGAGAACCAUUGAGUAUUAGCUAAAAUAUUUCACUACAAAUGCGUAAUUAACGAUAUUUGAUUUUACAAAAAUUUCAAGAUAAUGCGAGAAUAUAAAGUAACCAUAAAAUACAUAAAAGAAAUAAUGUUCUAGUAUUCAUGUCAGUUAUUUCAAUUGGUUAAAGUACAUGAUAUAGAGUUUGAAUCAUUCAAAAUUAAAGAGUGCACCCAUGAUAUUUCUUAUUUCUUCAUUCCCUUUACUCUUGUGUUCAUAUGUUAUGAUUUAAAUAUGCCACACCAAUUUGUUAUGAAUGAAUGAUAAGAUUCUAUUGAUACUAAGUGAAUCGUUAUUUUUUCUCUAAUAGAUGGAGGAAUCGCAGGAAAUAUUUUAAUAACAUGGAUUUUUAUUUCUCAAUGAUAGUCCACAAUCAAAGCAAUUGACUGAAUCUCGUAAAUCCAUUUCAUAGAAGUUCAUUGAUAUCCUCCUUUUAUAGAGCAAAUCGACUUUGCUUCUUAAAUAAUCGAUAUCACUUCUGCUUCUAUUGUAAUAAAAGAUUCACUUCUUAUGUGAAAAAGGCUUACAUCUAGAGAUGACAAGAUUAUCUACAAUUCAUCCAAUGGAAAGUGUUGAUAAUAGAUGAAUUCAAAUUCAUACAUAAUAUUCAGUAGAUAUCCAUGGGUAUAUUCAUUUGUAUGAAUAUUCAAUUCAUCCAAAAAAUAAAGACAAGUUUUUCACAUUAAGCAACAAGUAGACACAACUUUGUUAUGCAAACUCGACAUACAAAAUAUAAACCAAUAUUAUUAGUAUCAUAUCGAUCAUCAAAUCGGUUAGAAUAGUGGUACAAUGGUAUGGUGAUUCAAUAAGUGGGUCGUUAAUUAAACUGCAUAGUGGUAAAGUUAGAUAUACAUUUAUUUUAUACUAAUAUUAAUGUUGAAAAAUCAAUAAAGAAGACAAUAACUAUUUUUAUUUAUAUUACUUGUUAAAAAAUGUAUAUUAUAGAUCAUGUUUUAGUAUAUAAAAAAUAUAAUAGUUGUGUGUUUGAUCAUCCAUACCCUAACAUUUUGAUAAAAAUAAAUUAUUUUCAUUAAAAAAUUAAUUUCAAAUAAAACCAGCCGAUAUGACCAGUAUGGUUUAAUGUAACAAUGUUGAAAUCGGUUCACUGGCUUACCGCUUGAUACCACUGAUAUAAAUUACUCUCUUUCUAAUAAAAAGAUUUUUUUGAUCAAAGCAUUCUUUCAAUAUAUUUUAAUAAUGAUUGAUAUAACAUUUUUGUGUCACAGUUAAGCACAAGAAAAAAUGCAUGAUUGUAUAAUACAAUAAGUUUAAUAUCACUCACAUUGUUGUCUUUAAGAGCUUUCACAUGUAAACUUAAAUAUUGAGAUUUUAAAAAAACACUUUUUAAAAAUAUUUUUAAAUGUGAUUUUUAGAAAUGCUUUAUUAAAUAAUAAAUUUUAAAAUGAUUUUUUCCUUAAAAAAAUGUUUUUGUUCAAAUUAAAAAAAAUUGAAUAUUCAUCAACCCAAUCCAUAAAAUUGAUAUAUGAAUUAAAUGAGUAGAUUGAAAUUCAUUAGAUAUAGAUGAAUUAGAUAGUUUAAAAAUGUGAUUUUAUAGAUUUAUAUGAAUUGGUGAAUGAUUGUCUAUCAAUUCAGUGAUCCAAAUCUAUAUUCAUUCAAUUACCUAAUUAUACCACUUAAUUCUCCACUUCCCUUAUUGAGCUCUGCAAUCUCAACCGAUCAAACGAGAUUAGGACCCACUCAAUUGAAUGCCCUAGAUUCACUCACUUCAUGACCAACUCUAUUUCUACUUUUUUUAUUAUUCUACUAUUAAAUGCACAACUCACAUGAAAUACACCAUUAUCAAUUUACCAUUACAAUUAUUCUCCUUCUUCUUUUACAGUUAAACUUUCAUUUUACCCAACAAUAAUGCUAUUCAAACUUCUCUUUACUAAGGUAUAUUUCUCUUUAUAUUCUCUAUUAUAUUUCUUCAUCAAAUAUAAUUUUUAAUUAAAUUUUCUGCUCUGCUUUGUUUGAUCAUCAAAUACCUACCUCUGUAAAGGAAAUGACUUUGUUCUUUUUUUCAACCUCAAAAAAUAUAAAUUUGUUAUUUUUUUGUUAUUUUGUAAAAAUUAAAACUCCAAUUUUAUUGGAUCUUCCUCAUUUUAAUAAUAUUUAUAACUCCUGACUUAAAGCUCAUUAAGAGUUCUUUUGUUUUUUAUUUUCACAAGACUCAAUGUUAUAAUUAAAAUUUGAAAUUAUACAUUAUAGAUAAUAAUUUUAAUUUUAUUGAAAUAUUUUUUAUAAAUAUAUAUUAUUACUAAGUUGAUUAUUAAAAGUUGGUAAUUGAGAGAAGUGGAAAUUAAAUUGAGUAAAAGUGCUAUAAGGAAUGCAAAAAAAAUAAAAUAUGUAUUAACAAGGCCCAUUGAGGCCCAUUAAUUAGAUUUUAUUCACAGUAUCGGUGUUUAAACUGCUAUAUAAUGACAAGUUCAGUGGAUGUUUUUGCAUAAGUUCUUUCAGAAAUAUGAGAGUGUGAGAAAGAGAGAACGUGUGUGUGUGUGUGUGAGAGAGAGAGUACGAGAAAGAGAGAUCGCGAGAGAGAGAACGCGAGAGAUAGAAAGUGAGACAGAAAGAGAUGCAUAUAACCAGCUAGCUAUGUGUGUUUUUUUGGUUCCGGAGUGAUGUUUUUGCAGUGUAAGUUUGUUUUCCACUCGUCACAGAUCAAUUUCUUUGAUUCUACUGUUUUUCUUUGUUAAUUAUGGUUAGGGAACCAAACUUGUUUGAUUCUCAGUUCUAUGGAUGAUAUAAGCAGUUAUAUGUGUUUUUUGAUUCCAGAAUGCUUACGCAAUGUGCGUUUGAAUGUCAAGAAAAAUUAUUUAUCUCAUUUGCACUUCAUUCUUCUGUCAAAGGACCGAGAAAACUAAAAUUAGGGUUUUGUUUUCUACCACACACACAAUCUUUUAGCGUUGUUUUUCUAAACAAAUCACACGAAUCAACUUCGGCCCAAAAAACCAAAAUUUCAAUUUCGGGUCCUUGUGUACGAAAUCACGAACCAUUCCUCUGUGCAGUGAGGAGUCACAUGAACAGCUUCUCCAAAAUUUUAGCCUCUGGAAUUUCAAUACUCACCCAUUGACUUAAUUGAGAGGAGAGGUACUUUCAGCUUUUCAAAAUUGAUUCUUGAUUAUUUUUAUUUCUCUAUUUGAUUUCGGGUCAUAUUGGUAUUCUAAACAUGUAUGCAUAGCAGGUGCUCGACGAAAUUACAAUGUCUCAAAACAAAGGAGGACACGGAAUCUUUCGACCCCCCGUAUCACUAAGGGAAGAAGCCACUGGAAAUAUACACACAAAUCCAUCAACUAAUGCCAAGUCAAUGUUGAGGUUUAACCAUUUGAAAAAAUUAGCAAUGUGGGCCACUAAGGAUACUCAUUUACCAUCUUUGGGUGCCUUCUAUGGCAACCAGUUGGCCACUCUCGGAGAAUCCCUCGGAUUAUCAAAUGAUCCUUCCUUGAUUACUUGCCAGAGGUUUGCUUAUACCCUUUUCUACUUAGUUACUUAUCAUUGUGUUUCAGUGUUUUAUUUAGUUAUCAUGUUUUCUAUAUCGUUCUAUAUUCACAAUGGAGACACUAGGCAUGGUGGAUUAGGAAUGGAUUCGUUAGAGAUGAAGUUGGGGUAGCACUUUUGGUAGAAACAAUAGUUGAAUCUCAUGUUAGGUGGUUUCGGCAUGCGUGGAUGAAAUGUAAAGGAGCCCCAUUAAGGAGAGUAGAUUAGGUGGAGGAUAACCCAAUCACAAGAGAUAAAGGAAGACCAAGAAAAAAAUAGGCAAACUACUACGAAGGUUUACGUGUUAAUGGUGAUCGUUUGAUUACUGUAGCCCAUUGAAUGGGAAAAUACUGAGUAUUGACAUGAUUCAGUUUUAACAUUAGCAUCCAAUCAUCCAUGCAAUACAUUAUCGAAGCAUUUGCUGAUAUCUUGUUAUUAAUGUAUGCUGUUGAAUCAAUGAACAUAGAAAUUAGAGAAGAUCUAAUACCUCGAAAAUGUUUAAAGCUGCUUUUAAAAUGCGGACAAUAACUUGCUUUGGUUCUUAAUUGUGGUAGACAUCUACUCAGACUUAGUUCCUAUAUUAUCUUUAAAUAGUGGAUACUUGGAAGGAAAUUUCAUAAAAUUGAAUAUGAAAUAUGUUUAUCAGCCCUGAUCAUUAUUUGAUUAUUCUGCAGAUGUGAAACUGUGCUCCAUCCUGGUUUAAAUUCAACUGUACGAAUAGAGAAAAAUAGAUCAAAGGUCAAGCAUAAGUGCAAAUUGUCUGGUAACAAUGCUCAAAACAAUGUAGUGUACAAGUGUCAUUUCUGUUUGCAUCAGAAUUUGAAGAGAGGGACCCCUAAGGGACAUGUAAAAGGAUUAUGCCCACCAAAACCUAAAUCAAAGCAUAAAUCAAAUUCUAAAUCAUCUUUAAAAUCAAAACCUUCAACAAAACCCAUCAAGCACGAACCUUCAAAGUUAGAGAAUAGCAUUAUAAGCAAAGAUGAAGUCAAUGAAACAGAUGUGCUUGCUUCCCAAGUUGUAGCUAAGGGCCCGACCCAUAUUGAUGAUAGCUCGGCAACUCCAUCAAGUAUAGGCAUACCGACAUUGUUAGAAGGAAAUAAGAGAAAAAAGAAUUCAACCUCAAAGAAAGCUGCUGAAACUCCAAGCAUGUCUGCAAAAGUAGGAGACAAAACUGUGGGCGCAUCAAGCAAACGCCGAAGAAAAUCUUGGACUAGUUUAAAGGAAAUUGCUCAGAGAAACGAGUUUGAUAAAAGUCGAGUUGCUAAUUUGACAAUUCCAUUCUUUUUAUAAGUAGGGAGAUUUUCUAAAUAGGCUAAACUUGAGUUGUAGUUCCUUUUAGAUUAUACCGAGUUUUUGUUUUCUCUGUGAAUUACUCUUUCAAACAAAUUGUUUUCUCAGUGUUUGAUGCUCUGUUAAAGGAAUUUUGUUCUUUUGUUAUUGGUACCAAGUUUUUGUUUGUGUACUACUCUUUCAAGCAAAUUGUUGUUUACUCUGUGCUUGAUGCACUGUUAAAGGAAUUUUGUUCGGUUGUUGGUGCCAAGUUUUGAGCCUUGCAUUUGAUGAAUAAUUUGUACAUAAUAACAGCCUAAUCAAAUAUGUUGUAAGGAUGCCACAUAAUAAAAUAAUAUCCAACAAACAAAUGUAUGACAAUAAUCAAACUUUAGUCUUACUGUAUGUAUAAACUUUGUUGAAUAUUUAUGAUCUCAUCAAAUAUUGUGCCCAUGUAAUGUAAAUAUAUUUCAUUUUGAAACUAUUAUCUAUCCAACAGAUAUUUAUCAAAUGAAUGUUGAAUGUUAAAAAAGAAUAAUCCUAUUUGCACAUUAAGUUUAUGCAGUAAAAGAAUUCAACACCUAUCAAAUUGUGUGAGUGCACUGUUUGUAAACUCAAACUUUACCAAUUGCCAUUACCAAAUUCAAAUUAGAAUAAGUAAACAACUAGGAUAUAUUAAAGAUUAGAAUUGGAAUAAAUGUUUACUGGAUAAAUAAAAUUAAACUUGUGAUAUUUAUUGGAUUUACUCUACAACUGAUUAGAUUAGAUUACUUAAUAUAAGAACUAUAUAUCUAAAUUCAAAUUAAUGAUAUGAUGAUAAUCAUCAAUAAUCUAAAUCUGAAGUUUGAAUUUCAAAUAAACCAAUCUUGUGCUUUAAUCAAGUGGAUUUGCAGCAUUUCCUUUAUCAUAAAUAAAUUUCUCUUGAUAUUGCUUAGAGCAAGUUCAUUUAUGAUUAAUUGAUUAUAAGUGAAGGUUGCUACCUUUUCAUGGUAAUAGGCAUAAAUAAAACAUGUUCUUGUUUAAACAAAAAAAACCUUCAGUGACCUUUUCUUGGUGAUUGGCAUAAUUAAAGGUUGGUGGAAUAGGUGAAUUUUGGAGCGAAAGUAACCUGUUCUUCUCCUUUAACUUGUUUAUUUUUCACUUUAUCUAGUCUAGGGCAAAUUGGAAAGCAUCUGUCCAACUUUCUUUAUUGGAGAAAAUGGUAGUGUUGCCUAUAAGGGGGGAAAGUGGCCCUGCUUUUGGGAAUAAGAUGAAUGGGGACUCAUGCCUCUUUCAAUUUUAAUUCUCUUACAUUUUACUUUCAGUGGCCUAAUUCUUUUGGUUGUUCAUGUUAUGUUGAUUGCUGAAUUUCUAAUGUCACUCUACUUGUAUAAUGUUGCAAUUUUAAUUGUGACGUUAUGUUAUGGCUCAACAUCAUGCAAGCCAUCAAUAGUCUUGCUUGUCAAUUGUCAUGUUUAUAUAUUGCCACAAUUUUGUUCUCAAGGGUACUAAUGGAGUUACAUUUAACAAUAUUCAUGGCAACAAUGAGUUAUAACUUCUGAGUGGUUAGGAUGAUGACUAAAAUCUUCUUGAUUUGGUUUUAGAAAAUGACUUGGAGCGCCCUAGCAGUCCAUCAGUGAAGAAGUCAGAAGAGAAAGGUAUAGUGAUUGUGCAUGAAGUGAAGUGCAAGCUUUAUAUCAAGGUAUUUUUCUAUAUGAUGCAAAUUUCCAGUGUAAAUUUUAUACUUUUGUAGCAUUUGGUGUCGUGUGAAUGUAUGGGUUCUGUUCCAUAUGUUUGGUAUAUCUUAUAAGUAGAACGAACAUGAUAAGAAGGUGGAACAUUUUUGUUCUACCAAAGGGCGUGGAAUCAAAGAGAAUGGAACAAAAUAUAUUGUUCCAUACUGUACUAUAUGUGCACCAAACGCUACCUGGUAUCCAUGUUACUUCUGACUUAACCACAGCUAAAAGUUGGUUUUGCAAUAUCCUCUACUUUUCCAGGAGCAGGAAUAUUAGGUUGAGGCUUAUGUAUAUUUGUAUCAGAAAUUCUAUUUGCAACCUGUGAAUUGCAGGGAAGUUCUGUCCAUCUAAAGAAACAGCAGAGAAGCAAAAAUGGCAUAACCUAUGAAGGAAAAUGACAAUGCCCAAUAAGCCUACUUGUUGGUGUUCUAGGAAAUGUUCCGGCAUUAAUGUUAAUAGGCAUAACUGUUAAAGCAUGAAAGCAAUUAGGGUAGGAUAGUUGAUCAUUUUCUAUGAUAAUUAAUAAAGAAGCACCAGAAUGAAACUAAAUUGUUAUUAUUUUUUGGAUGAACAGAAUGGUAGUACGGAAAAUUUCCUCCAAUAAUACUAAUCAGAGGCUCGUAGUGAGGAUUACGACCAAAGAUUUAUUUCUCUCAAUCGAAGGACAAAGGAGGCUACCUGACUAGGCACAAUGUUAUUUGAUAAAAAACAGUGAUGGCAAAUAUUAUACCUAAAGAGUGAAAUUAGUAUGCAAGUCCCUAUACUUUUUAGAGCUUUCAAAUAUGUCCCUAUAGUUUCGAAAAACAAUCAACUGGAUCCUUGAAGUUAUUUUUUUAAAACUAUAAAAACUCAUUCACAAUUUAGACUACGAAGAUUAUUAGUUAAAAAAUUCCUAAAAACUACAUGAACUUGUGGACUAGUUUGACCUCUCAAGUAACAUCUAAUCAGUAUGUACUGACCCUGACUUGUUGCAGGACUUGGGGUAGGACUGGUAACCACAUUGCAGUUGUUGCGUCUAGUGCCUGAACUCACAGUAUGAGUUGCCAAUGUGCCAGAGAAACUUGCAUAACGCCAGAAACAUGCAAUAAAAUGUGAAGCCAAAUCAAGAACUGAAUCAACAUAAGCCUGCAUAAUUAGAAACACAAUUAAAAUGACCGAAUGACACUUGUCAAACUGUAACAAAAGCAGACCUGAAUAGUAAGACAAAUGAUGUUCAUAGCCAUUGAUUCAGAGUCAACGCUAAUUAAUGUUUCAGUGAAUGCCUGAACCCCCUUCAAAAUCCAGAACCAUCACACAAACCUCUUUGGUUUUGACUCUGCAAUCAUACAAAAUCCAGUAUAUUUAGGCUAUAGACAGACACUUCCCCUGUCCAAUAACAAAAUAAUGAACAGAUUCACACUUAUAGCAGUUUGCAUAGGUGUGGUUUUCCACCCAUACUAGAAGUAGGGUUCCCAAAUAUAGGAUGGAGAACAGCCUGCUGUAAAGAUGACUCCUAGUGUUGCGCUCUCCACCCUGUAAUUGAUGAGCCCUCAUUUGGAUCAUACAGGGACAUGUACUGUCUUGCAUGGUAAAGUUAGAAUCACAUAAAAUUCUGAUAUGCAUGUAGGCCUAAUCACACAACCUAGAGCUGUACAGAAGGCUAGGUAAGUGUUGGGAAGUCCCACAUCGACUACCUCACAUUCUUGGGAAUUGUUUAAAUACAUGUUCAACUACAUCUCUAUUAGCCAAUUAGUUUUGAGAUGAAACUUUAAAGUAAGUAUAUUGCAUGCAUGAUAUCAUUUCAAACACACCACAUCUUAUAUCUGCAGGGGUAUAAUACCUUUAAGGGAAGUGGCAAAUGUCCUGUAAUUAAAUAAAUAAAAAAUAUGAUAACAAUUGUAUGGUUGCUAUCUUUAUCAGAUUUUUUAAGUCAAGAAUCUACGACAAGCACCACAAAUCUCCUCUAUCAAAUCUAAUGAAUAUGCAAUUUUAAUUAAUCAGAGCAGUAUAAGCUAAUAUGUAUUGAGAAGUUACUGUUUUAAAUAGAGAUCAUAGUCAUACACAUAAGUUCCAAUCAUUAUAAACACUCAUCAUUCUAACGUUCUAUAAAUUUACCUGUAUCACUGUAUAUUUUUAUGGCAAAAGUGGAGAUUGCAGGAAGCAGCAAAAUUGCUGCACAGAGAUACACACUUCUGUCUACACACCAUCACCUGAGAAAUUUUAACUGGGCUUCAAUUUCUCACUCUCAUCACCGACACUCUUAAGCUUCCUCCUUUUGCCAAGAUACAAUCUCACUUAAAAAUUGAGAAACAACAACAAAAUAGCACCAUUAAGCACACAGUUGAAAAUCCAAGCAGCAAAAGGAACCCAACAUGGGAAACCAAAUUGAAACCUGGCAAUUGUAUGGUCGUUUUUGUUUUAAAAAAAUAUAAGUCCCUAUACUUUUUAGAGCUUUCAAAUAUGUCCCUAUAGUUUCAAAAAACAUUUUCAUAUAUACUAUGCCCUUUUAGAGAAGAAAUUAUAAGCCACUUUAUUUAUGCUUAAAAAAAAGUGAUUUUGAAAAGAAAAAAACAUUACUCUUAAAACCACUUUUCAAAAAAAUAAAAUAUCUACCCUUGAUAAGGGUAGGCCAAGGCCAUGUAUUACAAAUGUAUAUAAAAGAGGCAAAAGAAAAGUAGUUUUGUCAAUAAUACCCUUAGUUAGUUAGAAAAUUCAAUAAAGGGAUGGAGUCAAGUAAAGUAAUUUUCAUUCUCAAAGACCUACGAAUACCACACUCUAUGUAGAACCAAAAACUACUCAUUUGUUUUCAUAAUUUCAAUGCAUAAAGUCAAAAGCAGAAACAAAUUCAGAAAAUAAAUAUAUAAAUAAGAACAGAAAAAAAAAAGCAGUGAAGCAGAAAGAGAAAGAAGGUAUAAGCACCUGAGGAACGAAGGGGUUGGGAAUGGAAUGGUGAAUGUUGUUGUUGUUAACAUUAACAGGAAGUGAAACCUGGAUCCUUGAAGUUAUUUUUUUAAAACUAUAAAAACUCAUUCACAAUUUAGACUACGAAGAUUAUUAGUUAAAAAAUUCCUAAAAACUACAUGAACUUGUGGACUAGUUUGACCUCUCAAGUAACAUCUAAUCAGUAUGUACUGACCCUGACUUGUUGCAGGACUUGGGGUAGGACUGGUAACCACAUUGCAGUUGUUGCGUCUAGUGCCUGAACUCACAGUAUGAGUUGCCAAUGUGCCAGAGAAACUUGCAUAACGCCAGAAACAUGCAAUAAAAUGUGAAGCCAAAUCAAGAACUGAAUCAACAUAAGCCUGCAUAAUUAGAAACACAAUUAAAAUGACCGAAUGACACUUGUCAAACUGUAACAAAAGCAGACCUGAAUAGUAAGACAAAUGAUGUUCAUAGCCAUUGAUUCAGAGUCAACGCUAAUUAAUGUUUCAGUGAAUGCCUGAACCCCCUUCAAAAUCCAGAACCAUCACACAAACCUCUUUGGUUUUGACUCUGCAAUCAUACAAAAUCCAGUAUAUUUAGGCUAUAGACAGACACUUCCCCUGUCCAAUAACAAAAUAAUGAACAGAUUCACACUUAUAGCAGUUUGCAUAGGUGUGGUUUUCCACCCAUACUAGAAGUAGGGUUCCCAAAUAUAGGAUGGAGAACAGCCUGCUGUAAAGAUGACUCCUAGUGUUGCGCUCUCCACCCUGUAAUUGAUGAGCCCUCAUUUGGAUCAUACAGGGACAUGUACUGUCUUGCAUGGUAAAGUUAGAAUCACAUAAAAUUCUGAUAUGCAUGUAGGCCUAAUCACACAACCUAGAGCUGUACAGAAGGCUAGGUAAGUGUUGGGAAGUCCCACAUCGACUACCUCACAUUCUUGGGAAUUGUUUAAAUACAUGUUCAACUACAUCUCUAUUAGCCAAUUAGUUUUGAGAUGAAACUUUAAAGUAAGUAUAUUGCAUGCAUGAUAUCAUUUCAAACACACCACAUCUUAUAUCUGCAGGGGUAUAAUACCUUUAAGGGAAGUGGCAAAUGUCCUGUAAUUAAAUAAAUAAAAAAUAUGAUAACAAUUGUAUGGUUGCUAUCUUUAUCAGAUUUUUUAAGUCAAGAAUCUACGACAAGCACCACAAAUCUCCUCUAUCAAAUCUAAUGAAUAUGCAAUUUUAAUUAAUCAGAGCAGUAUAAGCAAAUAUGUAUUGAGAAGUUACUGCUUUAAAUAGAGAUCAUAGUCAUACACAUAAGUUCCAAUCAUUAUAAACACUCAUCAUUCUGACGUUCUAUAAAUUUACCUGUAUCACUGUAUAUUUUUAUGGCAAAAGUGGAGAUUGCAGGAAGCAGCAAAAUUGCCGACCAAAGAUUUAUUUCUCUCAAUCGAAGGACAAAGGAGGCUACCUGACUAGGCACAAUGUUAUUUGAUAAAAAACAGUGAUGGCAAAUAUUAUACCUAAAGAGUGAAAUUAGUAUGCAAGUCCCUAUACUUUUUAGAGCUUUCAAAUAUGUCCCUAUAGUUUCAAAAAACAUUUUCAUAUAUACUAUGCCCUUUUAGAGAAGAAAUUAUAAGCCACUUUAUUUAUGCUUAAAAAAAAGUGAUUUUGAAAAGAAAAAAACAUUACUGUCAACUUCAGCUAUUUUUCCGGUUAGAAGUUUUUCAAGUAAAAGUUCAACUAAACAAACAUUAAAAUGUCAACAAUGUGAACAGUGAUAUUUUAUUUAAAUUAGCCGAAACAAAGGGACCCCAAUAAUUCAUAAUUGGAUUUCAACUAUCAGUUUUGCACAUUCAAGUAAAGUAAUUUUCAUUCUCAAAGACCUACGAAUACCACACUCUAUGUAGAACCAAAAACUACUCAUUUUUCCCCAUAAUUUCAAUGCAUAAAGUAAAAAGCAGAAACAAAUUCAGAAAAUAAAUAUAUAAAUAAGAACAGAAAAAAAAAAGCAGUGAAGCAGAAAGAGAAAGAAGGUAUAAGCACCUGAGGAACGAAGGGGUUGGGAAUGGAAUGGUGAAUGUUGUUGUUGUUAACAUUAACAGGAAGUGAAACCUGGAUCCUUGAAGUUAUUUUUUUAAAACUAUAAAAACUCAUUCACAAUUUAGACUACGAAGAUUAUUAGUUAAAAAAUUCCUAAAAACUACAUGAACUUGUGGACUAGUUUGACCUCUCAAGUAACAUCUAAUCAGUAUGCAUUGACCCUGACUUGUUGCAUGACUUGGGGUAGGACUGAUAACCACAUUGCAGUUGUUGCGUCUGGUGCCUGAACUCACAGUAUGAGUUGCCAAUGUGCCGGAGAAACUUGCAUAACGCCACCCCCCUUCAAAAUCCAGAACCAUCACACAAACCUCUUUGGUUUUGACUCUGCAAUCAUACAAAAUCCAGUAUAUUUAGGCUAAAAGGCAGAGUACCACACUUAUAGCAGUUUGCAUAGGUGUGGUUUUCCACCCAUACUAGAAGUAGGGUUCCCAAAUAUAGGAUGGAGAACAGCCUGCUGUAAAGAUGACUCCUAGUGUUGCGCUCUCCACCCUGUAAUUGAUGAGCCCUCAUUUGGAUCAUACAGGGACAUGUACUGUCUUGCAUGGUAAAGUUAGAAUCACAUAAAAUUCUGAUAUGCAUGUAGGCCUAAUCACACAACCUAGAGCUGUACAGAAGGCUAGGUAAGUGUUGGGAAGUCCCACAUCGACUACCUCACAUUCUUGGGAAUUGUUUAAAUACAUGUUCAACUACAUCUCUAUUAGCCAAUUAGUUUUGAGAUGAAACUUUAAAGUAAGUAUAUUGCAUGCAUGAUAUCAUUUCAAACACACCACAUCUUAUAUCUGCAGGGGUAUAAUACCUUUAAGGGAAGUGGCAAAUGUCCUGUAAUUAAAUAAAUAAAAAAUAUGAUAACAAUUGUAUGGUUGCUAUCUUUAUCAGAUUUUUUAAGUCAAGAAUCUACGACAAGCACCACAAAUCUCCUCUAUCAAAUCUAAUGAAUAUGCAAUUUUAAUUAAUCAGAGCAGUAUAAGCUAAUAUGUAUUGAGAAGUUACUGCUUUAAAUAGAGAUCAUAGUCAUACACAUAAGUUCCAAUCAUUAUAAACACUCAUCAUUCUGACGUUCUAUAAAUUUACCUGUAUCACUGUAUAUUUUUAUGGCAAAAGUGGAGAUUGCAGGAAGCAGCAAAAUUGCUGCACAGAGAUACACACUUCUGUCUACACACCAUCACCUGAGAAACUUUAACUGGGCUUCAAUUUGUGCAGGUCUGCUUCUAUGUCACUGUUAUUCUCACUCUCAUCACCGACACUCUUAAGCUUCCUCCUUUUGCCAAGAUACAAUCUCACUUAAAAAUUGAGAAACAACAACAAAAUAGCACCAUUAAGCACACAGUUGAAAAUCCAAGCAGCAAAAGGAACCCAACAUGGGAAACCAAAUUGAAACCUGGCAAUUGUAUGGUCGUUUUUGUUUUAAAAAAAUAUAUAACUUUUACUUAAAACCACUUUUCAAAAAAAUAAAAUAUCUACCCUUGAUAAGGGUAGGCCAAGGCCAUGUAUUACAAAUGUAUAUAAAAGAGGCAAAAGAAAAGUAGUUUUGUCAAUAAUACCCUUAGUUAGUUAGAAAAUUCAAUAAAGGGAUGGAAAAUUAGUUGGGAAGUUUCUGGAUGUGGAACCAGAGAAGAGAAUCGUGGGAUCCAUUGUAUUCUAACAAUUCUACUUUUGUAAUCUUCCUAAAUUCUUAGCAAUAAAGAAACAGCUCUACUCAACCUAGAAUCCAUUGAUUCUGGAGAGAAGCUUGAAGAUCAACACUCCCUUGACCCCACUAGGUAGGAUCUUCAUGCACUGGGCUGCCCUGCUUAUGGUUGUUUGAUCUCAUCAUCUCAUGAAUGUAAUAAUCAAUUUACAAGUAAAUCAUGUACUGGAUUCUAGUCUUUUAAUUUACUUCUUUCAUAUAUGGCCAGCCAACAUUUAGAGCGAAAGUCAGCCGUAUCAAAAUAAUCAUGCCAUUAAGAAGCAAAAUGCCCAGAUCAAUUGAGUCAGAUUUAUCCAGACUGACAAAACUUACUUUGGUACCAGCUGGCAUGUCACUCAAAUCAUAGUUGCAAAUGAAAGUGUGAAGGGGAGUCUUUUCCGGAUUACUUAGCACCUGCAGAGAGCAAUCACAUGCAAUAGUAAAGCAUUAUUACAAAAAAGACAGUAAUCCUCACAGAUGACUUGAAAGUGGAACAAAAGGUGCUAAUCUACUUAUAUGCUUGCUAAAAUGGAUUUAUUUGGUGAGGAAAGAAGGGAAAAUAUCGAUAGGUAUGUACAGAAUCAGUGAAGCCUAGUCCAAAUACAUCAAUCCUUCUCUGCCACCUAAAAGUUCUCAACAAACAUGACACAAACGAGCCUAUAAUGUAUCAGUGACUCUAACAACACACUUUCUGGACCAUGCAAUCAAAGAAAACAGGUCAUUCUAAUUAACUCAGCUACCAAAAGGGCCAUUCUCUUCGAAUCAUAAUUCAAAAAAUAAUUCUUAACCCAAAAAUCUGAUAAAGAUAGCAGCCAUACAAUUAUUAUCAUAUAUUUUAUUUAUUUAAUUACAGGACAUUUGCCACUUCCCUUAAAGGUACCAAACCCCUGCAGAUAUAAGAUGUGGUGCUUCUAAUUUUCUUGAUCUUUAGAGGCUAGUCAUGCUAGCUUGUCCCAGGGUAGUACGAAAUUGCAAGCAGAAGGGAACUGGACACGGCUUGUAACUAUUCCAUUAGCACAAUCAUUUGAAAACAAAAAAUUUCUUCUGAAAUUGAGGAUACUUUAAGUUGUUCGAAAGAUUAGUUACUUUUCAAAUGACAACAGAUGGCUUUGACCACAAUAACCUAAGGUUAUUAAAAAUGGGUUUAAAUUACAAAUUCCAUAUUGCAACCAGAAUUUCUCAAAUAUGUUGUAGCCAUUGAGUACAAAGAGAGUAAAAACCUGCCCAAGGCUCCCACCAGUAGGGUUUGGGGAUGGUAGAUGUACAUAACUUUACUCUUCACAAGUGGAGAGACCGUUACCUGACUGAAAUAAAGAUGGUGAAAAGUUCAUCAAAAGAAACAACUUAAAACAGUUAACAUUCUUAUGAAUGAUAAAGAAGAUCCUAAAGAGCAUUUUUAUAAAUGAUUAAUAGGAUCAACCGAUGGAGGAGGAAGAAUAGAUGAAUCAAUUGCACAGGUUAAAAACAAAAUCAGAAGAGAAGAAAUAAUGACAAGAGGAACAAAGCUCCAGAAUUUCCUAUGUUCCUUUUAAGGAUAAGCAAAAAAGAAAUCUAUUGAUGUUCUUAAGUCUAUGCUUAAGAUCUCUUCGACAAAAAGGAUCUAUAUUACAAUAUAACAAUUUCAAAUUCAAUGUUACUGAAAAAAGAUAAUAUGCAGAUGCGAACUAUAUAAAGACCAUGGGAGCAUCCCCAUCACCCCUUAUGCAACCAUAUAAGUUCGUUUGAAGUCAACGUUACACAAAUUAAAAUGUUCACAAGACACCCUGUAACAACUAUGCAAUAUUUUGCCACCACUCAUGCUCACACUGCAGGCAGGUAGUAUGACGGACAAGAUUAGUUGGUCCCUAAAUAUACAAAUUAUCAGAUAAUUAAGCAUACGACACAAAUAAUGUUUGCAAUAGAAAAUCCAGGAAAGAUUAAGGGUCGCGUAAAUGAUCAACCAUAUAGAAAAGACGGGUGUUAACUGCUAAACCAAUUAUAUUAACUUCAUUGAAGAGCUAAGCUUUUAAUGCAUAGCUAAGUCUACCUUCUAUAAUGUGAUUGGAAAAACCACCUAAUUGAUUACGUGAGGCUAUGAAACCUGAGCAAGGUUUAUCAAGCCAUUCAUGUUAGGCAAAUGCCAUACUUAACAAUUAAAUUUACUAUCCACUGGAAAACCAUUGAUAAAGUACUUGCAAUUAUACCUUUAUAUUAAAGGGCAGCCCACAGUGCAAGAGACUCCCAAAACAAUCGGUUCCUUAUAUAACAACUGUCAGUUUAAUCCAUAGGCAAAAGAAUAAACAAAUGCCAACUUCCCAGGUAUUCAAAAAGAUGCUUGGUGAAAAGCAGUAAUAUGUUCUUUCUUUUCACCAUCGUUUCAGAUACUGCCAUCUCAGCAGGCUUAAUCCUUUAUGCUUCAAAGCCAGACAUGUUCCUCUCCCAGAAGCACAUUCUUUCUCUUUUGUCCCAGUCUGACCCCAAGAAUCUCCUUCCUCCAUAGCUGAUAUUGCCUACACUAGUGGCAUCCACUCAUUCUGAAACAAGAGUUCACACCUCAGUCGCAUCUAGGUCAUAAAGAGUUCACACCUCCAAUCAUUCUGAAACAAGAUAUCAUAUUACAAAUGCUUUUAAGGUAAUAUAUGCUAAAAAUAACAUGCUUAUUUUACAUCAUAAAUAAACAUUUUUAUAUUAUAUUGGCAUUUAAGGACAGCUAGGCUCAAACCAUCCAGAAUUUAGAUUAUGAAGAGAUUCAUGCUGCCAUUGCCUUUAGGUUAUAAAGGCCAAAAAACCACAAUCCAAAAUUUACAUUACAAAUAAAGAAAGUCACAUUAUUUGACAACACGUUAAGGUUAACCACGACUAUCCUAGAUUUACAUUAUGCUUAAAGAAUCAAUAUAUCAUUUGACAUUUGCAGUUAGGAUCAUCAAGGCACAACAUAUACCAACACUCCAUCCACUUUUUAUAUCAUUUACAAAGAACUCAUACUGCAUUUAGGGAUCAUAUAAGUCUUAAAAGCAUGUAAUUCUAAUUACUACAUUAUGAAACAAUUGCAUUUUGCCGGCUCAAACAUUCAAGCUUUAUGUAGUACAAUGAAAAAAGAAUGCUUACUGCAAUUUACAUUUAGAUUCACCGAGGGUCAAUCCAUAUAGCUGUUGCAUUUAGGCACAUCAUAGUCCCCCCAAAGCAUAACAUCUGAAUUACAUACCACAAUUGCAUUGAAAGCAGCGUAUUUAUUUUCACAAGCAAAGAGAUGAAAACGUUAAGGUGUUUCAAAUUUGGGUAAAUGCAUCUAUUACUAAGAAGAAAUCUACUAUUAAUUGUGAGUGUGUUAAUAGCUCAUACCUCCCCUUAUUGAAGAAAUCCUAGAAAGAAAAUCGCUUACAUCCAGAGGCGAGAAUUUUCUUAUUGAAGAAAUCCUAGAAAGAAAAUCGCUUACAUCCAGAGGCGAGAAUUUUGGGGAAAGCAUCGCAUUUCUCUGCAUACACCAAGAAAAUUAUUGUUUCCACAAGCAUCUUAUCUGUGAGAUCAGGUAAACAACAUUCUUGCAUAGACCCAGCUUACCUAAACUUCCUUUCACACAAAAAUAUUCAGUCGUGCACUAGUGCUGCAGACCAUAACUUAUUUUCAGAGUAAAAUGAAGAAGAUUGAAAAGUACCAUUACAGAGAAUAAGCACCUUAUAUACAGAAGGAAACAAUCAGUUCUUCAGAAACUCAUGUCUCCAACCACUUAUUAGUUUUGAUUUUCAAUCAGAGCAUAAUUAAAAAACAAAUUAAAGACAUCAAUUAUUCUAAGAUUGGUCUAUUCUCUAAUGUGAAUUACAAAACAUCAUAUAGAGGAACUUUGAUAACUUAACAUCUAUAAUUACUACUAACUUACUGGACACCAAGUAAAUACAUUUAGAAAGUUUACAGUGUCCAUGAGAUCAUAUGCUAUCACUCAAAGCCUUUCUGAUCAUAUCCUAUCACUCAAAGCCUUUAAGAUAACUGGGUAUCCUUGAAACUCCUGCCCCUUCGUAGAAAAUAAUAAGAGUUUCCAGUUAAGAAGAACUGUUCCUCAGAGUCCCUGAUAUACAAAAAUGACACAGAAACUAAUUUGACAGCACAUUAAAAAUAGUAGAUCAUAUCAUUACUAUACAAUAUUAUAGAACCUUCUAAUUCCAUAUACUACCAUCUGCAUGGAAUUCAUAAUGUGAUACAAAUAACUAGUAUUUAAUGCUAACACUGUAUGUUCUUCUUGAGCUAGAACAGAAUUUGGAUUCCCUAUUUUUUCCCAUACAACCAUAUUUAAAUUUAAAAUCACAACAGAUAAAUGAAUGUCCCAAUUCAAAUUUAAAAUCAGACCNNNNNNNNNNNNNNNNNNNNNNNNNNNNNNNNNNNNNNNNNNNNNNNNNNNNNNNNNNNNNNNNNNNNNNNNNNNNNNNNNNNNNNNNNNNNNNNNNNNNAUUUUAACUUAAUUUUACACCUUUCAUCCACACAUGUAAAAACAACCUCAUUUUGAAUUGAACUUGCAGCUCACUGAGUCGUAGCUUGGGACAUAUAUGACUGCUGACAAUGAAUUGAAAAAAUUAACAUUAGAGAAGAUACAAAAACCGUUAAGGAGAAUUCUUUUGAAAAAAUACCAUCUCUAUAUGAUUCCAUUGUAAGAGGGGAGGAUAUGAGCUGAAAUUCAACAAAAUCACAUUAUCACGAGUAAUAGUAAUUUAUGAAGAAGAUUGGAAAUUGAGAUAGAAAGGGUUGGAAAUUGCCAUGACAGGUUGUGGAGUCCCUGAUUGAGGAGUUUGAGUGUGGCAUGCAUAUCCAAAACAGUAUGCAUCUUUCUCUUUUAUUCAUGUUCAAUUUCAUACCUCUCUUGCGAGUGCAAACGAAUCAACAUAAGCCUGCAUAAUUUGAAACACAAUUAAAAUGACCAAAUGACACUUGUCAAACUGUAAAAAAAGCAGACCUGAAUAGUAAGGAUAAGGGUUGUUCAUAGCCAUUGAUUCAGAGUCAACGCUAAUUAAUUUUUCAGUNNNNNNNNNNNNNNNNNNNNNNNNNNNNNNNNNNNNNNNNNNNNNNNNNNNNNNNNNNNNNNNNNNNNNNNNNNNNNNNNNNNNNNNNNNNNNNNNNNNNAUCUGAAUUCAAAAUUAUAAGCAACUAGGGUCAAACAUAGCAUCAAGAUUCAUCCACACAAUCAUUCAUCUUGCAUGCAAUACCUCAUCCUCACAAUCCAAAACAACCACUAAAAUUCAGAUUCAUCAAGAUCAAAUGCAUUUGAAUGAGAUCAUAAAAGCAUAUCAUCGAUUUACAAAUUAUGAAUAAAGAAUUCAUACUACAAGUAUAUAAUUUCGAUCCAACCAUCUAUCCAUUGUGAAUAAAGAAUUCAUGUUACAAUAUCAUUUAGGAGUUCAAGAAAGUCAUAAAUAAAUCACAUCAUUAUCCGCUGAAGUUCAAGAAUCACACAUCAUUAUCAGUUGAGGUUCAUGAAAAUUACAUAGCUUAAGUUCAAGAAAAUCACAUGAUUAUUAGUUCAGGUUCAAGAAAACCACAUCAUUAUCAGCUGAAGUUCAAGAAAAUGACAUCAUUAUCCGCUGAAGUUCAAGAAAAUCACAUUAUUAUGAGUUGAAGUUCAAGAAAAUGGCAAUAUUAUGAGGUGAAAUUCAAGAAAAUCACAUCACUGAGAUACUAAGAAGUUGGCUCAAUAAGUGUAGUAAUUCAUGAAGAAGAUUGGAAAUUGAGAUAGAAAAGAGAGAUAGAAAGGGUUGGAAAUUGAUUCUCUCACCCUCUUUCGCAUGCAUAUCCAACAUGAAACAGUUGUUGAAGAAUUGUAAUUCAAUUAGUUUAAUUCAAUUGCUUAAGCUUUGUUAAAACAGUUUUCUGUUUUUAUGGUUUUACUAUUUUUAGUAGUUAGUUGGUUGGUGUAUGCUAUAAAUAGAAACCUCACUAUUCUUCCUUCUUAAUCCAAUUCAAUAUACAUGAACUAUUGAUGUAUUCCUUAUCAUCUAUCUUUUAUACUUUUCUCAAUUCAUUACUCUUUCUUCCUCUUUAAAUCUCAUUUCUUAUUGUUGCCAAUUCACUGGUCUUCACAGUGAAUGCAUUCUGUUUCUUCACACUGGUUUUAACAGUGGUAUCAAGAGCAAGGUUGAAGGAGGUGCUCUGUGUGAAUCAUCUCCUCAAAAGGUGGACCUGUGAACGUGAAGAAGAAGUUGAAUUCUGUGUGAAUUCACGAAGAGCUUAGGUGCAGAAUGUCAAAUGGUCAUGGAUUUGCAAUGAAUUUGCCAAUCUUGGAUGGCAAGAACUUUGAUAGAUGGAGAAGCCAAAUGAAAGCAAUCUUUGGCUUUCAAGAAGUAUACGAAAUUGUGCAAUUUGGCUUCCAAGAAAUUGGUGACAAUGCAACCGAGGCUCAAAUGGCAACUUACAAGGAGGCAAAGAAGAAAGAUUGUAAAGCAUUGUUCCUCAUUCACCAAUGUGUUGAUGGUGAUAACUUUGAGAAGAUCAGUGGUGCAGAAACAUCAAAACAAGCCUGGGACAGUUUGGGAAAGUGCUAUGAAGGUGUUGCAAAGAUAAAGAAAGUCAAAUUGCAAACACUUCGAAGGCAAUUUGAGUUGUUGCAGAUGGAUGAAAGUGAAUCUGUUGCAGCCUACAUGACCAAAGUUCUGACCAUUUCUAAUCAGAUGAAGUCAUGUGGUAAGGCAAUGAAGGAUAAAACAAUGGUUGAAAAGGUACUUAGGACACUUACUACUAAGUAUGACCACAUUGUAGUAGCCAUAGAAGAAUCUAAGAACCUGGAUGAGUACAAGUUUGAGGAGUUGCAGGGUUCUCUUGAGGCUCAUGAGUUGAGACUGAAAGAGAGGAAUCCAGAGAGAAAUGGCAAUCAAGCUCUACAGGCAAGAUUCAACAAGAAGAUUCCUGGGCAGUGGAGUAAGAGAUAUAAUGAGAAACCUCAUAGAUUGAGAUCUAAUGAGCCAGGAACAUCCUCAAGAAGGUUUGAUAAUCAAAUGAAGACAGGGAAGGAAGCUGAGUCAAAGAAUUCAAACAAGAACUCAGAGUUCAGAAGGAAGCAAGAUAAAAGGAAGGUGCAAUGCUAUAGCUGCAGAAAUUAUGGGCACUUUGCCUCAGAAUGCAAAUUGAACAAGUGGUCCACCUCCAAAGAAGAAGAAGUAAAGUUGGCACAGAAUGAUCAUGAAUCUGAUGAUGAUCAUUGUAUGUUAAUGGCCACUACAUUAAAAGAAGAAGGGCAGAGUAAAAAUGCUGAGUUUUGGUACUUGGAUACUGGUUGCUCCAACCAUAUGUCAGGAAGGAAAGACUGGUUUACCACUCUUGAUGAAUCAACCAAAAGUAAGGUGAACUUUGCUGAUCAAAGCUCAAUUGAUGCAGAAGGAGUUGGUAAGGUGAUGAUCCUGAGACAAGAUGGCAGAAAAUCAUACAUCUCAAAUGUGCUCUAUGUACCAAGAAUGAAGCAUAACCUACUCAGUCUUGGUCAACUGUUGGAGAAAGGAUAUGAGAUGGUGUUGAAGGAUGGCAUGCUAACUAUCUUUGAUCAGAAGAAUCAAAAGGUCUUGAAAGCUCCACUCUCUUCAAACAGAACUUUCAAAGUUCAGAUUCAGGCUGGUGAUCAAAAAUGUCUUCAAGCAAACUCAGAUCAGACAACUUGGUUGUGGCAUAAGAGGUAUUGUCAUCUGAACUUUAAAAGUUUAGAAAGUCUGAGUAAAACUAAUUUUGUAACAGGAUUACCACUCAUCACAAUUCCAAAGGUGUUCUGUGAUGAAUGCCAGUUCAGCAAGCAAACAAGAAACUCCUUUGUUUCUGAAAUACCAACCAAAACGAAGAAGCCCUUGGAAGUGAUCUAUAGUGAUGUAUGUGGACCAUUUGAAGAAGACUCAAUUGGUGGAAAUAGGUACUUCCUAACCUUCAUAGAUGAUCACACAAGAAGGUUAUGGAUUUAUCUACUGAAGAGGAAGAGUGAAGUUCUUGAAAAGUUUCAGAAAUUCAAGUCUCAAGUUGAAAGAAUGAGUGACUUGAAACUCAAGCUACUGAGAUCAGAUGGGGGUGGUGAGUACAUGUCCAAUGAAUUCAGUGAGUUCUGCAAUAAAGAAGGCAUCUUUCAUGAAGUAAUUGCUCCUUAUACUCCUCAACACAAUGGGACUGCAGAAAGAGCAAAUAGAACUCUCCUUAACAUGGCCAGAAGCAUGCUAAGAACCAAGAAUCUGCCAAAGAAGUCCUGGCGGGCAGCAAUCUCCACUGCAGCANNNNNNNNNNNNNNNNNNNNNNNNNNNNNNNNNNNNNNNNNNNNNNNNNNNNNNNNNNNNNNNNNNNNNNNNNNNNNNNNNNNNNNNNNNNNNNNNNNNNAACUCCAAAGAAGAAGAAGUAAAAUUGGCACAGAAUGAUCAUGAAUCUGAUGAUGAUCAUUGUCUGUUAAUGGCCACUACAUUAAAAGAAGAAGGGCAGAGUAAAAAUGCUGAGUUUUGGUACUUGGAUACUGGUUGCUCCAACCAUAUGUCAGGAAGGAAAGAUUGGUUUACCACUCUUGAUGAAUCAACCAAAAGUAAGGUGAACUUUGCUGAUCAAAGCUCAAUUGAUGCAGAAGGAGUUGGUAAGGUGAUGAUCCUGAGACAAGAUGGCAGAAAAUCAUACAUCUCAAAUGUGCUCUAUGUACCAAGAAUCAAGCAUAAUCUACUCAGUCUUGGUCAACUGUUGGAGAAAGGAUAUGAGAUGGUGUUGAAGGAUGGCAUGCUAACUAUCUUUGAUCAGAAGAAUCAAAAGGUUUUGAAAGCUCCACUAUCUUCAAACAGAACUUUCAAAGUUCAGAUUCAGGUUGGUGAUCAAAAAUGUCUUCAAGCAAACUCAGAUCAGACAACUUGGUUGUGGCAUAAGAGGUAUUGUCAUCUGAACUUUAAAAGUUUAGAAAGUCUGAGUAAAAAUAAUUCUGUGACAGGAUUACCACUCAUCACAAUUCCAAAGAUGUUGUGUGAUGAAUGCCAAUUCAGCAAGCAAGCAAGAAACUCUUUUGUUUCUGAAAUACCAACCAAAACGAAGAAGCCCUUGGAAGUGAUCUAUAGUGAUGUAUGUGGACCAUUUGAAGAAGACUCAAUUGGUGGAAAUAGGUACUUCCUAACCUUCAUAGAUGAUCACACAAGAAGGUUAUGGAUUUAUCUACUGAAGAGGAAGAGUGAAGUUCUUGAAAAGUUUCAGAAAUUCAAGUCUCAAGUUGAAAGAAUGAGUGACUUGAAACUCAAGCUACUGAGAUCAGAUGGGGGUGGUGAGUACAUGUCCAAUGAAUUCAGUGAGUUCUGCAAUAAAGAAGGCAUCCUUCAUGAAGUAAUUGCUCCUUAUACUCCUCAACACAAUGGAACUGCAGAAAGAGCAAAUAGAACUCUCCUUAACAUGGCCAGAAGCAUGCUAAGAACCAAGAACCUGCCAAAGAAGUUCUGGGGUGAAGCAAUCUCCACUGCAGCAUAUGUCAUCAAUAGGAGUCCCACCAAAAGGUUGAAUUUCAAGACACCAGAAGAAGUGUGGUCAGGCACUAGACCAAGUGUGAGUCAUCUCAAGGUUUUUGGCUCAAUCUGCUUUGGUCAUGUUCCUGAGGUAAAAAGAGGAAAGCUUGAUGAUAGGGGCCAGAAACUGAUUUUUCUAGGAUAUCACAGCAGUGGUGCAUAUAGAGUCUAUGAUCCUUUGACUCAUAAAUUCAUGAUCAGCAGAGAUCUGAAGUUUGAUGAGAAUCAAAGUUGGAGUUGGGAUAAAGCUGAUGGCUUUUCUGAAGGCAAAACUGGUCUAUUACUUGAUGAUGAAACCAGAUUGACAGAAGGUAUCACUGAAGAUGAAGUUGAAAAUAUUGCAGGGUGUGAUCAACCUGAAGUUGGCAGGCACUCAACAUCAUACAGAAUGAGACAACCAUCAUCUAGGCUGAGGGAUUAUGAGGUAUUUUCAUAUUCCUCAAUCACAGCAGAAGGUGACCUUGUGCACUUUGCUUUACUAGCUGAGAUGGAGCCACUUAGCUUACAAGAAGCACUUGAUCAACCAAAUUGGAUUCAAGCAAUGGAAGAUGAGUUAUUGUCCAUUGAAAGAAAUCAAACAUGGACUUUAACUACUCUACCAGUUGACAAAAGAGCAAUUGCAGUUAGAUGGGUGUUCAAAACUAAACUCAAUCCAAAUGGUGAAGUAUCAAAAUACAAAGCUAGGUUGGUUGCAAAAGGUUUCUUGCAGAAACAAGGUUUUGAUUAUGAUGAAGUCUUUGCACCAGUAGCUAGGAUUGAGACAGUGAGGUUGGUAAUUGCUUUAGCUAGCCAGAAUUGUUGGGAUAUACAUCAAAUGGAUGUCAAAUCUGCUUUUCUGAAUGGACCUCUUGACAAGGAAGUAUAUGUAACUCAGCCACCAGGUUUCAUCAAAGAAGGCAAAGAAGACAUGGUGUUCAAACUGCACAAGGCUCUUUAUGGGCUUAAACAAGCUCCAAGAGCUUGGAACAAGAGGAUAGANNNNNNNNNNNNNNNNNNNNNNNNNNNNNNNNNNNNNNNNNNNNNNNNNNNNNNNNNNNNNNNNNNNNNNNNNNNNNNNNNNNNNNNNNNNNNNNNNNNNAAGUUUAUGUAACUCAGCCACCAGGUUUCAUCAAAGAAGGCAAAGAAGACUUGGUGUUCAAACUGCACAAGGCCCUUUAUGGACUCAAACAAGCUCCAAGAGCUUGGAACAAGAGGAUAGAUGCUUUCCUAUUAAGACUUGGCUUCACUAAGUGUACUACUGAACAUGGAGCGUAUGUGAAAGGGAGACACUUCACUGAUUUGCUAAUUCUAUGCCUAUAUGUUGAUGAUCUUCUCAUAACUGGUGGAGAUCUCAACAAUAUAUUGGCAUUCAAGCAAGAGAUGCACACUGAAUUUGAGAUGUCUGAUCUAGGAGAACUUUCCUACUUCUUAGGCAUCGAAUUCAAGAGAACACAGGCUGGAGUAUUCAUGCAUCAAAUGAAGUACACUGCUGAUGUAUUGCAGAGAUUUGAUAUGCUGAAUUGUAACUCAACAACAACUCCAAUUGAUGCAGGGGCAGUGCUAUGCAUAGAUGAAUCAGAUCAACCAGUUGAUAAGACUUUGUACAGGCAAAUGGUGGGUUCACUGAGAUAUGUAUGCAAUUCCAGGCCAGACAUUGCUUUUGGUGUUGGUUGGGUCAGCAGGUUUGUUGAAUCACCUAAGCAGAGCCAUUUGGGUGCUGUGAAGAAGCUAUUGAGAUAUCUAAAAGGAACCUUAGGCUAUGGAAUUUUGUAUCCUGCUAAGGAUGAUGCCCAUGAAAAUUACAUAGUUUAAGACUUUAAGUUCAAGAAAAUCACAUGAUUAUCAGUUCAGGUUCAAGAAAACCACAUCAUUAUCAGUUGAAGUUCAAGAAAAUGACAUCAUUAUCCGCUGAAGUUCAAGAAAAUCACAUAAUUAUCAGUUGAAGUUCAAGAAAAUCACAUUAUUAUGAGUUGAAGUUCAAGAAAAUGGCAAUAUUAUGAGGUGAAAUUCAAGAAAAUCACAUCACUGAGAUACUAAGAAGUUGGCUCAAUAAGUGUAGUAAUUCAUGAAGAAGAUUGGAAAUUGAGAUAGAAAAGAGAGAUAGAAAGGGUUGGAAAUUGAUUCUCUCACCCUCUUUCGCAUGCAUAUCCAACAUGAAACAGUUGUUGAAGAAUUGUAAUUCAAUUAGUUUAAUUCAAUUGCUUAAGCUUUGUUAAAACAGUUUUCUGUUUUUAUGGUUUUACUAUUUUUAGUAGUUAGUUGGUUGGUGUAUGCUAUAAAUAGAAACCUCACUAUUCUUCCUUCUUAAUCCAAUUCAAUAUACAUGAACUAUUGAUGCAUUCCUUAUCAUCUAUCUUUUAUACUUUUCUCAAUUCAUUACUCUUUCUUCCUCUUUAAAUCUCAUUUCUUAUUGUUGCCAAUUCACUGGUUUUCACAGUGAAUGCAUUCUGUUUCUUCACACUGGUUUUAACAACAGUAUGACUCAAUUUCAUGCGUACAAAAUCACAUCCUUAUCAGCUUAAGUUCAAGAAAACCAUAUCAUUAUCAGCUGAAGUUCAAGAAAAUCGCAAUACUAUGAGCUGAAUUUCAAGAAAAUCACAUAACUAUCCGCUGAAGUUCAAGAAAAUCACAUAAUUAUCGGUUGAAGUUCAAGAAAAUCACAUUAAAAAUAUCAUGAGUUAUAGUAAUUUAUGAAGAAGAUUGGAAAUUGAUUCUGUCACACUCUCUCGCAUGCAUGUCCAACACUAAACAAUAUGCACCUUCAUAAUGAGGAGUACAACUAAUGAUAUUGCCACUAGUUAAAUUUUUAAAAUCAACUAUAUAACUACUAUCUUCUAUAAGAAAAAAGAGCUAUUGAAAAUACUAAAGUAGAUAUUCUACAUUUGUGAUAAGUGUAUAUAAAAAGGUUAUUUGUGUUAAUUUGAAAGGUUGUUGUAAUUAUAAAAUUAGACACUCUCCAUUUAUGAUAAGUAUACAAAGUAGAGGUUUUUUUGUAAAAUUAAUGAGUUGUUGAAAUUCCUAAAUUAAACACACUUCAUUUGGAUAUCUUUCAAAAUAACUUUAAAAUUAUGAAAAUAUCACAUACACUAUUUUUUAUUUUUUCUAAGUUUUGUUUAACAAAUCUUCUUCUUCAACUUAAAUCAACUCAAAGGUAUCAUUUUUUAUUUUUUACUUCUUCAUUUUCAAAUGACAAAGCAACUCACAAAUAUAAUUUUAUGCUCUUUUCAUUUUUACUUCAUCAUUCUCGUAACAAAAUGUGUAUAUAAACAUAUUGGUAGUUAUUACUUGGAAAUAUUUUUUUUCAUUUUUACUUCAUCAUUUUAUAGCUAUUUCUUUUUUUUUAAUUUGUGUUUCACAAAUCUAUUAUCUUCAUCAACUCACGUAUGAUUUUACUUUUAUUUUUCAUUUUUACUUCAUUUUCUCAUAACUACAUUUGUGUUUUCUAUUGGUAUAUGUCAACAUAUUAGUACUUACUAUUUAGUAAUAUUUGUAAUGGUUGUAACAAUGUGUGUUAACUACGUUUCUCAGAAUUAUUUUAAAUUUUUUCUUCAAUUUUGUUAAACAAAUCAAUGAUAUUUAACUAUCAAAGCUACUAACAGGUAUGAUUUUAAGUCAUUUUUAUUUUUUCUUUAUUGAUAGAUAUAAUUGGUUUAUUAUAUUAAGUUAUACAUGUACGUUACUUUACUCACACAAUAUUCUUUAUUCUCAUAUGUAAAAAUCAACUUCUUCAACAUUCAAUUAACUUACACCAACAAGGUAUCACAAGAUAAUAUUUUUUGAGACCCUUAUUAGCUGGCUGGUUGUAAAUGAUUCAAAAUGUAAAAUUCAUUUGAGCUUUUGGUCUCCUUUAAUGAAAUUGUAGUAUGAAAUUUGGAUGUUAUACUUUCGGGGACUAUGAUAUUCCUAAUACAGUAGCUAUAUGGGUUGUGUAUUCAUGAUGUAAAAGCAGAUGGUGCUGAUUGUCCCUCGAGAACCUAAAUGCAAAUUGCAAUCUGCAUUCUUUGUUCAUUAUAUUAUUAUAUAAAUUAUAAUUGUUAUUCUUGAUUGAAUGAUUUAGGCUACUCAAUAUGCAAUUGUUUCAUAAUCUAGAAAUUAGAUACAUGUUGGUCCCUAAAUGUAGCACGAGUCAUAAUAUAAAAAUUGGUGGUAUGUAUAAAAAUUGGUGGUAUGUACCUUGAUAACUCUAGCGGCAAAUAUUAUAUGCAGUAUUAAUUCUUUAUUCAUAAUGUAAAUUCAGGAAGAACGUAGUCAACCCUAAAUGCAUUGUCAAUCAAUGCACAUUUCUUUAUUCAUGAUGUAUAUUUUUUAUUAUGUUUUUUUUCCUUGAAUAUUGAUGUCCUUAAAUGUCACUUCAUUAUAAAAUAUAUUUUUAUAUUGUAAAAUAAGCAUGAUAUUUUGAGUCUAUAUGACCUUAAACACAUUUCUAAUAUGGCCUCCUCUUGUUUCUGAAUAAUUGCAAUUAAGGUGUGAAUUCUUUAUCCAUAAUGUAAUAUUUGGAUGGUAUUUUGAGUCUUUAUGGACCUUCAAUGCAAUUGCAUUAUGAAUCAGAGGUGAUGUCUCUAAAUGCUUCUAAAAUAGAAAUUCUUUAUCCAUAGGGGAGAUGAUUAAAGGUUUACAAACAAAACUAUAGAGUAUUAUGGCGAUUUAUGUAGAUGGCCCCACCUAAUAGGAUAAAAGCUUGAUGUUGUUGUAUAUAUAUAUAUAUAUUUAUUGUAAUUUGCUAUUGAUUUUGCAUAAUAAGGUUGGAUUAUAAAUAUUGCAAUUGCAUUAUGAAUUAGAGGUGGCGUCUCUAAAUGUUUCUAAAAUAAAAAAAAAUUAUUCAUAGGGGAAAUGAUUAAAGGUUUACAAACAAAACCAUAGAGCAUUAUGACAUCGUUCAAUUCAUGUAGUCGGCCUCACCUAAUAGGAUAAAGGCUUGAUGUUGUUAUAUAUAUAUAUAUAUAUAUAUAUAUAUAUAUUUUGUAGUUUGCUAUUGAUUUUGCAUAAUAAGGAAAAUCAAAUAGGAAAAGGUUUAUAUAGGGUUGAACCAAUUUAAUUGGUUAAAUCAGUUAGUUGGACUUCCCUCUCUGGUUCAAGAAAGGAUCAACGCAAAGAUCUUACUUCCAAGCAAUCUUUGGACUUUCCUUUUGUAGAAAAUAUCUCAUCAUUUGUUGUCAUUCUUCAUGGAAUCUGAUUAGGUUUAGCAAUAAUGGAAGUUAUGUUUUUUUAACUGAAUUAUGAACAACAUCAAGUAUAUUUUUUACUUAAAAUAUACACAUAAAUUCCAAAUUAAUAGUGAAUGAUGUUAAGACGUGAUAUGCUUCAUGGUCAAUUUGUUAUAUAGCUCGACAAACUUGGUUCAUGAACCAAAUGAGUUAAACUUGAACUGGAAAUUGAAUUUGUUAAAUAAACGAAUCAAACUUGAAUUGGAUACAGUUCAACUCGUGCGGUUAAUGAACUAGUUCGAUAUGUAUACAAAUAUAUAUAUCAACUAGUUUUUAUGUUGAUUAUGACUCAUCCAUUAUAUUUUUAUAUUUAUUAUGACUCAUGCAUUAUUUUUUAUAUUUAUUUUUAUUAUAUAUGGAAACAUGGUUAUAUUUAUAUGUAUAAAUCUUUUUGUAGUAUUUUUAAAAAAUUAAUUAACUAUUUAAGUUGUCCAAAUGAACUAAUCGAAUUGAGUUGAAUAGUUCGGAGAACUUUAACCGAACUGUACUUGAGCUAAGAAAAUAACGUGUAUCCAACUCGAGUUGAGUUUCGAGCUGAACUGGGUUGAAUUCUGGUUCGAUUUGGUUCGGCUUGUUUGCAGUCCUAGUUGAUUCUAACAAAAUAUUUAUUUUUGGUUUAUUUAAAUGUGAGUAAAAUGGUCAAUCUAGUCACCUAGUUUAAAGUGGUAAAGAAACAUAUCGACUAAUUGAAGGGUUUUCUGACAUGUUGAAGUUGUUUUCUUCCUUUUUUUAUAGUUGGACUGUUAGGGCCUACUCUAAUUCAAAUAAAAAUGAUUUUUUUAUAUAGAAAACAUACUAAUUUUUAUUUUGCACUCAACUUAUUCCAUGUACUUCAAAAUUUGACAUAAAAACUUGACAUAGUUAAAAAAAAAUUGUAAAUUAUGGGUGGCUUAUACUCACUACACAUGAUGUACAAAAUUUGAGGAUUGGCCUCAUAUGAGAAGAAGUUCAUAAUAGAGUAUCUCUAUGAUAUUCUUAUUUUUUUUAAUCAUUAAAAUUAUGACAUGUGUAUUAUUUUCUUUUAAUUUUUAGAAAUGUUUUUGUAAAAAUAUAUUAAAUAGGACAUUUGUAAUUAUUUUAGUGGCUAGAGAAGCUAACUUAUCUCUUAAUAUUAAUAUGAUAUAUUUAUUUUUCCCAUGAAUUAUUUGUAGAAGUAACCAAACAAGCAUGAGUGUGACAUGAUGAUCUCAACUUUGAAGUAAUGAGUUUUUGGUUAUGUGUUGUAUGAGGUAACACGUUUAUUUGGUGAUGUACAUCACAAAAUUUUGAAUAGUGGUACUUUGCUAAUUAUGUCUCCUAUGAGUACUUUAAGUUUUAUUGAGUAUGGACCGUUUAUGAUGUCUUUAAGAUUUAGCAAACAUGUUGAAUAUUUUUUUAUAACUGGUGCAUACAUUCUGUGUAAGACUUGAAUUCUUGCUAAAGAAUAAGCAAACAUGUUGAAGCAUAUAAUCAUUGAUGAAUUAGUAAUUUAAAUACAUAAUAUAGGAAAUUAGGAAUAAGUGUGGCAAAGAGAAGUUAUUUUAUCAAUGAGGUUGGUUCGAAUGAUAUAUGUUUGAUUUUCUUUAAGUAAGGUCUCAAGUUCGAAUCUUAUGAAUUAAAAAAUAUUCAUUAAAAGAGUUAGAUUUACAUAUUUGUGGAUAUUUCUGACUUGGACAUUAUUACCUCUAGUACGAAGAUAUCUAUGAGAAACAAAAAAAAAGGUAAGCUACUUUGGCAGAGUUUCAAGAGGGGGCAAAUUGCAUACAAUCCCUCAUAAAAUAGAAUGAUGAUUAGCUAUUUUCUUGAUUUUUAGUAUAAGAUAUUUUUGAUAAAUUCUACAUUUUCAAUUAAACAAUCAUAUCUUUUUAUUUAACAAAAAAUAUAAUAUCUAUAUAUUAUCAACUAUUCAUUUAAGUUACUUUCUAGGAGUAAUCAAUAAAGAUUAAACACAAAUGUUGAAAGAUAUAGUAAUAAUUUAUAAAACUUAUAUAUUAUUAGAGUUUUUCUCUUAACUAAAUCGGGACUGAAUCAAAAGUAUGAAUAAACACAUGUGAAAAUCAAUAGUCUCACCCAAAGAUUAUAUUGAUGAAGUUUCAUGAAAUUCGAUUGGAAUGUAUGGAGAAUUUAAACAAAUACACUAUUAAAAAUGACAUAAUUAAGAGUUUUGUAUACUAGCACUGAUUCAUAUUAAUUAUUAUUGAUUCUUAAAAAAAUAAUAAUUUAAAUCAAUAAUAAAUAAUAUAAUAAUUAUGUAUAAAUUAUUAUAUUGAGUAUACAUAUAUUAAACACCCUUACAUUUGUAAUAAUAAUGAAUGAGUGUCAUGUCAUUAAUUAGUUCAGAAAUGAAGGAAUGAGUAAUGACUGAUAACUGAAAAUAAAAUUUAAUCUAAAAAUCCAGAAUUUUUAUUAAAAAGUGAUUUUGUAAUUAAGAACAUGGGCCCCACUUCCCCUUGAGCUCAAUAAUUGAAAUGGACCAUGACCCACUCAAUUGAAUGGCACAUAUUCAAGUACAACAGUGAGAGUUCUUUCUCUCUCACUUCAACAACUCCAUUUCUACUUUUUUUUCUUCUACUGUUAAAUGCACUAUUACAAUUGUUCUCCUUCUUUUUUCACGCUUACACUUUCAUUUUACCAAACAACAAUGCUAUUCCACCUUCUCUUUGCUAAGGUAUGUUUCUCUUUCUACUCUCUACUUUUUUUCUUCAUCAAAUGUAAUCUUCAAUUAAAUUCUAUGUUCUACUUUGUUUAAUCAUCAAAUACUCAUCCCAAUAAGGGAAGUGAUUUUUUUUUCUUUUAUUCAACUGCAAAAAAUAUAAAUUUAUUGUUUUUUUGUUACUUUGUAAAAAUUAAAACUUUGAUUUUAUUGGAUCUUAUUUAUUUUAAUAAUAUUUAUAACUCCUGACUUAGAGCUCACUGAGAGUUGUUUUGUUUUUUAUUUUCACAAGACUCAGUGUUAUAAUUAAAAUUUGAAAUUAUACAUUUUAUUGAAAUAUUUUUUAUAAAUAUAUAUAUUAUUAUUAAGUUAGUUAUUAAAAGUUGGUAAUUGAAAGAAGAGGAAAUCAGUUUCACAGUGCUAUAAGGAAUGCAAAAAAUAAAAUAAAAAAUGUGACAUAAAAUAUGUAUUAACAAGGCCCAUUAAGUAGAUUUUAUUACAGUGUUGGUGUUUAAUCGGCUAUAUAAUGACGAGAUCAUUGGAUGUUGUUACAUAAGUUCUUUCAGAAAUAUGGGAGAGUGAGAGCGAGGGAGAGAACGCGAGGGGGAGAACGCGAGAGAGAACGCGAGGGGGAGAGAGAGAGAGAGAGAGAGNNNNNNNNNNNNNNNNNNNNNNNNNNNNNNNNNNNNNNNNNNNNNNNNNNNNNNNNNNNNNNNNNNNNNNNNNNNNNNNNNNNNNNNNNNNNNNNNNNNNUGAUAAUGUGAGUUUGUUGAAUUUCAGCUCAUAAUAUGCGAUUUUCUUGAACUUCAACUCAUAAUAAUGUGAUUUUCUUGAACUUCACUGGAUAAUAUUGCGAUUUUCUUGAACUUCAGCGGAUAAUUAUGUGGUUUUCUUGAAAUUCAGCUGAUAAUUAUGUGAUUUUCUUGAACUAGCUGAUAAUGAUGUCGUUUUCUUGAAAUAUUGUGAUUUUCUUAAACCUCAACUGAUAAUGAUGUGAUUUUCUUGAACUUCUGGUGACAUGAUGUGAUUUUCUUGAAAUUCAGCUGACAAUGAUGUGAUUUUCUUGAACUUCAACCGAUAGUUAUGCGAUUUUCUUGAACUUCAACUCAUAAUAAUGUCGUUUUCUUGAACUUCAGCUGAUAAUGAUGUCGUUUUCUUGAACUUAAGCUGAUAAUGAUGUGAUUUUCUUGAACUUCAGCGGAUAAUGAUGUCAUUUUCUUGAACUUCAGCUGAUAAUAUUGCGAUUUUCUUGAACUUCAGCUGAUAAUGAUGUGGUUUUCUUGAACCUGAACUGAUAAUCAUGUGAUUUUCUUGAACUUAAAGUCUUAAACUAUGUAAUUUUCAUGAACCUCAACUGAUAAUUGAUGUGUUUCUUGAACUUCAGCUGAUAAUGAUGUGAUUUAUUUAUGACUUUCUUGAACUCCUAAAUGAUAUUGUAACAUGAAUUCUUUAUUCACAAUGGAUAGAUGGUUGGAUCGAAAUUAUAUACUUGUAGUAUGAAUUCUUUAUUCAUAAUUUGUAAAUGGAUGAUAUGCUUUUAUGAUCUCUCAUUCAAAUGCAUUUGAUCUUGAUGAAUCUGAAUUUUAGUGGCUGUUUUGGAUUGUGAGGAUGAGGUAUUGCAUGCAAGAUGAAUGAUUGUGAGGAUGAAUCUUGAUGCUAUGUUUGACCCUAGUUGCUUAUAAUUUUGAAUUCAGAUAGACCCUAAUUUUAAAAAUUACCCGAAAUGCAAUUACAAUUUAAAUCCUCAAUUCAUAGUGUAAAAUUGGGAUAUACAUGAGUCAUUGGUGGCCUUCUAUGCAAUUUUAGUUUGAAUUCUUGGUUCAUAAUAUGAAUUGGGAUGCUGUACUUGGAAGAUCAACCAUCCUAUAACAUGGCUGCUGAGUGCUGAAUGUACUGGUAUCAUUGUUACUUGUACACUAAUUUUAGGUAGUUUUACAUCCACAUUGGUGAGAUUUCUGUAAGUCCAUGGAUAUACAUGUCCUAUGCUUUUAUAGUUUUACAUCCACAUUCGACUGAUAUGCUAUGAUGCUCAAGAACUUGCUGGAGACCCUUUUGCAGAAGUCACCAAGACAAUGUUGGAAUAUGUAUUAUUCCAGCAAAAUGUGGUUAUAUUUAUUGUUUGUUUUCCUGUAAUUUUUUUCAGGCUUUAGAAGCUAUGACUGUAUUUUUGUCUUGUGAAUGCUUUUGAUAUGUUCAAUCAAUUUCAGUAAAAAUUGCAUGGUAAUAUUUCUUCAGUUUUGCUCUUAUGAAUCAUGCUCACAAAUUAUUUGUUUGUGCUUAUCUUGGUUAGACCGACCCAUUUAAUGCCAUGGAAUGCAGAACUCAACUUCUGGCUUUACUCAAAUCUAUUGAGGUUUUGUCUUCUUUUAAUUUGAGACCAAUCCAUUUAAUGCAAUGGUAUGCAGAACUCAACUUCUGGCUUUACUCAAAACUACUGAGGUUUGUCUUCUUUUAAUUUGAAUAGUUAUGUUACUUGCAUUUCCUGAUUUUUCAAAUCUUGUAUAGAAUUGAUGAAUAAUUGAAAUGUUUAUGUGGUUAUGUUACAGGAACAAGUGAACCAGUGCUACAAACUCCUACUGAAACAAUUGUUUUGCCACGAAGGCGUUCAUAAUCUUGGGCAGAAGCGCAUAUGCUUAUCUGGACCAACUGACUCGGGUGGUGGUGUCAUGGAUGCAUCGUUCAGUUAUGACAGCUCCAAUGAUUCAUGGACUGUGGCAUCAUCAGUCUCAGUUGAGCCAGUGUUUAAGAGGAGCAAUGGUCAGGACCACUGGACCAGAACAUGCGAAUGCCUUCCGUAAAUCGUGUUUCUAUUGAUGUUCUAAAUAGGUGUAGUUGAUAAGUUAUCUUAUAUUACUUCAAACGUUUUAAGUGUUAUAGAGAUAAUUGUAAGUAUUGAUUUGCUCUAUAGCUUGAAACUGGAUCAUGACGGGUAGAAUUUUGCCGCUGAUGAAAAUUUUAGCUCAAAGUACAUGUAAGCUCUUUUUUCAAGGGUGGGGAUGUUGGUGCUGUUAGACUUGCAAGUAAAUUUCCCUCUAUCCUUUGUGGAUUCCUCCUAUUAUUGCUUUCCAUAGGCACAACAUUUAUUUUAAUGCAGAAUAAUGAGCAAAUUAUUUUGUUUUGCAGCUAGAACAAAAGCUGCAGAAAAUGCAGAAUAAGCUAGAGAGUGUAAUAUGGCAUCAGAAGGAACUUGAAGAACGUUUCCAAAUGGUUGUUAAAGAACAUAAAAUGAUGGAGUCUCUAGUCACAGAGCUUGAAGAGGAGAUCAACUUUUCUAUUCUUCUUUUACAUAUCACUAACUUCUUUACCAUAAAGUUGAGCAAAAAAUAAAAAAAAGUGAUCCCUUUGAUUUCUCUGCCAUGUUAAUAUCUUUUACAACUUCAGGUUUGGUCAUCAAUUUAUAUUAUUGGAAUUUUGGUUUCUCUCUCUAGUAUUUGCUAUAGGAAAAUUCAGCGUAACAAACAAAAUAAGAAUGAUAGGUAGGUUGAAUUAUAAGAGGAGAUCAUGACUUGAGUGACAUUUACCGGAGACAUAGAAAGGAAGAUGAAGACUUGGAAUGGUCCCAUAAUUCCACUCGCUUAAUAUCUCAGUUAGCUCAAUGUUUUAGUGAGUACAUUUUUCUCUUGAAGCUUUUUUGCAUUCUUGUAAGUUUUGUCUCUUUCUUAAAUGAAUAUCAUAAUUGAUUUGUGUUUUGCAUGAAUGAGAAAAUGUAAUUGUUCCAGUCGAAUACUUAAAUUGGCAGAUCAUGUUGUUGGGGUCUAUCAAACAUAGAAAAUGUGAGUCACAAAUUUUGUAAAUCUGCUAUAUUAAGAAUGGGUAGAUCAUUGCGUAUUGCUUAUUAGUGCAUUGACAAUAUUUUCAAGUUGACCUAUAACCAUGUAUUUUUAAGCUGUUUUACAUUAUCAAGUUAUUGAAGUUUUCAACUUAGUUUUGUUUUCAGUUUUGUUUAGAAUAUCAAAAGCUUUAAGCUGGUCUGUACUAUAAAAACAUGAGUUUAAAAUGGAUUCAGUGCAGUGUACAGUUCUAAAUACUAUUAGUAAGUGAGAAAGUUCAACAUCACUGUAAGUAGCUAAGGCAUUACACUUCUGCCUUGAACAGGUUCUUUAAAUACAAGGCAAAAAUAUUGUUCACAAAAUUUGUAAAACUGCUAUAUUAAUUGCUCUCAGGUAUUAGCAAAAUAUUUCCAAUCAAAUUGGAUUGUUCUCGAGUUCUACAAAAUAUGAAUUAUAUGACAGUUGAAUUAUAGGAGGAGAUCAUGACUUGAGUGAAAACAUAGGUCACCCCUUUGCUUUCAAAUAUGUAUUUCUCUCUUCUUCUUUUUGUUGCUUUUGGAGUUUUGGUUUAAAAAGGAGCCAAUGGAAAACACUUUUGCCUGACUCUCAUGAGAUUGAGAAAGCGUAAACGAUGUUUUCCUUCAUGCUCCUCUCUUCACAAAGUAAACGCAAUAUUGUUUUCUCAAUUAUUCCUAAUGAAGACAAUGAUAAUGUAGUUGUCUCGAAGGAAUUCGUAAAUCAUGAAAUCAUUCAAUAGCUGCAUCCUUUUACCAACCUGUAAUGUAUUAAAUAUUUUAUCAUGUGGGUCGACUUGCAUUUCGUUACAAGUUAUUGACUUUGAGAGUAAUGUAUGCAAUGUAGUAUUAAGUAUCUCCUAAGCUUAUGGGAUCUGCAAUCUAGUUCAGUAUUCCAUUGUAUAGUCUCUUGAAUUCGAAGCAUCUCUUUUUGCUAAGUUAAAGAAACUACAAUAUGGUUUCUUCCUUUACUUCUUGCAUAUAUUGUUGUAAGCACUUUAAGAUAGUAUACUAUAACCUAAACUGAAGGUUUGUUAAUAAUUUCGGUAGAUCGAGGAGUGGUUCAUAUUCUAUUUAUCCAAUUACUAUUUGCUUAAAGAUGCUUUCAAAUUUCAAAUGCAUGUUGAUGAAGAUGAGAUUUACUGGAGACAUAGAAAGGAAGAUGAAGAGUUGGAAUGGUCCCAUAAUUCCACUCGCUUAAUAUCUCAGUUAGCUCAAUGUUUUAGAGAGUACGUUUUUCUCUUGAAGCUUCUUUGCGUUCUUGUAAGUUUUGUCUCUUUCUUAAAUGAAUAUCAUAAUUGAUUUGUGUUUUGCAUGAAUGAUAAAAUGUAAUUCUUCCAGUCAAAUACUUAAAUUGGCAUAUCAUGUUGUUGGGGUGUAUCCAACAGAGAAAAACAUGUUUUUUUGUUUGCUUAGUCCUGUCCAGGAUUCACUUCUUGCUUUUCUACGACAGUCUUAAAGGACUGCUCGUUCUGCUUCAUGUGAGCUUCUUCUUGCCCUUGGAACAAAGUAAUAUUGCAGGUUCCACCCAAGGUAUUCAAAUCAUGAAAGACAAAAAGGAUCAUGGUAAACUCAUGUUUCAGAUUAGAGUCAUUAAAAAAAUAAAAUGAUUGACGUCUGGGCUAAAAAAUGUUACAUGCUAAAUAAAUAAACGGGGCUCAUCUUUGUUAAUUUAUUUCAAAUUAACAAGAAGUUGACAAAUAAGUGAUUCUUAGAGCAUGCUUAUAAUAUAACUUCAUUGCCUUAUGAUAUUCUUAGAGGUAUGGCUUGGGGAUGACAUUCUAACUUCACUAUUAAUUUGAGCUUAGCAAAUAAUUUUAUUCAUUCGAGGAUUUCUAUUGUGUUUCUGCCUUGAGUGUAUGUCUUCUGUUGCUUGUUUACUGAAAAUCUCUAUUAAUUUAUUUGUGUUAGCAUUUCAUUUUCUUAGGUUUCAUGUCUUAGCACACAACAAUUGAGUUAUGGAAUGUUAUUUGAGGUUGCACAUAUGAUGAUAAAGUAGAUUUUAGAAAAUUAAAAUUUACAGCAAACAUGUUAAUUGUCAUUAGUUGUGGGCCAUUGCUGGAGUGAUCUGUUGCAUCGGAGAUUCCAUCUUUGGUGGGAGUUCUCGUGAUAAAGCAACAAGAAUAGGAAUUUGAAGCUGUUGGUUUUCACAUAAAUUGUCGUGAUUGUUACUCGCAUAUGUUUUUGUUGUAUGUUUGAGAGUAUAGUGUCUCUUGCUCAAAGGUAUACUCCCUUUACUCUCAGGAAACCUACCAAAGAUUUUUUAAAGGCAGUGGAUGGAAUAACUUUGAAGGAUAUUAUUCACUUUCUCAAAGGCUCAUUUCCUCCCCUCUUACAAUGGAAUCAUAUAGAGAUGGUAUUUUUUCAGAAGAAUUCUCCUUAACUGUUUUUGUAUCUUCUCUAAUAUUAAUUUUUUCAAUUCAUUUUCAGAGCUGCAAGUUCAGUUCAAAAUGAGGUUGUUUUUACAUGUGUGGAUGAAGGGUGUAAAAUUAAGUUAAAAUCACAAAUGCCCAUGUUGUAGUCAAUAAAUUGGUGAUUAUGCGCAAGCAGCAUAUGCAUAGCUCAUUAUUUUUGGGUACAUAAUCGUUGAAUUGAGCGAGUUUUCACAUGUAUGUAUGUAUUGAUGUUGGGCUAAGCUCUAACUUCUGGAUUAAUUUUGGAUCACUUGAGGUCCUUGUAGGCUGGACUAGUACACAGGAAUAGUACCCCAGAAAUGCUAAGCUCUAACUUCCGGAUUAGUGGAAUGCUUUUUGGAAUUAGCUGGUUCUCCCUUCAUUGAAUUUCUUUUUUGAGAAGAAAUUAAUAGCAUUUUCGUUGAUUUUUGACAGCCUUUCUGUUUAUUAAUUAGCGUUAUUGGACAUGCAAGUGUACUAGAUUUUGUAUGAUUGCAGAGUCAAACCCAAAGAAGUUUAUGUGAUGGUUCUGGAUUUUGAAUGGAGUUCAAUUUGUUUUGAUAAAUUCUUCAACUUUAGUGCAUAUGCCCGGGCAAGCAUCCACUGAAACAUUAAUUAGCGUUGACUCUGAAUCGAUGGCUAUGAACAGCACUUGUCCUUAUUAUUCAGGUCUGCUUUUGUUACAGUUUGACAAGUGUCAUUUGGUCAUUUUAAUCGUGUUUCAAAUUAUGCAGGCUUAUGUUGAUUCAGCUCUUGAUUUGGCUUCACAUUUUAUUGCAUAUACUAUUUUUUAUCAAAUAACAUUGUGCCUAGGCAUGUAGCCUUCUUUGUCUAUGCAGAGGAAUAAAUCUUUGGUUGUAAUCCUCACUACGAGCCUCUGAUGUCUGGUGUUACAGAUAUACACAAUUAAAUCUAUUGUAAGUUUAGUUUGUGUAACUCAUUCAUCUUCAAAUAUGAUCUAAUCUUGAUUUAGAUAUUUGGUAUUUAUGUUUUGAUUCAAGUGUUGGUAAGAAAGAACAGUUGCUAAAAUUUGAAUUUCAGUAAAUUUCUUAGUAGUGAUAAGUACAUCAAAUUUUCCUCUCUGAAGCUAUUUACUUGUACUGUGAGAUGGAUUUCCUAUAUCUAAUAGAGCCUUAUAGUUGUGCCACUUCCCCCCAGGGCAUGUCUUUAGUUCUAUUUUUAUUUUCACCGUGGUUUCUUCAAUAAUUUUGAUGGACUUAUUGAUAUUGCAGUGAUAAACUAUCAGUGCAACAGCAUGGAACCUUUAAACAUGUAACAACCAAGGAGGAAGACGACUCAUUUUUGUCAUGAAUGGCAUUGAUUUCCGAGAGCUAUUGGCUAACAUAAUACUCUUGGUGACAAAGCCUUUCUCUCUACUUAAACUGACAUACUUGAUUGGGAUCAGAACUGCAUUAAUUGUCACUUAUGCUUGGACAGAGUUGAUCAGGGCUACAAUUAUAUUCCAUUUAAACAUAAUAUUGGGAACAAUAACAUGGACAUUUGGGCUUAUCUCUCUACCUGCAAGAGUUGUGAAUACCUUUCAAAGGGAGAGGCAGGCUAGUUUCCAUUCUAUAACUAUAUCAUAUUCCCUAAAUGAUAAGAUGACUGAUUUGCAUUACAGGUUUUUAUCUCAAAGUACAUGUAAGCUCUUUUUUUUAGCUCAAAGUACAUGUAAGCUCUUUUUUUAGCUCAAAGUACAUGUAAGCUCUUUUUUUAAGGGUGGGGAUGUUGGUGUUGUUAGACUUGCAAGUAAAUUUCCCUCUUUCCUUUGUGGAUUCCUCCUAUUAUUCUUAUCCAUAAGCACAACAUUUAUUUUAAUGUUGAAUAAUUUGCAAAUUAUUUUGUUUUGCAGCUAGAACAAAAGCUGCAGAAAAUGCAGAAUAAGCUAGAGAAUGUAAUAUGGGAUCAGAAGGAACUUGAAGAACGUUUCCAAAUGGUCGUUAAAGAACACAAAAUGAUGGAGUUGUUAGUCACAGAGCUUGAAGAGGAGCAUGAUAUGGCCAUUGCAAUAAUAGAAAAAUUGGAGACAAAGGUAAAAUAUUUUGUAAUCAUGUGCAUACCUUGUACUAUCUUCUUAUAUAUCUAUUUAACUAUUAAGAUGAGCUGAAUGUUGGAAGUUAUCACUUGCUUCAUGUCACCUGUGAAAAAUCUUUUAGUGUUGAGGUCACAUAUGAUAUUUCGCUGCAAGAAGGACAACUUGUUAAAUUCCUCAUAACAUUAACUGCUUAAGACCAUAUUCUGUUGUAGUUUUUUCAAAAAUAAAAAUUACAUCUAACUUAUGGACAUACACCAGGUAACUUACUCUCUUGACUCUUCAUCUUGUAUUAAGUGUACAUUCAUUUAUAGACUUAGCUUAUGGUUGAUAACAAGACCAGAAAUAGUUGCUUAUACUAUUGAAAACAUGAAACAAGUCUGGUUCUGUUACCCAAGUGAAACCUGAAAUGAUCUCAAAAGAUGUAGUCGAAAUGAGAGAAGUACUUUAUCAACGUCGAUACAUUGCUCUUCCACAAUCACUCUUCAGUGCCAUUAUGUCACUUAUAGUUGGAAUGACUAUGUGGGAAAAGCUGAAGACCCAUGCAUGCCUCUUGUUGUAGCUCUCUUUGCAGUUGUAGGCAUGUCCUUGAAGAGUGUGGUGCAGUUUUUCUCUACCAUUAAGAACAAACCUGUUUCUGAUGCAGUUGCUCUAUUAAGCUUCAAUUGGUUUAUUCCUGGAACUCUAACCUAUCCUUCUCUGCCAAGGGUAGCACAUAUGCUGGCGCCAGUGCGCCACUACUGUUACACGUUAUGGGCCAAACCAUGAGCCGGUUUGGUUUCCCCCCUUAAUUUGACAUUACUUUUUGGUUGUGUUUAAUCAUGUGCAGUGUCAUAAUCUGUAUUAUGAGUCUGGAUAUAUUUUCUUUUCUCAUUUUCUAGCCCAGACAUUUAAAAUCAGCUUUGUCCACUUUUCAGAGUUCAGUAAGAGCCUUUGUUGUUUUGUUUAGUUUUGGUCAAAUGGUUCGGUUAUAUUUUAGAAGAAAAAAUGCUAAAAAGUCAGAAAAAAAAUCCAAUAUUUUUUAACAGAUAAUGUAACGACAUGUUAGAAAGUCAGAUUUUGUGGUUACAUUAUCAUUGUUGAUCAGUGGAUGGGGUAUACUAUAGUAUUGAUUUGUCAUUUUCAGUGGAAUGUGACACCUUGAGAAAUGCAAGGUUAGGAUUAGACUAUUUGUUUUCAAGUUGACGUUGGAGUCCCAUGCAUAAUGCCCCUUCCUUGAUUGUUCUAUUAUAUUAUCUUCAUGCUGUUUUUUUAGGUGAUACAUUAAAGAAACACGUUUUUAAAUUUAUAUUUUCUUUUGUUUUAUGUUCAAUAAAUAUAAAUGUAAAGAUGAAAAGACAUGAUGUGCACAAAUCUUUUCGCAACACUACAUGCAAAGUCCAUACAGAGAAUGGAACAUAUAUUCUGUGACCUCAAUUUCCUUCUUUGAACUCUGUGACAAGGUUUGGUCUAAAGAGUCCCUUGCAUUGGGAGUUUCAUCGGAUAUUUGAAAGAGUUCUUCUGUCUGUCAUUGCAGGUAAGAAAUAUGCAAUGUAUUUACUAUAAUGACGGGAAAUAUGGUAGAUGCGGUUGGAAAGGCCCAUUAUUGUGGUUGUGCACUGCAAUUUAAAACCAUAUAAAUAUGGACAUUCUCAUUCUCACAUUCAUAUUAGAAUCAGGCUACUAAGAUUACUGAUAGAUUCCACUGUCGCAAUUGUUUGCAGAUUCUAGGGUUAUGAGUUUUCUUCCUUCAACAUUGGCUACUGCUACAAUGAUCCAUGUUAUUAAAGAGAUUGAUCCAUUUAAUGCAAUGGAAUGCAGAACUCAACUUUUGGCUUUGCUCAAAACUACUGAGUUUUGUCUUCUUUUAAUUUGAAUAGUUCUGUUACUUGCAUUUCCUGAUUUUCAAAUCUGCUAUAGAAUUGAUGAAUAAUUGAAAAGUUUAUGUGGUUAUGUUACAGGUACAAGUGAAACAAGGAUUUGAUGGUGAGUGGAAAGAUGAAUUGUAGUUUUAUCUCUGUUAUGUUUUCAGUGGAACUUCUAUUCAUCUUUCACUUGAUAUUUCUCAAUAUGCACAGUGACGGGUUUUCCUUUGUUUCUUUACAGAUGAACAAAGAUGGGUAAAAUGUCUAUACUCUAUAGUGACAGUUGACAGUAACUGGAAUGAGCCUCCAUUAUUUUGCAGAAAGAUAUAAUGACAACAUUGUUCAUUCUUCAUUUCUGUCCUCAAAUCUCACCCAUUAUAUAUACUCCAUAGUUUUCCCUUACUUUUCUUGGUGGCAGAAAUCUCAUGGUGAGCCUCCCAAUGAACUUAUUAUAUAUAUAUAUAUAUAUAUGUAUUUUAUUUUAUUUUAUAUGUUCAUAUUCAACACUAUAUAUUGCAUAUAUAAAAACUCAAUUGAAUAACAAUUGAAGAUUUAUAAAAAUUUGGACUUUGCAUGUAGUGGUUUUGGUACCCUUGUAAGUUAAGAAAUGUAUGGAUUUUGGUGUUAUUGUGUGUAGGUAAAGUGUUCGUGUGCUGGCUUGGGACGGAGCCAUUUUUAUAUAACCUCUCACAGACAAUGACACUCGUGAUAUUAAGAGACCAGAAAUAAGUUUCUUCAUAUUUAUCACUAUACUUAAUGUUUUGUACUCUUUUUUAAUACAUCUAUUCUCUUGUUGUUCAGCAAUACCCACUUGAUAAUGUUAGGCAUUUCUCCGAUGAAGAAUAGAGAUUGACCACUGACAAUUACAAUAUGAGCAAUAAGAUUGGGCGAGGAGGUUUUGGAACUGUUAUCCGGGUACACCUUACAGUUCUUGCAUAAGUUGUAAACUUUUGGGAUUAAUAUAUAUGUUAGCCAGUUGAACUUACCAAAUGAUUUGUUAGAGGAGUUUAUGAUAAUAGACCGACUGAUAUUUGAUUUUUAUUUUUGUUUCUAUCUUUCUCUGAUUCUGAGUUAAGAUUGUAUUCAGGGUUUAGGGAAUGUUUUUUCUGAUUUAGGUGAAUGCUUCAAUUUUAUAAAACUUUAGCACUAACAAUGUAAAUCCUUCCAUCCCUUUGUAUGAGAUAAAUUCUAAAAUGAAAAUUUGUUCGCCUCCUGUUUAUACCCCCUCCCCACACCAAGUCAUAUUCCUUUGGGACAACAUAGGGAAAAAAUGAAUUCGGAUAUUCUUAAAGUGUAUUGUGCCAAAUCAUCUAAAAGCUUAAACAGUUAGUUGAAGGGACAUAAAAGACUAUCAUAUCUCUAAUGAAGGCAUUGUGUGGUCUUAAGCUGAGUUGUGCUGAUAUUUAUUGUUAACAAAUCACUGAACACUUAUGUUACACAUUUGCUAGGGAACCUUAAAAAAUCGGAGACAGGUAGUAGUGAAGACCCUUUCGGUUGGGUCAGGGCCGGCAGUUCGUGAAUUUUUGACAGAAAUUAAUACUAUAUCACAUGUUAAGCAUCCAAACCUUGUUGAAUUGAUCGGUUGCUUUGGUGUGAAUUAUGAAGUUGGAAAUUAAGAUCUGCAGAUCAGAGGAUGAAAUAUAUAUCUUCUUUUUUGUUCAUCUUUUUCUGUAGGCACAUGGAUUUCUAUCAUCAGACUUAACUGGAGAAAAAGAGUUGGUAUCUGCAUGGGUAUCGCCAAGGGUCUUGCAUUUCUUCACGAAGAACUUGUGCCGCAUAUUAUGCACAGAGACAUCAAAGCUAGCAAUAUACUGCUUGACAGAGACUUCAAUCCAAAAAUAGGAGAUUUUGGGUUGGCAAAAUUAUUUCCAGAUAACAUCACUCACAUUAGCACAAGAAUUGCUGGAACUAAGUAUGUUAUAUUUCAGAUUCUUAAUAAUUUAUUUAUUUUUUCAUUUUGCUAUAGCCAAGGAAGAUUUGAAGUCAUAAUAUUUAAAUAGCUGUUAUCAGUCUUUAUUAGCCAACCCCACCUAGUAGGACUAAGGCUUCAUUGUUGUUGUGAUAUCAGUUUUCUAGGAAAAUAUUAAUUAGUAAUAGUAUUACCGAGAAUGUUGCUUCCCUUUUGACCUGAAGGUCACAAGUUCAAAUAUGGAAACCUCUUUGAUUGUGAGGGUAAGAUCGCAUGCUUCUACCUUCCCCAAAUCUUACUAGUUGGAAGACCCAUGCACUAAACCUCCCCUUUAGUGUGAUAUUGUUGAGAGUAGGAUUAUAGGAUCUUAUCAUAUUUAGUGAUCAUAUUCAUUAUUUCGGUAUGUAUGCCAGUAGAACUAGGAGAGAAGAUAGCAGUACAAGGACGUUUGUAUCCAAUUGGUCAUUCAUAUUCUUGUUUUAAAUACACAGUAAUAUCUUUUGAUUUGACUUUUAGGGGUUGUUUGCGAGUUGGAUUUUGGAGGGUAAAGAAUGGAAAGGAAGGCUUAGAAGCCGUGAAAUACACUUGUCAUAUAGCUCUGAAGCCUUCCUUUUCCUUCUUUUGCCCUCCAAAAUUCAACUCACAAAUGAACCCUUAAGAACUCUUUAGGCAUGUCCUCGGUUUAUACCCAAAGAAUGUUUUUUAAUUUUUAUGGUUACUUUUAAUUUGUUCAAAAAAGAGAAAUCGGAAGCAGGUAGUUUCAAUGGAUUAGGGUUAUAUUCUCAUUUAUUUGGUUGGUCCAUCCAUAAUUGUGCUAUGGGACUGAUUAACAUUUAACCCUGCAUUGGCAUCAAAUCUGACAGUGAUUACUUGCACCAGAGUAUGCGAUGGGUGGGCAGUUAACCAGGAAAGCUGAUGUAUAUAGCUUUGGCUUUCUUAUUCUUAAAGUAGUUAGUGGCAAAAGCAGUGCACGGGCAAAUUGGGGAAGGUCACAGAAAUUCCUCUUGGAAUGGGUUGUAACUUCCAGUUUCCCAUAUUUAUUUGUUAUUACUUUGCAAAAUCAAACAUUUUAUGUUUUCUAACUCCCUAAAUAAUACUGUUUAACCUAUAAAAUCUUAUCAUUAUAUAUAGGAUUUAAUUAUAAUAAUACACUGUUAAAGGUUUUUCACACUAUCAAUCAAUUGAGUAUUGAAUGCAUGACUCUUAUUAUAACUACAUUAAAAAUCACUUAAAAAGUGAUGUGAUUGUUCUGAAUGUUAUAUUUAAUGUGGGAUUUGACUUAUCUAAAGUUGGAUUGUCUCUGUUGUGAACAAAAUUGUAUUCAUACUCACGUUGGAGGAGGAUUCAAACCCAUUAGCAUGAUUCAAGAUGUGCGUGUUGUUCUAAUGAUGGUCAUUUUUGCAAUAACAGGCUUGGCAACUUCAUGAAGAAGGGAAACUAUUGGAGGAGGAAGUAAUUAGGUAAAUGAAGGUAGCUUUCUUCUGCACACAAGCAGCAGCAAGCAGAAGAACACUUAUGUUAUCAAAGAAAAGCCGACUCAAUGAGAAGCAACUUACAGCUCCAGGCUUUUUCCUUGAUUCAGGAGAAUCUUCAAGAAAUAAGUCAUCCUAUGAUGGGUCUUUAACCUAUCAAUUUAGCUCUACCCAUGUCAGUAUAACUCAGGUAACCCUAAGGUUUUGCCAAACUAGGUAACCUUUGUUUUGAAUUGCAUAGUUGAAGGGGAAAAAUGGAGAGAUGAUAUUUUGUUUUUAUUUUAUAGUGUUUUUACAUUUUUUAAUUUAUUUUUUACUGUAUUUAUGUUCUUUAGUGUGCAAUAUAAUGUGGCAUGUAAGCUUUUAGCUUUCUAGUUCCAGGGGCAUGCUGAAAUCUGAUGCCAAUGUUUAUUUGAUUGUACCUUAAAAUUAUUUUUGCUUCUUAUAGAAACAAACUGAAAAUAUUUCCAAUAUAAAUCUGUUUGAUAAGGUGUCAUAGUCAGUUAGUAGCAGAAUACAAAAUGUGUGUAAUGAUCCAGGAAAUUGUCUAGCGGUGACGUCUGUUCACGUGUUAAAGAUAACAUGUUAUUAUUAAUUGAUUCUGUUUAAAAUUUGAUCUGAAACUUUGCAUACAAAUCGUGGAGGAAAAAUGUCUCACCUUUAGGAAUGUGAAAAUUUAGUUUCUAUAAGGUAUAAAUUUCUCAAAAUAUUUACUUUCUUGGUAUGUCUCACGCUUCAUUAAAAAAGUGCCUUGAGAAUUGAGAUCCGUAAGUCAUAGUACAGAUAGCUUUGGUGUUACUUAAUACCUUCUGAACCUAUAAUAGGGAACAGCUCAAUGUUGGGAGUGGAGUAGCUUGCUGCACUGAGAACCGUGAACACACUGAACUGGUGAUGGAAGUGAAGCAGUUAUAGUAAUGAGUAAUAUAUCAAGGGAGAAUGCUUCAUGUGUCAGGGAAUAUGGUGAUAAAAUAGAGGUUUCUGAACAACUCCCUUGAAUUAUGUUUCCGUUCUGUUUUGAUUUUACAUAUCUGCUUAUUAAUCGGAUAAUAUCAAUGUUUAAUAUUAGGUUUUGUAUUUCACGGACUUCUCACCUUGUAUGAUCUCCCGAACAUGUAUGAAAAAGCGCUGACUGGAAAAGAUAUGGUCUGAAUUUUGGGGCCAUAAUCCAGCAAUAUUUUCAUACUUUCCUUAAGAUAUAUACCCUAAUUUUCUUCAUAGAUCCAGUAUAGAAUUCUGCAUUUCACAUAAAUACAUGUUAGACAAAUUAUAUACAUAUUCCCAACAUGAAUAUAAGUAUGAUUGUAUGAACAUCUCCGCAUUAUGUAAAUAUGGUAAUGUACAUCUAUUAAAAUUUCUUAUUUUUAUGUGAUAUACUUCCUUGACAUGUUGGUACUAGUUUUAUGGGGAUACCAGCACUAAGGAGAAUGACUCAACUUGAGAGAAAUCAGGGAGAAGAAAUUUCUCUGGACGACUUGAGGGAGAAGAAUUAAGGGCUCUUGGUAAGUUCUCGUGCCAUUCAGGUAAAUUCCUGACCUGCAUUCUCUCACUCUAAUUUGUGUAACAUGAUUAUUUUGUCCCUCCCAAUAUGAUUCUCGUUCUUUUUAAGGUUCAUUUAUGAUACAUAAUACACAUGGAGAUUAUAUUAGGCGGGAAUACUUGGAUAUUGUAGGUGAGAGAUUAGAUUUGAUUAGUGUCUCUUAUUUGGAUGGUUAAGAUUGAAAUAUAAAUAAACUUUUACAUAUGUUGAAAUGAUUAGAAGAUAAAUGAUUGCUUUGUUAUGGUGCAUGAGUCUAACAUCUUAAGAAAAACAGUUGGAGCGUUAACCUUUAAUAGAAUUAGGGUUGUGGCUACUCUUAUUCAUUAAUUAAGCUAACAAAUUAUACAUCAUGUGAUAUAAUUAUCACAAAAGUUGUCAAACAGAGAUAUUGUAAUGUGUAGGGAGGAGAUGCUGGGGGACGGACUGGAACCAAAUAGAAAGAAUGUGCUUGAGGGGAACAUCUUUGGCUUGUGCCAUAAAAGAUUGAGCCUAGUGAGAUAACAAUAUCUGAAACGACAGGGAAAAGAAAAUAACAUGCUAUAGAUUUUCAAUCCAUAAAAUCGAAUAUGAGAUGGUAACUAAUGACCUAAAUAAUUGAGUUGAACCUAAUUUCACUCAAUUUAGUAGUUAUUAACUAUUUUCACUCAAUUUAGUAGUUAAUAAUUGUUUUAGUUUUAUUCAAAUAUAUUUGUUUAUAAAUAUAUAUUAUUAAUACUAGCGGGUUGACAGGCAUUCUCGUGUCUGUCAACCCGCUUUCCUAUUGUUUAUAAUGUAUAAUUUAUAUGCUAUAAAUAUCAAAUAUAAUAAUUUAUGUUAGAUAUUAUAAUUUGGAGUUGAACAUGUUUGAUUGAGGUAAUUAUUCAAUUCUAUUAUUUAAAAAUUGAAUAUUCAAAUAAUUGAAUCACUUACAAUUAUUUUUAUAGGUCAUUUUCCUUUGUGAAAUUAUACAUUUACCUUAGAUAUCUAUAUUCAAUCAAUACAAUAAUCUGACUUAAAUGAACCAGUAGUGGAAUUAAUGAAUUAUAUAGUUAUAUUUGUACCUGAGUGGUUAUACCAGAUAUGUAGUUUAUUGAAUGUGUUUAAUAGAAGUAUUAAUCUCUAUUAAACAAUGAUAUUAUUGAAUCUGUUUUAUAAUUUAGUAUAGAAUUAUGUUUUUUUACGGUCCUAAUCAAUCAAGUAUUGUAUAGAUAAAUUAAAAUAUAUCAAUUAAAAAUAAACAAAAACAAAUUAAAAGUUUCAAUCUCAUUUCACUUUGAAAAAGCAUGGUAUUUUGAAACAAAAUUAGUUGAUUAAUCAAUUUCUUCUUUACCCUAUAUCAAUUUGUAAAAUAAGCAUGGUAUUUUGAGUCUAUAUGACCUUAAACACAUUUCUAAUAUGGCCUCCUCUUGUUUUUGAAUGAUUGCAAUCGAGGUGUGAACUCUUUAUCCAUAAUGUAACAUUUGGAUGGUAUUUUGAGUUUUUAUGGAACUUCAAUGCAAUUGCAUUAUGAAUUAGAGGUGAUGUCUCUAAAUGCUUCUAAAAUAUAAAUUCUUUAUCCAUAGUGGAAAUGAUUAAAGGUUUACAAACAAAACCAUAUAGCAUUAUGGCGUCAUUCAAUUCAUGUAGUCGGCCCCACCUAGUAGGAUAAAGGCUUGAUAUUGUUGCAUGUAUAUAUAUAUAUAUAUAUAUAUAUAUAUAUAUAUUUAUUGUAGUUUGCUAUUGAUUUUGCAUAAUAAGGUUGGAUUAUAAAUAUUGCAAUUGCAUUAUGAAUUAGAGGUGAUGUCUCUAAAUGCUUCUAAACCAUAGGGGAAAUGAUUAAAGAUUUACAAACAAAUUAUAGCGUCGUUCGAUUCAUGUAGCCAGCCCCACCUAGUAGGAUAAAGGUUUAAUGUUGUUGUAUGAGUGUGUAUAUAUAUAUAUAUAUUGUAGUUUGCUAUUGAUUUUGCAUAAUAAGGUUGGAUUUGUUUUUGAGGUUUAAUGUUUUUCCUAUUGUUUGCUUAUCUUCUCUGCUUUGUGAAGAAAUUACUAGAAGUGGUGUAGUGUUUUGAAAGCUUGUUUUUGUUUUUUGCCACUUUAAACUUUUUGAUAGCAUUUAUGCUAGUUUUUAAUUGGAUAGAAUAUUGUGGAGUUAACCUGUUUUGAUGCAAUCUUUUAUAGAUUUAGAUUUUGGUUGACAAUGUAGUCCUUUAUGUACUGAUUUUUAGCCUAAACGUAUUGGAUAGAAUGCAAAUGUCUGUCUACGGUACUUCUUUUUAGCCUAAACGAUUGGAUUUUGUAUGAUCAGAGUCAAAACCAAAGAGGUCUGUCAGGGAUACUUUUGCUUAUGUUAUCAUUUUUCCAAUAUCUUUGUUGAAUAAUAAUGUAUGCACCAAAUUUGUAGUUCCAUCAAGUUUAACGUAUAUGGAAUAAUAUUUCUGGGUGCCUCAAUGUUAUGAUACAUGUUAUGAUACAGAGAGCCAAAAAUCAAAUAGAAAGAGGUUUAUAUAGUGUUGAACCAGUUUAAUUGGUUAAAUCACUUAGUCGACUUCCCUCUCUGGUUCAAGAAAGGAUCAAAGUAAAGAUCUUACUUCCAAGCAAUCUUUGGACUUUCCUUUUAUUAAAAAUAUCUCACCAUUUGUUGUCAUUCUUCAUGGAAUCUGAUUGGUGAAUUUAUGUUUUUUUAGCUGAAUUAUGAACGACAUAUAUAUUUUUUACUUAAAAUAUACAUAUGAAUUCCAAAUUAAUAGUAAAUGAUGUUAAGACAUUGUAUGUUUCAUGGACCAUGGUCGAUUCGUUAUAUAGCUCGACAAAUUUAUGUUAAACUUGAGCUGAAAAUUGAAUUUGUUCAAUAAACGAAUUAAACUUGAAUUGAAAAUAACGUGUAAACUUGAACGAAUUUGUUCAAUAAACGAAUUAAACUUGAACUGAACUCGAGCUAAGAAAAUAACGUGUAUCAAACUCGAGUUGAGUUUUGAGUUGAAUUCUGGUUUGAUUUGGUUCGGCUCGUUUCUAACGAAAAAACGUGUAUCAAACUCGAGCCAAUUGAUUCUAACGAAAUAUUUGUUUUUGGUUUAUUUUAAUGUGAGUAAAAUGGUCAAUCUAGUCACCUAGUUUAAAGUGGUAAAGAAACACAUUAACUAAUUGAGUGGUUUUAUGACAUGUUGAAGUUGUUUUCUUCCUUUUUUUUUUUUUAUAGUUGGAUUGUUAGGGCCUACUUUAAUUCAAAUAAAAAUGAUUUUUUUUAUUAUUUAGAACACAUACUAAUUUUUAUUUUGCACUCAACUUAUUCCGUGUACUUCAAAAUUUGACAUAAGAACUUGGUAUAGUUAAAAAAAAUUGUAAAUUAUGGGUCGCUUACAUCGACUACACAUGAUGUACAAAAUUGAGGAUUGGCCUCUUAUGUGUAGAAGGUUUAUGAUAAGUAUCUCCAUGAUAUUCUUAUUUUUUUUAAUAUUAACAUUAUAACUUGGGUAUUAUUUUCUUUUAAUUUUUAGAAAUUUUUUUGUAGAAAAUAUUAAAUAGGACAUUUGUAAUUAUUUUAGUGGCUAGAGAAGCUAACUUAUCUCUUAGUAUUAAUAUGAUAUAUUUAUUCUUUCCCAUGAAUUAUUUGUAGAAGUAACCAAGCAAGCAUGAGUGUAACAUGAGUGUAACAGGAUGAUCUCAACUUUAAAGUAAUGAGUGUUUGGUUAUGUGUUGUAGGAGGUAACAUAUUUAUUUGGUGAUGUACAUCACAAAAUUUUGAAUAGUGGUAUUUUGCUAAUUAUGUCUCCUACUUUAAAUUUUAUUGAGUAUGGACCAUUUAUGAUGUCUUUAAGAUUUAGCAAACAUCUUGAAUAUUUUUUUAUAAUUGGUGCAUACAUUUUGUGGUAAAACUUGAAUUCUUGCUUAAGAAUAAGCAAACAUGUUGAAGCAUAUAAUCAUUCGAUAUAAAUUAGUAAUUUAAAUACAUAAUAUAGGAAAUUAGAAAUAAGUGUCGCAAAGGGAAGUUACUUUAUCAACAGGAGUAGGUUCAAGUGGUAUAUGCUUGAUUUUCUUUAAUUAAGGUUGAGUUCAAAUCUUAUAAAUUAAAAAAUAUUCAUUAAAAGAGUUAUAUUUACAUAUUUGUGGAUGUUUCUGUGAGGAUAUCUAUGAGAAACAAAAAAAAAAUGUAAGCUACUUUGGCACAGUUUGAAGAGGGGGCAAAUUGCAUACAACCCCUAUGAUUAGCUGUUUUCUUGAUUUUUGGUAUAAGAUAUUUUUGAUAAAUUCUACAUUUUCAAUUAAUCAAUCAAAUAUUUUUAUUUAACGAAAAAUAUAAUAUCUAUAUAUUAUCAACUAUUCAUUUAAGUUACUUUUUAAGAGUAAUCAAUACAAAUGUUGAAAGAUUAAACACAAAUGUUGAAAGAUGUAAUGAUAAUUUAUAAAACUUAUAUAUUAUUAGUUUUUUUCUCUUAACUAAAUCGGGACUGAAUCAAAAGUAUGAAUAAACAUAUAUGAAAAUCGGUAAUCUCACCCAAAGAUUAUAUUGAUGAAGUUUUAUGAAACUGGAAUUGAUGAUUGAAAUGUAUGGAGAAUUUAAACAAAUGCACUAUUGAAAUGACAUAAUUAAGAGUUUUAUACAUUAUCACUCAAUCAUAUUAAUUAUUAUUGAUUUUUAAAAUAUUAAUAAUAAAUAAUAUAAUAAUUAUGUAUAAAUCAUUAUGUUAAGUAUACAUAUAUUAAACACCUUUACAGUAACAAUAAUGAAUGAGUGUCAUUAGUUCAGAAAUGGGGGAAUGAGUAAUGACUGAUAACUGAAAAUAAAUUUUAAUCUAAAAAUCCUGAAUUUUUAUUAAAAUGUGAUUUUGAAAUUAAGAACAUGGGCCCCACUUCCCCUUGAGCUCAACAAUUGAAACGGACCUGGACCCACUCAAUUGAAUGGCAUUUAUUCAAGUACAAAAGUGAGACUUCUUUCUCUCUCACUUCAACAACUCUAUUUCUACUUUCUUCUUCUACUGUUAAAUGCACUAUUACAAUUGUUCUCCUCCUUUUUUCACGCUUACACUUUCAUUUUACCAAACAACAAUGUUAUUCUAGCUUCUCUUUACUAAGGUAUGUUUCUCUUUCUACUCUCUACUCUAUUUCUUCAUCAAAUUUAAUCUUCAAUUAAAUUCUCUCUCUGCUUUGUUUAAUCAUCAAAUAUUCAUCCAUAAAGGAAGUGAUUUUGUUCUUUUAUUCAGCUGCAAAAAAUAUAAAUUUGUUGUUUUUUCGUUAUUUUUUAAAAAUUAAAACUUUGGUUUUAUUGGAUCUUCCUCAUUUUAAUAAUAUUUAUAACUCCUGACUUAGAACUAAUUGAGAGUUCUUUUAUUUUUUAUUUUCACAAGAAUCAAUGUUAUAAUUUAAAUUUGAAAUUAUACAUUAUAGAUAAUAAUUUUAAUUUUAUUGAAAUAUUUUAUAUAUAUAUAUUAUUACUAAGUUGAUUAUUAAAAGUUGGUAAUUGAAAGAAGUGGAAAUUAAAUUGAGUAAAAGUGCUAUAAGGAAUGCAAAAAAUAAAAUAUGUAUUAACAAGGCCCAUUGAGGCCCAUUAAUUAGAUUUUAUUCACAGUGCCGAUGUUUAAACUGCUAUAUAAAGACAAGUUCAAUGGAUGUUUUUGCAUAAGCUCUUUCAGAAACAUGCAAGUGUGAGAAAGAGAGAACGUGUGUGUGUGUGUGAGAGAGAGAACGUGUGUGUGUGAGAGAGAGAGUACGAGAAAGAGAGAUCGCGAGAGAGAGAGAACGCGAGAGAUAGAAAGUGAGACAGAAAGAGAUGUAUAUGUGGAAUCACUCCACAGGAAGUUGAGAUCAUAAUAAUAAACAUUCUAGGCAUAUUUGUUUGCAUUGCAAGAGAGGUAUGAAAUUAAACAUGAAUAAAAGAGAAUGAUGCAUACUGUUUAGUGUUGGACAUGCAUGCGAGAGAGGGUGACAGAAUCAAUUUCCAAUCUUCUUCAUAGAUUACUAUAACUCAUGAUAAUGUGAGUUUGUUGAAUUUCAGCUCAUAAUAUGCGUUUUUCUUGAACUUCAACUCAUAAUAAUGUGAUUUUCUUGAACUUCACUGAAUAAUAUUGCGAUUUUCUUGAACUUCAGCGGAUAAUUAUGUGAUUUUCUUGAAAUUCAGCUGAUAAUUAUGUGAUUUUCUUGAAAUUCAGUUGAUAAUAUUGUGAUUUUCUUGAACUAGCUGAUAAUGAUGUCGUUUUCUUGAACUCCAGCUGUGGUUUUCUUGAACCUGAACUGAUAAUAUUGCGAUUUUCUUAAACCUCAACCGAUAAUGAUGUGAUUUUCUUGAACUUCUGGUGACAUGAUGUGAUUUUCUUGAAAUUCAGCUGAUAAUGAUGUGAUUUUCUUGAACUUCAGCUGAUAAUGAUGUGAUUUUCUUGAACUUCAGCUGAUAAUAUUGCGAUUGUCUUAAACCUUAACCAUCCUAUAAUAUAGCUGCUGAGUGCUGAAUGUACUGGUAUCAUUGUUACUUCAUUUACUUGUACUUGUGCACUAAUUUCAGGUAGUUGUACAUCCACAUUGGUGAUUAUGGACAAAGACCAGGUAACCUUACUCUCUUGACUCUUCAUCUUGUAUUGUAUGUUUGAGAGUGUAGUGUCUCCUGGUCAAAGGUAUCAAGAAACUUACCUAAGACAUAUAUGAAGGCAGUGGAUGGAAUAAUUAAUAGUAUUUUCAUUGAUUUUUGACAGCCUUUCUGUUUAUUAUUGUGUUAUUGGACAUGGAAGUGUCUGUCUGCGGUACUGCCUUUUAGAUAAAAACUUGCUGGGUUUUGUAUGAUUGCAGAGUCAAAACCAAAGAGGUUUGUGUAUUUCAAAAUUCAUUCAUCCAUUCUUCUGUUGGUUCAAUCUAGCAAUAUGUGACUUUGCUAAUCCAUGUUCUGAACAUACCUUUCCUUUGAUUCUUCUCAAUGUGGGGGUUCAUCUCCUGGUAUUCAAGUCUUUGUUCCACCUCUGACUAAUUCUGAUGCGAAGAUUGUGUCCUUGAGGAUAUUUCAUAUCCUUCAGUGCCAAAGCACACCUUUCAGGCUUUUCAGGUUCUUCGUGCAUAUUGGUGAUGUUUUAUGUCAAGAAACCUGUUUCUCUUUUCUCUCAGUUCCCUAUCUACUGCAUAAAAUUCUAAAAUCUUGAUGCAAUUUCUUAAUCGGUGAUGGUAAUGGUAUGUUUCUUGAAAUUAUUCCAUGUUUCUCUUCAUCCAUCACGUUCAUCUUCUUUCUAUUUAAUACUCCAUUUUGUUGAUAAAUGAUAAUAGUCCAUUUUGAACAGAUGUUUACAUCGAAGAAAGAAGAUGCCAAAAUAGAAAAAGUAAUUCGACUUCCUGCAAAUCGAAGAUGCAUCAACUGCAAUGUCUUGGUAAUAUUUUCUGUAUUCAUGAACCUCAACUUACCCUAGAAUUUGUGAAAUAUAUAUAAUUUUGUUUAAAUUGAAUCAGGGACUACAAUAUGUGUGUACAACUUUCAACACCUUUGUCUGCAUAAAUUGCAGUGGAAUACAGUAUGCAUUACAAAUCUCAACUUCUUCUAUAUAUGUUUUAUAUGCAUUACAAAGUGACAUCGUUUUACUACAAGGUUUUAGCAAUAGGUUCCUCUUUUCUUUUGUUUUUGUCAAUUUGUGUCACUAAUCGUAAUUGAUGAUAGAAACUGGAUCAUGACGGGUAGAAUUAUGUCGCUGAUGAAAUUUUUAGCACAAAGUACAUGUAAGCUCUUUUUUUAAAGGUGGGGAUGUUGGUGCUGUUAGACUUGCAAGUAAAUUUCCCUCUAUCCUUUGUGGAUUCCUCCUAUUAUUCUUAUCCAUAAGCACAACAUUUAUUUUAAUGCAGAAUAAUGAGCAAAUUAUUUUGUUUUGCAGCUAGAAUAAAAACUGCAGAAAAUGCAGAAUAAGCUAGAGAGUCUAAUAUGGGAUCAGAAGGAACUUCAAGAACGUUUCCAAAUGGUUGUUAAAGAACACAAAAUGAUGGAGUUGCUACUAACGGAGCUUGAAGAGGAGCAUGAUAUGGCCAUUGCAAAAAUUGAAAAAUUACAGACAAAGGUAAAUUAUUUUGUAUUCGUGUGCAUACCUUGUACUAUCUUCUUAUAUAUCUAUUGAACUAUUAACAUGAUCUGAAUGUUGGAAGUUAUCACUUGCUUCAUGCCACCUGUGAAAAGUCUUCUAGUGUUGAGGUCACGUAUGAUAUUUUGCUGCAAGAAGGACGGCUUGUUAAAUUCCCUACUUCAUUUACUUGUACUUGUGCACUAAUUUCAGGUAGUUGUACAUCCACAUUGGUGAUUAUGGACAAAGACCAGGUAACCUUACUCUCUUGACUCUUCAUCUUGUAUUAAGUUUACAUUAAUUUAUAGACUAGCUUCUGGUUGACAUUAUAGGUUGCCAAACUGAUAAACAAUGAACAAUAUGUUUAGUAGAAAUUAUAAUCAGAACUACUGUCUUUUUCUUGCCAGAAAUUGAAGUCAGUAUUCACAAGUAUUAUUCGUCUGGUGGACUUGGGGAAUUAAUAAGGAGAAAUCCAAGAUCAACCAAUCUCUUCCAAAAGCAAUAUGAUUUAUUAGUAGAAACUGUUACCCAUAUUUCUGUCAUUUUUCUGAAGUUGGCAUCAGCUCCAUGGGAUUGAAAACUUGUCCUGAAACUUGCUGAAGAUGCCAUGCGUUCAAGAUAUGACCAAAGAUUAUGAAAAAUAGAUGUUGGGUAACAUUUUCUUGAAUAUGCUAAAAUUAUUUGUUUUUGUUUGUUUCCUACCGAUUCUGGUUACCUUUACUAUCAUUGUUUUGCCCAGUUUUCUGCUUGCUUUGUCAGGUAGAAUUUAAGUUUCUGUAAUUGCUUCCAUGUACAGGAAGGUUUUCUUGAUAUUGUGCUUUUUUUCUUAGCACACAAGAAUUGAGUUAUGGAAUGUGAUGGUAAUGGUAUGUUUCUUGAAAUUAUUCCAUGUUUCUCUUCAUCCAUCACGUUCAUCUUCUUUCUAUUUAAUACUCCAUUUUGUUGAUAAAUGAUAAUAGUCCAUUUUGAACAGAUGUUUACAUCGAAGAAAGAAGAUGCCAAAAUCGAAAAAGUAAUUCGACUUCCUGCAAAUUGAAGAUGCAUCAACUGCAAUGUCUUGGUAACAUUUUCUGUAUUCAUGAACCUCAACUUACCCUAGAAUUUGUGAAAUAUAGAUAAUUUUGUUUAAAUUGAAUCAGGGACUACAAUAUGUGUGUACAACUUUCAACACCUUUGUCUGCAUAAAUUGCAGUGGAAUACAGUAUGCAUUACAAAUCUCAACUUCUUCUAUAUAUGUUUUAUAUGCAUUACAAAGUGACAUCGUUUUACUACAAGGUUUUAGCAAUAGGUUCCUCUUUUCUUUUGUUUUUGUCAAUUUGUGUCACUAAUCGUAAUUGAUGAUAGUUACAUCAUCACGUGUUUUUCCUUCUAAUUUCUCUCAAUUUUUUAUCUCAUCCAAGAAACCUGUCUCUCUUUUCUCUCAGUUCUCUAUCUACUGCAUGAAAUCCUAAAAUCAUGAUGCAAUUUCUUACUCUGUGAUGGUAAAGAAACAUAUUAUGCCAUGUUGCUUAAGCUAAUAAUGAAACAUGAAAUAGAGAAUGAAAGAGAGAGGUUUUUGUAGUGUUUCCAAUCCUUUUCUCUCUCAAUUUUCAUUAUUCUGCAUGAAUUCCUAAAAUUCUCGAGGCAAAUUCUCAUUAUCUGAUAAUGACGUGAUAUUCUUGAAUUUCAGCUGAUAACGAAAUGCGAGAAAGAGAUAGAUUUUGAAUUAUUCAUGCCUUACAGAUAAGCAAUGCUGCUGAGAUCUGUUCAUAAGAGUUAUGAUGUAUAAAUUUUAAUUAGCAAUACUUUUUAACUACAAUUUUCUUCAUAUUUAUCGUGAUACUUAAUGUCUUGUACUCUUUUUUAACACAUCUAUUCUCUUGUUGUUCAGGAUACCCACUUGAUAAUGUUAGGCAUUUGAUAAAGGAUUGAGAUUGGCCACUGACAAUUACAAUAUGAGCAAUAAGAUUGGGCGAGAAGGUUUUGGAACUGUUUUCCGGGUACACCUCACAGUUCUUGUAUAAGUUGUAAACUUUUGGGAUUAAUAUGUAUGUUAGCCAGUUGAACUUGCCAAAAUGAUUCUUUAGAGGAGUUUAUGAUAGUAGACCGACUAAUAUUUGUUACUUUUAUUUUUCUUCCUAUCUUUCUGUGAUUCUGAGUUAAGAUUGUUCAGAGUUUUGGGUGAUGUUUUUCUGAUUUAGGUGCAGGGAAUGCUUCAAUUGUAUGAGAUAAAUUCUAAAAUGAAAAUUUGUUCAUCUCCACUUUAUACCCCCUCCCCACACCAGGUCAUAUUCCUUUGGGACAACAUAAAAGUUGGUGGGCUAUAAAAGUUGAAAUGACAAUGCUAGGCAAAGCAGGGACACCCACCCCACUUGUUACACCAACUUUUCUAUUCUUCUUUUGCAUAUCACUAACUUCUUUAGCAUAAAGUUGAGCAAAAAUUAAAAAAAGUGAUCCCUUUGAUUUCUCUGCUAUGUUAAUAUCUUUUGCAACUAAAGACAAUAUCAUUGGAUGAUAAUAUUGCGAUUUUCUUGAACUUCAGCUGAUAAUGAUGUGGUUUUCUUGAACCUGAACAGAUAAUAUUGCGAUUUUCUUAAACCUCAACUGAUAAUGAUGUGAUUUUCUUGAACUUCUGGUGGCAUGAUGUGAUUUUCUUGAACUUCUGUUGAUAAUGAUGUGAUUUUCUUGAACUUCAGCUGAUAAUAUUGCAAUUUUCUUAAACCUCAACUGAUAGGAUGAGUAUUGCAUGCAAGAUGAAUGGUUGUGAGGAUGAAUCUUGAUGCUAUGUUAGACUCUAGUUGCUUAUAAUUUUGAAUUCAGAUGGACCCUGAUUUUAAAAAUUACCUGAAGUGCAAUUACAAUUUAAAUCCUCAAUUCAUAGUGUAAAAUUGGGAUAUACUUGAGUCAUUGGUGGCCUUCGAUGCAAUUGGAGUUUGAAUUCUUGGUUCAUAAUAUGAAUUGGGAUGCUGUGCUUGGGAGAUCAACCAUCCUAUAAUAUAGCUGCUGAGUGCUGAAUGUACCGGUAUCAUUGUUACUUGUACUUGUGCGCUAAUUUCAGGUAGUUGUACAUCACAUUGGUGAAAUUUCUGGAAGUCCAUGGACAUACAUGUCCUAUGCUUUUAUGAUUGUCCAAAGACUGCUUUGAUGUAUGAUAUGCUAUGAUACUCAAGAACUUUUUGGAGACCCUUUUGGAGAAGUCGCCAAGACCAUGUUGGAAUAUGUAUUAUUCCAGCAAAAUGUGGUUAUAUUUUUUGUUUUUUUCCUGUAAUUUUUUUCUGGCUUUAUAAGCUAUGACUGUAUUUUUGUCUUGUGGAUUCUUUUGAUAUUUUCUAUCAAUUUCAGUAAAAAUUGCAUGGUAAUAUUUCUUCAGUAACAUUCCACUGACAUGCUAUGAUGCUCAGGACUGUUCCUUAUUUAAGAAUUAUUUUGUCAAGAGAACCAUUUUUAUGUGCACUGAUAUUACUAGCAUGUGAAAAUUUGCAAUAUUUUACUAAUUGCCAUUUGUAAUCCCAAAACAGGCAAAGGGCAUGUUAAAAUUUCCAACGAUCACAAUAUGGAACUGCAUCUUUUCAUAUAAGGGUUGGUGGACCUGUGAUGUUUGGAAAGUCUUCAUCUUUACGUUUAAUUUUGUUAGACAAUGGCAUGUUCAAGGAGAAACACCAACAGUUUCUCUCUACUCUCAAAACAGAGUCACACCCUUAUGUGUUCCAAUAACAAUGUGACUCCUCUUGCUGAUGCUCCUCAUCGUUUCAAUGCUGUGAUGUGGAUUUCUAAGGUUUCAGUGAUCUAUGGUUUCACUGCUUUGACCACUGAUCUUGCUGUUAACUACUUUGAUAGGUUUAUCACCAGCCUAAGGUUUCAAAUGGAUAAGCCAUGGAUCACUCUCUCACUGCUGUUGCUGGUUUAUCUCUUGCUGCCAAAAUGGAAGAGACCCAUGUUCCACUUCUUUUAGGCCUACAAGUAUGUUCUUUUAAUUAAAGGUUUUGGCAGUGGUUGAUCCAUGGAUAUGACAGGAUGGAAUGAAUCAAAAUGUUCUAUUUUGUAGUCCUUUGUCUUGUUUUGAUUAUAUGUUCGAAAGCAUCAAACAUAAAAUGAAACUCAUAUUCUACAAGAUUUCGUCAUGUUAAACAUGUCUAUCAAACAUUAAUGAAGUGCAGGUGGCCUUCUAUGCAAUUUUAGUUUGAAUUCUUGGUUCGUAAUGUGAAUUGGGAUGCUGUGCUUGGAAGAUCAACCAUCCUAUAAUAUGGCUGCUGAGUGCUGAAUGUGCUGGUAUCAUUGUUACUUGUACUCGUUUUUUAAGGGUGGGGAUGUUGGUGCUGUUAGACUUGCAAGUAAAUUUCCCUCUAUCCUUUGUGGAUUCCUCCUAUUAUUGUUUUCCAUAAGCACAUCAUUAUUUUAAUGCAGAAUAAUGAGCAAAUUAUUUUGUUUUGCAGCUAGAACAAAAGCUGCAGAAAAUGCAGAAUAAGCUAGAGUGUAAUAUGGGAUCAGAAGGAACUUCAAGAACGUUUCCAAAUGGUUGUUAAAGAACACAAAAUGAUGGAGUCUCUAGUCACAGAGCUUGAAGAGGAGAUCAACUUUUCUAUUCUUCUUUUGCAUAUCACUAACUUCUUUACCAUAAAGUUAAGCAAAAAAUAAAAGAAAGUGAUCCCUUUGAUUUCUCUGCCAUGUUAAUAUCUUUUACAACUUCAGGUUUGGUCUUCUAUUUAUAUUAUUGGAAUUUUGGUUUCUCUCUCUAGUAUUUGCUAUAGGAAAAUUCAGCGUAACAAACAAAAUAGGAAUGAUAGGUAGGUUGAAUUAUAAGAGGAGAUCAUGAUUUGAAUGAGAUUUACUGGAGACAUAGAAAGGAAGAUGAAGAGUUGGAAUGGUCCCAUAAUUCCACUCGCUUAAUAUCUCAGUUAGCUCAAUGUUUUAGUGAGUACAUUUUUCUCUUGAAGCUUCGUUGCAUUCUUGUAAGUUUUGUCUCUUUCUUAAAUGAAUAUCAUAAUUGAUUUGUGUUUUGCAUGAAUGAGAAAAUGUAAUUGUUCCAGUCGAAUACUUAAAUUGGCAGAUCAUGUUGUUGGGGUCUAUCAAACAUAGAAAAUAUGAUUCACAAAUUUUGUAAAACUGCUAUAUUAAGAAUGGGUAGAUCAUUGCUUAUUGCUUAUUAGUGCAUUGACAAUAUUUUCAAGUUGACCUAUAACCAUGUCUUUUUAAGCUGUUUUACAUUAUCAAGUUAGAGAAGUUUUCAUCUUAGUUUUGUUUAGAACAUCAAAAGCUUUAAGCUUGACUGUACUAUAAAAACAUGAGUUUAAAAUGGAUUCAGUGCAGUGUACAGUUCUAAAUACUAUUAGUAAGUGAGAAAGUUCAACAUCACUGUAAGUAGCUAAGGCAUUACACUUCUGCCUUGAACAGGUUCUUUAAAUACAAGGCAAAAAUAUGAUUCACAAAAUUUGUAAAACUGCUAUAUUAAUUGCUCUCAGGUAUUAGCAAAAUAUUUCCAAUAAAAUUGGAUUGCUCUCAAGUUCUACAAAAUAUGAAUGAUAUGACGGUUGAAUUAUAGGAGGAGAUCAUGACUUGAGUGAAAACAUAGCUCACCCCUUUUCUUUCAAAUAUGUAUUUCUCUUCUUUUUUGUUGCUUUUGGAGUUUUGGUUUAAAAAGGAUCCAAUGGAAAACACUUUUGCCUGAUGGCACUCAUGAGAUUGAGAAAGUGUAAACGAUCUUGUAGCAUUGUUUACUUGUAUCAUGUAUGCAUGCUGUAAUGAAAACAAUAGACACAUAUGCACUAACCGGCAUACCUACAUAUGUGAAAAUACUGUGAAAAUAACAUUGUUUUCGAUCUAGAUGAACUGAAAUUUAAUUGGCUAAACAAAGUUAUAGAUCCUGGACUUUGUUUUGGGUUGUGAGAACUGAAUCUAAUCUGAAAUCGGUUGACCCUAGUUGCCUAUAGUUUGAAAU
rnacentral:lncRNA from 1 species